UUUCAAGUUAAAAAAAAAAAAACUAAAAACAAAAUUGAUAUCAAACUGAUGCUAAUAUUAAAAUAUGAACUCCAAUUACAGAUUUUGGCUACAAUUGAAUGAUAUACACUUGCUUCAAGAAAAGUUAUGACAUGUAUGCAUUUAGCAUUUAUAAUUUCCAUAUUGUCUAUCUAUAAUAAACUUUAUGAAUUACUACACAAAACUCAGCCUAAAAUGCAACUCUUUAUGAAGCAAAAAAAGAAGGCUUCACAGCAGAUAUUAUAAGGUAAAACUAAAAGAAGCCCAAGAUAAAAUUUUGUUCUACUUUUUGUUUUACCUUUCAUUCAGGAGCAAAACCUUCAAAAGUUGCUUGUAAAGUUGUAUGCUUCUUACGCCAACACAACCUUUCCGUUUAGAUUCAUUCCUUUAUCAAACUUGAAUGGCAAAGACAUCGAAAAACUAUUGAAUUGUAUCUACAGCAGCUCAAAUGGACAGUUACCUAUGUAGCCUUUUGCUUUUCUAGUUCAUUGUGGCUUAGAUCACUGCUAAGUAUUCCAUUAGGAGAGAGGAUGCGCCGAAGAGCGCUAAGAAAUCGAGCCUGCAGAAGAGAGUGAUUCUAGAAAAUGAGAAGAGCUGCUAUCUAUACGUAAAUAGUGUAAGGGACAACUUAUAUUAUUAUUCUUACCCAUUGGAAUCCAACCAAGGCAUACCAGCAGCCUGUCAAACCAUAACCUCUAGUGCUAAUAAUCUGGAAGAAGUAGGAAGUAAGUAGUAAAGUUAAAGCAGAAAGGAAGAGAAGAAUAGGGGGGGCAAAGUUGUGCAUGUCAUUGAGACUGAUUCUAAAAUGGUUAACAGCAUGAAUUACGGGUAAUAAUUCAAAAUCAAUUUUAGUACAAUGAAAAAAAUGCAAUUAAAAGUGUAAAAUUAAUUACUAAAUUGAUUGAGUGAUAAAAAUGUGCAAAAUAAGAAGAGUGAUGUUAAUAACCAUUUUAAAAUCACUUUCAAACAUUCACUAAAAGGACGAAGGUAGAGACGUUACCAACAAUACGAGGGCACCAAGAGAAAGACAGCCAGUCAUUGACAAACUAAUAUAUUUUAGGUCUCGUCCAGCCUGCAAGAAUGAAGAGAUUGAAGUCAAUCCUCCAAACCAUGAGAUCAAACCUAAAGGGAAGUUCUCUUCAUUGAUAACUGCAUAAUAAAGUGCGCCAAAACAUUGAGCAAACAACACGGAACAUUUUAGUCACAAGACUAGGUAUUUUCAUUGUUUUCUACCUCUUUGAAGAUUUUCUGAGUUGUAAUGAAUUGUUCUCCUUUUUUCUAUUGUUGCAUCCAUAUACCAAAUCAACCAGGAUGUUUACAUUUCUUAUUGAAGUAAAGACAAAUUCAUUUCCACGCAAGAAAGAACUUUUGGUGAUAUUUCACCUCCAUAAUACAAGUGAUAUCUCGCAAUAAAAAUCACAACUAUCGAUCUAAUUGUUGUCUUAUUAGUUAUUAACUAUAAAGCACCGACACUCCUAAAGUUGUCAAGUGUCAGUGUCGGACACUAACUCCUGCACGACAUGCAAAAUAGCAUAUCUUAAAUUAUUUUGUUAUUUCUUUUAAAUUUACGGUAUGUAGAGGACACACUGGAUGACUGCUGAUUUUUUUUCCUUUUUAAAAUUAAAAAACAAUUGAUUUGCCAACCCAUUUUUCUUUAAAUCAAGGUUUUUUAGCAUUCACCCACUGACCACUUACAAACUGUGGGUGAGGGGUUGAACCUAAAACUUACUCAUCCAUGCUCAAAAGUUUAAAACCCUGAUAUUCUUUCCUCUUUUUCUGUCUCGCCAAAACUCAACCACCAAGACCACUGGCAAUCAUCAGAUCACCCGGUAUCUUCUUUGAUGGUGACUUAUUUUUCCUUUUUUUUCACAUACAUCGAAGUUUAACAUGUCAAUGUGUCUGUGUUUCUUAGGUUAUUUACUAUUUAUUGAUAAAGAGUUUUCUUCCAAACUUUUGGUUUGGGCUGUGUUCGUCAGAGUUGUUAGGGAUAUGCUCUAGGAGUGGACUUCAAGGAAAAAGGUUGUUUUCUCGGGUGUGUCAGCAUGUGUGCUAUAUUAUGGGUGUUGUGGGAUGAGAGAAAUGGUAGGGGGUUUAGGGUUGUUGAGAGGGAGAGUGACAGAUUAUGGUCUCUUGUUCGCUUUUAUGUGUCCGGAUUUGAUUUCAAAGAUCUUUUAUAAUUAUUCUGUGAACUUGAUUUUAUAUAGUUGGAGUCCCCUCUUAUUGUGGGAUUCUUCUUUUAGUGGGCUUGGUUUUUUGUGCUUUGUAUUCUUUCAUUCUUUCUUGAUGAAAGUUGUGUUUUUCAUUAUAAAAAGAACAAAACUACUGAUAAAGAGUUUUGACAUUAAAUUGAAAACAAGUAGAUGCUUUACCAGAUACGGGUAUGAAUCUGCAUGUAGAAGUACCAUUUACAACUUAUAAGAGAAGAUUCAUCUUUUCUAUGCAGUAAGAAAAAGAAGUGAAUGUGCAACUCAGUUGAAAAAAACUUGAGAAAAAUCUUUAGUGGGGCGAGAGCAAACAUACCAAUAAUGUCCCUUCUAAGCUAUGAGUCGGGGGUGUUAUGACUAAAGCCAAGAAAUAUGGAAUCAACACUUUAUGCAUCUGCAAUUACAAAUAAACAAAAAAUACAAUCCUUAACACCAUGUGAUAUUUUUUAUCGCCACAAUUAUCGAGAAAAAAAAAAGUCCCUGUGUUUCUAACAUGGGUGAUUAAAUAACCAUCAUUUUAAUUUUUGCAUUCUUAAACAAAAACGUGAAUUGAAAUACAUAACAGUUGGACAAUGUUUAAAAGACUUUGAAUGGCCUCCGAGUGUACAUCAGAGGAAAUGGAAUUCUAAAUGUAGUUUCGGCCUAUAAAUAAAACCCAGUUUUCUCAUGCAAAAUCUCAAGAAAUAGAGAAAUGUGAGCUUCAGCAACUUAUCUAUGGCAGUAAUGCUAUUAUUUGUCAUAAAAAUGGGGGGAGGGAAGAACAGAAUCGAUUAAAAUGGCAGCAUAUGGAUAUUAAUAACUGACCUCCUGAAUAAUCUUCUCUUCGGGUGUGAAGAGAUUGGGGAACAACCAAGGAACUGAUGUUCCAAUAGUCCCUAAUACCAAACCAAAUAUAGCUCCUAUGAUCAUGAGUGACUUUAGCAACAUCCAAGCCUACACAAUAUAAAAGAAUUUCCACAAUAAAUACAAUGACUGUCAAUUCUUGGCUCUAGGUCAUAAUUUACCCACCACUGCUUAACGAGUGUCAAGGCAAGGAAAUUUUUAAUAAUUAUGAAUAUCCAUAACAAUGUGUGAGACCUCCUAUUAUGGAAGUGUAUGAAAGAAAGAAGGGCAAGAAGGGAUUUCAACAAGCAGAAAGUUAGGGGGGCCCAGCGGAAGAAUAUUGUACGUGAAGGAAACAGCUAAAGGGUUUUUGUACGGUUUAGGGAUUCAGUAUGGAGAGGGGAUGUUUGGGAGUGAGAGCUCAUUUGAGGAGAGACGGCUCUCUUAGACUAGCCGACUGAUUAUUUUUGUUUCAUUUCAGUUUCCUUGUUCAAGCAUUUACUCUGAUCGUGAGAUAUUUUGUGAUUGUUGAACACUUGGGUUUCUUGUCGAUAUAUAAUAGAACACAGGGAGGCUGAUAUCCCCUAUUUUGGUGGUUCUUGGGUGUCCUUUUGGAAGUGUUUGUGUGUAGUUCUAUGUGCAGGAAGUUCAGAUACCUAACACAAUGUCAGGAGUCGUUUCUAGCUAUAUGAAAUUCGUGUAACUUAUAGUAACAUUCAUCCAAAACUAUCGUAAUAAUAAAUAGGCAUAUCAUUAGAAAUUGCAAUUCUCACCUUAUCCAAACUACGAUUCACUCCAUUUAUCAACCCAGGCAUAAAUGAUUGAGCAGUUUGAGAUAGAGGUUCACCCCAAACGGUACACAUACAAAAUGUUUGAAUCAUAACCUGAAAUUACAUAGCAAGCCAUCAAUUUGACAUGGCCAAUGACUUCUAAAGGAAAAGAAAGAGGCAUACUUGCAUAGAAGAUAACAAUGAAAAGAAAUAAGUGACAUAACCUGAUGAGCAGCCAUGGUGUGUGUGCCCAUAGAUGUAGCGUAAUAAAUGAGGAGAGAAUAAAAAACCACCUAAGAGAAAAACAAUCUUAGACACUUCACUCAAAGAAAAAGAGAUGAAUGUAAGGAUAUAUACAAAAUAGAACCUUUGACAUCAUUGUUAGAAAUACAGGAGCAGCAAGGCCAAGUAUUGACAAAAAUUCACCAGACGAGGGAACUGAUAGAGAAUAUCCGUCGUAUCCUUUCUUAUUCAGUGCUUCUAUCAUCAUAUAAGCUGCAAUAAUCUAAAAACCAUAUAGGAGAAACAUGAGAUCUAAUUGAGGUGGUGUGAACAGUACAGAAAUGCAGUGAAAGUAAACACAUUAACAUGAACAGAAAGAAACAUACCUGUGAUGCCAUGGUUGCCCACGCAGCACCAGCAAUCCCAUAUCCUAAAAACAUGCAUAGGACCACAUCACCUAUACCAUUUACAAUACUCGCAACUGCCAAAGCCUUCAAAGGUCCCCAGGAAUCUUUCAUGCCAAGACUAAAGCAAACAUGAAAAUUGAAGUUAAUAAAUUUGGUGAAGUAUCAAGCAACUCGUGGAGUUAUUCUGGAAGUAUGCAGAAACGAUAUUUUAUACUAUUUCACUUUUGGUGCCUCAUCUGAAAGCUUAUGAAAAUAUUUCAACAAUCUGCGCUCAAGUUCACAGACGAAACUCAUGAAAUAAACCACAGAGGUAAGGGCCUCAAGUCUAAAACAUACAUUAGUCAAGGUGUCAUACUCACAAAUAAAGCCAGUAGGCAAACCAAUAGCUUAAAGGUGAAAGGAUAUCAGUUUUUUUACUUCUUUUUCACUUUCCCAUUUCAAAGCAAGGAUGGCAAAGAAAGCAAGCCCACGGGUUCAUAUGCCAACAGCGAUAAUCAUAAAACAAACAGACCAAAGCCAUGACAAGAAAAGUAGAUGGAGCAUUGGCAUGAAUCUAGUAAUAGGAACCUUGCACUUUGAGCGACCCAGCCAGUAAGAAUUGCGGGCCAUGCCAAACCUCGAAUCUACCAACGAAAAGGAUUCUGUUUAACUUAAAGUCAUUGAACCAAUUAUCACAAUAAUAUGGUACCACGAGAAAAGUAAUCAGAGAAAAAGAAACACAACAAUUUGGUAAAAAAUACAAUAUCAAGCAAACAGACCCCAGUGAAAGUAUUACGACAAUUCCUAAAAAACUGGACAAGCUGAAAUUUCCAUACAGAAAAAAAAUGUGGAAGUGUUGUUCAAAAAGCAAGAGAGACAUAAAAAAAGAAGAAGUACAUCACAAAUGAAGCUAUAUAAGAUAAACUUCUAUUGCAUUUUCAAAUAUAGAUACCAAGUUCAUUUAUUGCUUCAAUUUUACAAGUCAAAAGACAAACCUGAAUGUAGGUAUUUGCUGCAGGUAUGAUGUCUGCAUUCUUUGCCCCCACAAAAGCUGAAAAUUUACAAUAACAUCCUGGUACGUUAUUCUUCUAACUUUAAGGAGAAGAAAAGGCUCUAACUGUCUAUGUGGUGAGAAAUUAAAUAAAUAGUCCAUAAAAUUGAUGAAAGUAAUGGAUCCUUCAUUUAACUAAGCAAUAAUGUAGAAGUUGAGUACCAGUUAGGGCCACCGAACCCAAUAGUUUGGUACUUAAGAGCAUCAAGAAGCCAGCCAUUAAUCCAACAAACAGCAAUACAGAUAUAUGAUGCUGCACUUCGUUUUUAUCCUGUAACAACCCUUCGAGUCAAGAAAUGCAGCCAAGUAUUCCAUAUCUGUAGUAAAAAGUUCUGGGGAAAUUGUUAGAAGUAACUCUAAAAUGUUUUCAACUUUCACAAUUAGCACCCUUUUUGACAACUCAUUAUAAUAGUUUUUCUCGAUUCUCGACCUCGAGAUUUGAACAGAGAACUCAUGACACUUCCAAACUAUCGGAUUUUUGGGCUUUCUCGGAGGAAUCGAAGAAGACCAGGAUUGUAUGCAAUCUUCUUCAAACCGCAACUAACCGAACUCCUAAUGGUGCUUCUCAAGAUCUUUUUUCCGUAAAUGGUGGUGGUGAGUUCAUAGCAUUUUAGGCUUCUCGGCAAGCCAUUUUUUUCUCCUCCUCCUCAUUUAUUUCUGAUGUGGGUUUAUUACAUCAAUCCCGGUCUUCAUGCUAGCCGAGAUUCCACUAAGAGCCUAACGAAAUUGAUAGCUUGGAUGCGCGAAGAAAAGAAGCUAAAUUUUUAUUCAAAUUUCAAGAUGUCGAGAAGGAUUGAGAAAAACUAUUAUAAAGAAGUAUGAAGUAUCACAAAGGAUGCUAGUCGUGAAAAAUGAGAACCUUUUGGGUUAUUUCUAACAAUUUCCGAGAGUUCUACCAUAAUGGUUCAGACCUGUUUGGCAAGGGCCGUGGCUACCAUGUUUGAAGUAGCGAUACUAAGAAACAUAAACACAUAGCUCGUAUAAUCACAUAAAACUGUCGCAGGGCCUGCCAGUCAAAAGUUACAAACAAAUGAAGUUGAAAAAAAGAAAAUAGAACUCUCCCCACUACCUGAUAUAGAUUAAAGUUGACAUUAACAAUAGUCUUUAGAAUUCCAAAUAAGUAACGAGCUCAACUAAUCAUUGCUGGUUGAGUUUAUUCAACAGAUUGGAAGCAAGAAGUAAGAAGCUAUUGCCUCCUCAAUCCAUUAGCAAAAUUCAUCACAAAGAAGCAAAAGAAAAGGAGAAAAGAAAUAAAAAAAACCUAAAGCAGCAAGCUCAACAGCGCUUCCCUGGCCAAUAACCGCAGUGUCAAUGAGACUCAUCAAAGGUCCACAAAUCCACAAUCCAAUAGCAGGCCCAGUAAACGUAACAAUCUCCUUCAACUGAUUCAACAACCCCUGGUUCCCCAAUUCUUCUCCUUCAAUCCCCAAUACUUGUUCAUCUUUUUGUACUUCAAUGCCAAUUUCUCUCUCAAUCUCAACGCGAAGAACCGGGAAUCGGCGGCGAUUCCGCGACGAGAAAUGGAGAGGUGAAGGGGAGGAAAUGGAAGAGGAAGGAAAAGAAAUGGUGGGGGAGGAGAGAAAUGGACGAGUGAGGGGAAAGGAAGAGGGAGAGAAUGGUUUGAGAAUAUUGGGGCAAUGGAAACGAGGAACGAAUGAAGAAGAAGAAGAGUGGAGGAUUUUGAAAGGCAUUUUUGGCGCCGGAGAAUUGAAAGAAGCGAAGUUUGAGCUUCAAAAUAAUACAGAGGGGAAAUUUAGGGAAGAGUCAUGUGAGGAAGACGAUGAAGGUGAACGUUCAAUGACGUUAUGCCACGUGGAAUAUUCAUGGUCGUUCUUUUUUAUAGAUUUUGUUUGCCUUUUUUAGAGUCAACAUUUUGACUCUUCUUAGGUCUUUUUCCCUUUUUUUUUUUCCUUCUAAAAAGCAAUUAUGUGCAAUUUAUUCUUUGAGAGUAGUAAAAAAUGGGUAAUUUAUCUAACAAAUAGUUUUCUUUUUUGGUUUUUACGUGAGGUGUAAAUAAUUUAUUUUGUCAAGUCAGUUUAGUGCACAAGAUAUCAUGAGUUUAAAUCUCUUAUUCUCGAGUUAAUCUAAUAAGAUCUUUAAAAAAAAUUCUUUUAUUGUUUUUUAAAAUAAAGUCUUUAUUCUUUUUUUGGAAAAACUUCUUUUCAUAGAAACAUCCAUUCAUUUUCUAUUCUUUUAUAAAAAAAUUUGAUCACUUUCACUUUUGCAAUCAAAUUGCUUUUGUUGAUCAUUCAUUAGAGAUCUUGAAAAUGCAAACUCACAUAACUUCUAUUUUUCAUAGUAAUCGUUUAUUUUCUAACUUGCUUCUUAUAUCUAUAAACAACUUGUAUGUUGAAUACGGAAGAUAAAUACAAAAUGGGGUUGAGUUCUUCAACAGAAAUGUGGUGAGUAGACUAUUGUUUUGUUUUGUUUUCUGGUUACAGAUUAUUUGUUUCAUAAGUUCUUUAACAUACAUAUAGUAUAAUUUUCUUAAAAUUUUAAAAGUUCCUUUACAAUAUAAUUUUACGAGAUACUAAAGGCUUCAAAGCGAAUAUAGCCAAAGAUAAAGCUGCUUUUGCUUUCUGUUCUAACUUCAUCCAAGCAUCAGAACCAUCAAAACCUGCUAGUGAAAUCACAUCUUUUUUUUAGUACAAUUGUUUCAAGCUGCCAGCAUAACCUGUUGGUUUCGAUCCAUACCUUUAUCAAACUCGAAUGACGACGACAUCGAGAAGGUAUUGAAUAAUGUCUACUACAAGCUUACUUGAACUGUCACCUAUGCAGCCUUUUGCUUUACCACUUCAUAAUGGCUUACAUCACUAGAGUAAAGCACUCCAUUGGGAGAGAGGACGCGCCGAAGAGCGUUAAAAAACCGAGCCUAUGUAAGAGAAAGUUAUAGUAUGAGGUGAGAAGAACACCUAUUUGCAGUUAAAGAAAGUAGGGAUGUGUUGUUUUUACCCAUUGAAAUCCGACGAGGGCGCACCAGCAGCCUGCCAAACCAUAACCCCUACUGUUUACAAACUGGGAACAAGCCAUGGAGUUAGUUAAUGCACAAAGAGUCCAAAUGAGGUUGGAGAAUGGUUGGGAGAUCAAACAUUACCAGUAAUAGAAGGGCACCAAAAGAAAGGCAUCCACACAUUGAUAAACUAAUAAACUUUAGGUCUCGUCCAGCCUGCAAGAAUCAAACUUCGAGAGUUGAGGAAAGUUUGAUAAUUAGCCUACAAGUGAAUGUAAGGAUGGUCUUUCUCUCGGUAGGGAUGGAAUCUCAUGGGGUAGGGGUGAACCAAACCGACCAAACCAAAUCAAAAAUUCAGUUUUUACCAAAUGGUCAAUUUCAUUUGGUUCGAAUUAUAAGGAAACCAAGAUUUUUGGUUUGGUUCGUCUUUUAUUUGAAAACCGAAUCUAAAACCAAACUAAACCAUUUAUAUUACAUUACAGUAUAUUAUAAAACUGAACUCAACCGAACUGUUUAAAUAUAUUUCAUGGGCAUUUUUAAAAAUAAUAAAAUAUCAACAAUGUCACUAGCAGAAGGAUAUCAGUGUCUACCAAUAUCUAUUAAUGAUCUAUUUUGUCAAAUUCGUUAUUUUUUAUAAUUUUCCUAUAUUUUUAUCAUAUAUACAACCAAAACCAAAUAUUUGUGGUUUGUACAUCCAAGAUCGAAUUUUGUUUGACUACCAAAUCAACAAGCAAGACAAUAAUUCCCCAUUUAGGUGGAAAACAAGGACAAAAUUUUCUCCCAAAAUUUAGAUGGGGUUCUUUAUCCUAGCAAGAGUAAAAAUUUCUCGCCGGAAAUUAAAAGCAUAUUUUUAGAGGAAUUUACUUUAUUUAAUUAAAAUUUUGAAGUACUAAAGAUGGUGGAAUCUUCCCAAUCCCCGCCAUAUUAAACAAAAAAUUUGGCAGAAGCAGAAAAUUAAACGGGGGUCAAAAAGGGACAGAGAUGCAUCAGCGUUCCUGCCUCGCCUCCUGAAUAUCUCCACACGUGAAUAUACAAUUCAAUAGCAAAAAACUUCAGCAAAAUCUAAAAGGUGAGCGAACAUACCAAUAACGUCCCUUCUAAGCAAAGGGUUGCGGGCAUUAUGAGUAGGGCCAAGAAAUAUGGAAUCAACACUUUAUGCAUCUACAAUGCAAGCAUCAUGGAUUAUUAAUCGCUAUGAAAAUGAAGAGAGACGAUGAAAAAGAAUGGAAAGAUAUGGGAACAAUAUUGGUACAUAUUCCAAAUGUUUUAGGGUAUAGAUAUCAUGAACCAACCUCUUGAAUAAUCUUCACUUCAGGUGUAAAGAGAUUAGGGAACAACCAAGGAACUAACGUUCCAAUAGUCCCUAAUACCAAACCAAAAAUACCUCCUAUGAUCAAGAGCGACUUGAGUAGCAUCCGAGCCUACACAAUAUAAAAGGGAUAAAAUAAUGUCCUGGACAAUCUAUAAAAAAAGAGGUUCUAUGGCCAUAAACUCCCCACCAUUUUUUCAACAAGUAUCUAAGAUUUAUUAUGAAUAUCCUAACAAUGUAAGGAAUCAUUUUCAAGUUAAAUGAAAUUGGUGUGACUACUAUUGUAUCGUGUAACCAAACUUUCACAAUAAGAAAAAGGAAAAAAGUAGACAGUAUGUCACUAGAGAUCGGAGUUCUCACCUUAUCCAAACUACGAUUUACUCCAUGUAUGAAUCCAGGCAUGAAUGAUUGGGCAGUUUGAGAAAGAGGCUCACCCAAUACGCUACACAUGUAGAAUGUUUGACUCAUGACCUGAAGUGCACGACGAGCCAUAAUUUGACAUGACCAUUCACUUUCCGUGUAAAAGAAAGAGGCAUACUUGCAUGGAAAGACAAAAAUGAAAAGAACUAUGUAACUUAACCUGAUGAGCAGCCAUGGUGAAUGUGCCUAUAGACGUAGCAUGAUAGAUGAGGAGAGUAUAAAACACUAUCUGAAAGAUUAAAAUCUUAGACACGUUACUCAAAUGAAAACAAAUGAAUGUAAAGGGUUUUAUAAAAUAGAACCUUUGACAUCAGUGUUAUAAAUACAGGAGCAGCAAGUCCAAGUAUUGACAAAAAUUCACUGGGAGAGGGAAUAGAUAGAGAAUAUCCGCUAUAUCCUUUCUUGUUUAGUUGCUCUAUCAUCAUAUAAGCUGCAAUAACCUAGAAACCAUAUAAGAGAAAAAAGAAAGAUCGGUUUUGAGGCGUAAACAAGUACAAAUGCUAUAAAAUUAGGCACAAUAACAUUAACAUAAAGAAGCAUACCUGUGAUGCCAUAGUUGCCCAUGCAGCACCAGCAAUACCAUAUCCUAAAACCAUGCAUAGAAUCACAUCACCCAUGCCAUUUACAAUACUCGCAACUGCCAGCGCUUUCAGAGGUCCCCAGGAAUCUUUCAUGCCAAGACUACAGCAAACAUGAAAUAGAAGUUAAUAAAUUUGGUGAAUUUUCAAGGAACUGGUUUCUGGAAGUUUUCAAAAAUUGCGAUUUGUAUUGUUUCACUUUUGGCAUUCAUGUAUAUUUUGACAAUGUUGUGUAUAUUGUAUUGCAUUUGCCCCAGUUUAGUAUUCUUAAGCUCAAGUUCCUUUUACUCGUACUUAUCCUAUUGUCAUUAGUAAACGCUAAACAAAAUUGGAAGACCUCUUCAUAUACACAAUUCAGAUUCUUGUAUCACCGUAAAAUCAAUUCCGAAAGUAAUUAAACACCUUAUAGAAAUCUGUGCUCCAUUCACAAAUGUAGCUCAUGAAGUAAACUGCAAUUGUGGGGCCUCAAGUCUAAAACAUACAAUGGACAAGCUGUGUGUGCAUGAAAAGAGGACUAAUGUGCAAACGGAUAACUUAAAUUUGGAAGGAUAUCGGGGUUAAAAAAAAAUUCUGUCAAAAUUAAACAAGGAUGAAAGUGCAAGUAAGCAUAUGGGUUCAUAUGCCAACAACAAGCAUAAAACAAACAAAUCAAAUCUAUGGGAAAAAAAUGUAGAUGGCGGCGCAUUGGCAUGGAUCUAGUAAUAGAAUUAAGGACCUUGCACUCUGAGCAACCCAUCCAACGAGAAUUGCAGGCCAUGCCAAACCUCGAAUCUACCAACAAAAAGGAUUCAGUUCAAAUUAAAGUCACCGAACCAAUUAUGAUAAUGGAAGCAUCUGAACAUUUAUACUGUAAACAUCGAAAGAAGAAAUUAAGGAAGCAUGUCGACUUAUCAGUAUGCUGUGGUCACAUUCUUGAUGGAACCUCUGUUUGCCACCUGGAAGUAAUUAUAUACAUUCACUAUCUAUGCAAGAAAUGACAUUUAUCUCACUAGUUCACCACAUCUAUAGGUAAAACAGAGUAUAUAACUCUAUAUAUUAACAGCUUUCGAUAUCCUGACAUAACUUUAUGCAACAAAAUAAUAGUCAUGAUUAUUGUAUUAUGUCCUAAUAGGCUAAACGUUUUAGUCCCUGAUGUUUGGGCUUAUGUUUAAUUAUAUUAAUACUUUUAGGUUUAUUCAAUUUAUUUAUAUCAAUACUUCAAACCUUUUAUAAAAAAAAAUGUUAUCCCUAUUAUUAAAAAGGUUUCAGUUUUAUCAUUAUGUUUUAACACCUUUUAAUUUAGUCCUCACCAUUGGUAAUUUUUAAAAUUAGCACACUAUAAAAUUACAUGUCACCAUACUUAGUAAAUUAAUGAAAAUUAAGAAGAUGAAAGAUGUCAUCUAAAAGAUAAAGUUUCUAAUUCCUCCACCAAGUUAUUUAAGGAAAUUUCAAGUUUUUGUCUAAUCUUAAAUCCUAGAUGGAACAAUUUUAACAAUUACCACAGGUAAGAGAUUUAAAACAUAUAUAUUUGUUUAGCACAAACUUUUUUCAUAACUCGGUAUCAAGAGCCCCUAUCCCCACUAAUACGGGGAAACUGCACCCUAUCAAUGUCAAGACCCAAGAGACAUCAAGGAAUUUUCAUAUUGAGCCCCAAAGUUUGAACACGCAACCUCUGGCUACGUGUUAUUGAAAAACUGCGUGUAUCUAGCUGUUACAUGAUGAAAGAUCUACAUAUAAAUACAUUGUGCCUGUGAAGUGAAUAUAGAUUACUUGGUUAAUGAGUUCUAGGAGGACAAGUCUGUCGGUGUAUCUUUUUUCUUCCUAAUACGUGACGAGCAUUAAAUUCCUUCACAGGCAAUUUUUAUCAAGAAAUGUUCAAAAACAAUUUUUAUACUAUUUUUCUAAAAAGAAAUGGUUACAAUAGUACUGAAGAUGAGGGUAUUUUUAAGUUCAAACAGGUGUUGGUCUGGAGGAACCGGUCUGCUAACUUAUCAGACAUUAUUUUAUCUGUUCUUUCAACAAUUUAACGCUACGUCUUCGAAUUUUUUAGUUGCAAUCACACUGUAAUAAGCAAUCAUCCUCACGUAACAAGAGAAAAAGAAACAAAAAAGAGUCGUAAUGAAAAUCCAAUAUUACGAAUAUAUAACAAGCCUCAGUGAGAGUCAUGUGUUUAAUUCCUAAUAAACUGAACAGGUCGAAAUUUCUAUACUGAAAAUUGAAAGUAGUGUUCUAAGAGAAAGAAAGAGAGGCACAUAAGACAACAAACGUAUCGCAUCUGAAGCUAUACAAGACAAACUUCUAUCAAGACUUUUCAAAUAUCAAUUAAACAAACUUUGUUAAGUUAAAAAAACAAACCUGCAUAUACGUGUUUGCUGCAGGUAUGAUGCCUGGAUUCUUUGUCCCCACGAAAGCUGAAAAUUUACAAUAAUAUCUUGGUAACUCUUGAAUCAUUAGGCUAACUUAAAAACUCAAUCGAUGAAAGUAAAUUUAAUUUUAUAUCAUCUACCCUCUCUUUUAUUUGUGGGUUUGAAAACUUGGGAAGAGGAAGUAAUAUUAUCACAGUUUGAAUGAACACAUAACCUUUUAGACUACCUACUUCGAUACUAUGUUAAAAUCUCGGAUUGUCCCAAAAACUAAAGCUAACGAGCCCAGUUAAAUUUAAUAUUAAUAAUCCUACUUCUAACAUAUGACAAAGUUCUAGCUCUAUACGUGGUGAAGUACUUGAAGGAAUAGUCCAUAAAACUGAUGAAUGUAAUAACUAAUGAGCCCUUCACUUAACUAAGCAAUAAUGUAGAAGUUGAGUACCAGUUAGCGCCAAUGAACCCAAUAGUUUGGUAACUAAGAGCAUCAACAAACCAGACAUCAGCCCAACAAAUAGCAAUACAGAUAUGUGAUGCUGCACUUCGUUCUUAUCCUGCAAUAACCUUUCUAGUCAAGGAAUGCAGCACGGUUAUCCCAUAAUCUGUAACAGAAAUUGGAUUCUGAGUAGAACCUGUUUAGCAAGGGCCGUAGCUACCAUAUUUGAAGUUGCGAUACUAAGAAACAUGAACACAUAGCUCGUAUAAUCACAUAAAACUGUUGCUGGGCCUGCAAGAAAAAAGUUACAAACAGAUGAAGUUCAGAAAAUUAAUAAUAACAGUCUCCACCAAUUAAGUAUCACAGUUUGAUUACCAUAAUUCGGAUAAGAAAAAUCGGAAAAAAUGGAAUCUAACAUCGUUUUCAGAUUUCGAAACUGAAGAUUGUUAAUAGUCGGAUUCAAGUAUUCGAUCCAGUAGAUUAGAAGUAAGAACCCACUGUUUAAUCGACCCAUUUGAAAAAUUCAAGUCAAAGCUUCCAAUCGAUUUACUUCAUACUCUUAAGAACGACCAUAAAGAAGCAGAAGUAAAAUAAAUUCACAAUAAUACCCAAAGCAGCAAGCUCAACGGCGCUCCCUUGGCCUAUAACCGCAGUGUCAAUGAGACUCAUCAUUGGUCCACAAAUCCACAACCCAAUAGCAGGUCCAGUAAACGUUACAAUCUCCUUCAUCUGAUUUACCAACCCUUGGCUCUCCAAAUCUUUAAUUCCAGUCGCCAAUAACUGCUCAUUUCCCUGUACUCCAUUGUCGGUUUCGCUCGCACUCUCCGCGCUGCUGACUUCCCGCGCGUGAUCAUCGUGAGGAAGCGCGAAACAGCGGGUAAUCGGCGACGAUACAUUGAGGGGUAAAGGGGGGGAAGGGGAAGGAAAGGGGAGGGUGGGGGUGAAGGAGAAGGAGAAGGAAGGGCGAGAGUGAGAGAGAGGAUUGGGGAAUUUGGGGAUAUGGGUUUGAGGAAUGAUUGAAGAAGGUGAAGGGGAAUGGAGGAAUUUGAAAGGCAUUUUUGGCGGGUGAAAACUGAAGGGAAGGAGAGAGAGUGAAAGAUCCGCCAUGGGAGUGUAGUGAGUAAGAAGUGAAGAAGGAAGAAGAUGGAAUAUUCAAAGAGGUGAAGACACGUGCAUGAUUUUUGGUCGAACGUUUCUUAAGAUUAUCAAUUUUGUAUUAAAUAAAAACAUUGUUGGAUCCAAAGUAUCUCUUCCAAAAUAAAUACUAAAAUUCUAACUCAACUAAAAUUAUUAGUAAUUAUUAUGAGUGAAACAUCCAUCCAUUCCCCAUCCAAAAAAAACAAAUAGGUGUAAAUUUAGUAAUUAGAUUUAAAAUAAUUAAGUAUAUAGCAACAUUUUAAAAAAUUUAUAAAUAUAGUAAAAUUUGUCAAACUCUAUCAACGAUAGAAAUCUAUCACCGAUAGAUCAUGUUGUAAAUAUUGGUUUAUCAAUACGAGUCUAUAGCGAUAAUUUUGUUAUAUUUAAUUUUUUUUUUCAAAUGUUGUUAUAUCAUUCAUUAUUAUUCCUAAAAUGAUCAUCAAUUAUAAUUAUUUUUUAUUAUUAUUGUUUGUGCAUAGUAGCUAGAUGAAUGAAAACAAAAAUUAGAUUGAUGAAGUAUUAGUAUAAACUUUUUUUAAAAGUAAGUGUAUUGACUUUUUUUUUAAAUCAAUUAUUGUCUCCAAAAUUGCUAAUCAUUAUAGUUACUAUAACAUUAGAUCAAUUGUUCUUAUCGAUUGACUCAAUAACUUAAGUUAGUGAGUAAAGAUAAAUUUAAUUAUAUAUCACUAACUACCAUUUUAACUAGUUCUAUGACAUGGAUGGUAUGUUUAUAUAUUAGUCUCACUGAUCUUUUGUUUUGUUUGGAGUUGUGUAAAUAUAAGGUUCGAUCUUGUGGAGACCAAUUUUACUCUUAUAGAUAUGUUAAUGAGUACUGAUACGAUGCUACAAAAAUAAUACUUAUAUGUGUGUAAUAUGCUACUUAAAUGAGAGCUUGUACUCUUUGGCUAAUUAAAAUUCAUCCCAAUUUUGUUAGGAACAUUUGUCACUACCUUUGGUAACCUAUAUUUAUGUUUAGGUGAAAUAAGUGAAUAUAAGAAUGUAAUUCCCUAAAUGUAUGGUUGUUGAUAAGAUUGUCGAUAGUCGUUUACUUGGUAGUGGCGGGGUAUGUGAACCGAUUAAGUCCCCAACUACCACGGUGAAAUAGAGGGAAGGAUUUGGAAUGAGAUGAAUUUUUGAUAUUUUAUCAUGAUGUCUACUUUGAAUUUUCAAUAUUCUACCCGAUUUCGUUAAGUUGGAAUAAUUGUUUUGUGUUCGGAUUUUUUUAAGUGUUUAGUUUAGAAACUAAGAUAUUAAAAAAAAACCUAAAAUAUUUGAAAGUCCUUUAAAAUGUGUAUUUUAAACAAUUUUUUAAGAAAAAGAGUUUAAACAAAAAAAAUGAAUUUGUUGAAAAACAUUUUUUUUCUUUAAGUGAAUCCAAACGUACCCUAAAAGUAAUGCAAUAGUUUGUGUGUUGUUUUCUUCUAUGUACAUGUUGACAAUCACUGUUAGAUUUAAUUUCUUCUCGUUUGAACUAUUAGAAUUUUUAGUUUUUGACAUUUUUUAUUGUUUUUUUUUUUUUUAAAUUUUGUAGUGGCAUAAGGAAUACAACUAUUUGAACCCAAUUUAACUUGACGUUGUUGUAUUUUGGUUUAGGUUGUGGAACCCAAGUUUGUAUUUGAAGCCAAGUUCAUCUAAGGUUAUUAAUUAAGUUUGUGUUUCUUGAACUAAAAUUGUAGUCUUGUGAUUUUUGGAAUAACAUAGUUGAAUUUAUUUUGUAAUUUUUGAAUUAUUAUAUUAAGUUAUGGUUGAUGGAAGUAAUGUUUUGUAUAUAUGACAAUAACAAACAAAUAUGUAAAAUUUUCAAAAUGUUCGUGUGUGUAUAUAUGUGUGUGUGGUUAAAUAUUAAUAUAUGUUGAAGUUUUUGAAUUAUUCUGAUGCAUAUUUAUGAGAUUGUUAGACCACACGACAAGGAUUACAUGGGUAAUACACGAACAAAAACUGCAAUUGAAUUAAAAUUUUAAAAAAUUGAAAAAAAAUCUGAAAGAGAGUUGACAUUUUUCAAAUGUCAUAAACAAGUAUAUUAUAUGAUGUUUUUUAAAUGUCAUUAACAUUAACAUACUUGACGCUUAUUAAUUGUCAUUAACUUCGACUUUCUUGAUGCUGACUUCAAUGAUGGUUUUAAAACGUAAAGUAGGAGUAUUCAUAAAAUAUUUGAAAUUUGAAAUGCCGAAUCGAAACCGAAUCAAAACCGAUUAAAUGUGGUUUUGUGCUGUUUGUGUUAUGUUGAAACCGUUUCUUAUGCGGUUCGGUACGAUUUAAUGUUUUAAACCAAGUCUAAAACUGAACUGAACCGCUUCAUUUAAAAAAAAAAAUUAAAGAAAUGUUCAUAAAAUUUUUGUUUAUAAAACUCGGUUAAAUAUGUUGACCUGAGAUUCACUGGAAUCUAAAAUAGAAAGAGAUUAUCCGAAAUUUAAAACAGAAAUACAAAUUUUAUCGAACUCGAUGCUUUGAUAGCUUGAGAUUCUUUGGGACUUAGUGCUUUGGUGGCUCGAGAAUGUCCGAAAUUUGAAACAAAAAGACAAAUGUUAUCGAACUUGGUGUUUUGAUGGCUCGAGAUUAUUCGAAAUUUAAAAAAUGUUUUGGUGGCCUGAGAUUCUUUGGAAUUUAAAUCAAACUACAUAUUACAGUUCGAUUUUACUUCAGUUUGACACAAACGUGUAGUUUUAUUUGGUUUCGUAUGAGUUUUUUUUUUUUUUUUUUUUUUUGCAUUUUACGGUUUGAUGCAAUUUCAACUGAAAAAAGUAAUAAUUCUUUAUUGUUAAAAAACAUUAACAUAGUUUACUUUUGUAUUAGUGACUUUUAUCUGAUUUUGCAAUAACAUAUCAACGGAACAAAAUCCUAGUAAGAAUUAACUACAACAAAAUGGGAUUCUGAUAACACAUGAGUGAAGCGAAACCAAGAGAAUAAAUAAAUAAACAUCACAUAAUCCUUUUUUUAAAAAAUAUAUAUAUAUAUAAUUAAUUAAAGCGUGUAAUGAAAGAAUCAAACUUCAGAUUGAUAAUACAAACAUAAUGUCAGUUGAGCUAAGCUCAUGUUGACACACAAACCAAAUUUGUUGAGUUUUUUAGACAAAAUAUGACCAAUCACUAUAAAUAUCAAUAAUAGAUACAUGUAACUACUAUUGAGAUAGACUUAAAUAUGAUAUAUCAAUUAUGAAUAUACUAUUUAUAAACAUUCAAAAAAAGAGGAAGCAAAUCAUGAAUCAUGAGAAAUAGGUAGCUAAUAGAUAAAAACAACAUAUUAACAAUGGUAUAUAUUGAAAACUUACAUUAAAAAGUGCUCAAUUAUCAUAAUGUACACAAAAAAAGAAUAGUUGAUGAGUGAAGGACAUCUAUAUAUAUUAGUAAUAUAUUUGUAAAAAUUGACUAUUGAGAAACACUACAUGAUUUAUGUAUUAGUGAUGAUAUAAAAUAUUCAAAAUUUGUUAAUACUUUCAAAUCAUUUAAUUGUGUUAAUUAAAUUCCAUCUAAUGGUUUGUGUUAUUAUAAUUAGUUUAUUUCUAUUUUUCUACGACACUAUUUUGGAUGAAUCAAAUUUCUAACUAUAAAGUUGAUAUAAUACACAUUUUUAUGUCAAUAAUACUAUACUCUGUUUAAAUCGGUUAAAAUUAAUUCUAUUCACUAUUUUCUUUGUCAUGUGUAGAGAUGUAUGUGAUUUAAUAAUUAAAACAAUUGUACCUUCAAAAUUCUCUUUCAUAAAAAAUAAUGAAUUAUUUUUUUAACAUGUAAUUAUCAAAUAGUUAAAAAGAAUUGUAUGAGAUUUUUAGAAUAAAAUAAUAUAAUAUUAUAUAAGCUCGUAACUAACUCAACUUAACUUUUUAAGGAAUGUGAUACGUUUUAAGGUUAUUUUCAAAUAUAGUAAAAUAAACUAAAAUAUUUUGAAAAUAUAGCAAAAUAUCAUCAUUUAUUUACGAUCGACUACUAUUUAUGUCUACUUGUACGAUAUAAACACAAAUAACAGUCAAUCUAUUUCGAUCUAUCAUAUUUAUCAAUCACAUAUCAAUUGUGAUAUUUUUACUAUAUCUAUAAAAUAAUUUUAAAUUGUCGUCUAAAAUAAUUUUAUAUAUUUGUAUUGUAAUACUAUUUCUUUCCACAACCAUAAAUAGAGAUUCAAACUACAAAGACCUAUCCAAAAUUAGGGAAGUGAUUAUAAUAAAGCCAUGGGUGAAAUGCCCUAAGAAUUGUUAUUAUUAUUAUUAUUAUUAUUAUUAUUAUUUGCAAGUUCCCAUUGAAUUCAUCAAAUUAAUUAAUUUAAUCAAACUCCAAAUUUGGUCUAUUGACUAAAUAUUAUAAUUUAUUGAAUACCCCUAGAAAGCAGAUACCUUUCUUUAUUAUAUGAGAUGAUUUGAGUACGUACCUCUAUUUAUUUAUUUAUUUAUUUAUAUAUAUAUAUAUAUAUUUGUGAAGAAUAAUAUUUGGUCUAUUGGCUAAAUAUUAUAAUUUAAGUUUAGCGUUGGCUACCUUCCUCUCAUGUAACAUAUCAUAUUUAUUAUUCUAAAUAGAUAAAAUAACUACUUGAUUUUAAAUAAUUUUUUUUAAAUCUCAUGACUUGUUUUUAUGUGGACUAAGUGGUGAUCGGUAGCGUUUGUUUUGUCUCGCUACCUCCAAGUAUUUUCCUAGUCGAGUUGUUAUUAUGAUCUCUCCAUUUUUUGUCUAUAUAUUUAUAAUAAAUUAUAAACUUAAACUGUAAUAGAUUGACCUAAUGGUAAUAAAAACAUUUUAAAAAAAAAGUCAAAAGUGUUAAGAAUUAUUUGUUCAAACGUAUCUAAGAUUUAGUUGGACGAACGGUCUUGUAUGAUUAGUCCAAGGUACAAAAUUGUAAACUUCAACCUCCACUACAAAUUUAUUGUGAAUUUUUUCAAAUUCUUAUUAUAAUCUAUUAGUAUUUUACUAUAUAUUCAAAUCCUAACUAUUUUCUAUAAAAAUUACUAUUGUUAUUUAAGCUAGAGCUAUUUUCAACCUACCUCGAGAGCUAUUUAAUUAAAUUUUCUAAUAAAUAUGGUUAGAGCUAUUUAAUUAAAUUUUCUAAUAAAUAUGGUUUAAAAUCCACUCUAAAUAGUAGAGUAGAUAAAUAUUUACGUGUAAUAGCAAAAUGAAGCUUAAGUUUUUUUUUGUUGUUUAGUGAACUUUUGUUAUCAAUUGUAAUAAUUUAUUUUUUUAAUAUAUAAUUCUUAAGAAGAACCAUCCAAAUAAUAUUUUUAAAUUAAAUUAUUGAAAAUGUAUUAAAAUAAAGAGAGUUUACACAAAUAGCAAAAAAAAAAUUAUGAUAAUAAAGUUUAUAUCAUUUAUAUUUUCAAAAUUACAAUAAUAGUAAAAUUUAAAAGUAAAUUAUCGUCUUUUUAUUCUCAUAUUUAUCAAAUUUCGAAUAUAUGAAGUGAGAUGUCACCAAUUAUUUAAAAAAAAAAGGAAUUAUUAUUUUUAUUAUCUCAGGCAAUUUCCCUUCGAAUAAAAGAAAUUGAAAAUGGAGGUAGAACUUAGAAGAACGUAUAAGGAUGGCCAGCCCACGUUUGGACAACGUGAAGUGAACAUGUUUUUCCAUUUUUCUUUUUGUACUAAUAAACCUUUUCUUUUAUAUAUAUACAUAAUUAUAAUAAGAAUACAAGGUUGUUCUAAUGUUUAAAUUAUAAAAAAGUUUGGUGGGCAAAUUAUUUUAUUUUAUUGGACUCAAACAAGUUAUUUUAGUAUAUUUUACAGAAAAUAUAUUUAAUGUCAAAUGAUUAAAUUUUUAAGAUAUUCUAUAUACAUACAUAUACAUACAUACAUAUAUAUAUAUAUGUAUAUAUAUUUGAAAGUGUUUCGAAAACUUACUUAAAAGUGUCACUUAAUGAUAUAUUAGAUAUUAAAAUAAUUAGCUUAGCUUAGUUUGUAUUUAUCAUGUUAUUUAUCUCUAAAAUUAAAGAUUUGAAUUUGUUUACUUAUUAAAGAUCAUAAAUUAUGUACAGUAUACACAUUCAUAAUUUUGUAAAAAUUGCAAAAAGCAAUUAUAAUUAAACAAAUAUUUUAUCACACUCAUAGUUGAAUAGACGUAUGAAUUCGAUAUGUGAUCACUCUCACUACGAGUAGUUGCUUUAAUUUAAGUUAACAUCAAUUACAUUUAAUUAUUGUUCUACUUGGUUUAAAACUUUAGAUAUCUUUUACUCUACGAAUUUUGACCCUUAUUCCAAUCGAUCGAUAUUUUAUAAGAAAUAAUAUUUUGACCCUUUCAAAGUUGAAUAUUUACCACCUACCAUGCUAUUAUAUUUCAAUUCCAAGCUGUGAGUUAAAAAUAAAAAAUAAAAAAUCAAGCUGUGAGAGAAGAAAUAUAUUGUUAUAUAUAUGUUGAAAUAAUUGAUUGUGUUACACAUGAUCAUAUUAAAUUUGUUUGUUUAUUAACUAAAGAGGUUGGCUAUGCAUUUAUUAUAUGCCAGAAUAAUAGUUAUUGAAGAAUAGUUAAAUUGAGUCAUUUGCUUGCUGCCUUACCUACCUAUCUGUUUGAUGUUACAUUUCAAAAUUGGUUAUUAAUAUGUAAUUAAUCAAAACAAAGUUACUAAACUUGUUAUUUCAAAUAUAAUUCAGAACAAAUGCUCAAAGUUUCAAAAUCAAAUAUGAUUUGAUGUUAACACGUGGUCGAACAUGUUGAUUUCUAUCGCCUAAUUUCGAACCAAAUAUUUUAUUAGCGAACUACUACAAGAGCUAGUCUUAAUAGCAAGACUGGGUCGAACACAUCAAGUGCAUUAAAAUUUUCAUGAAAAUAAUUUUUAUCGAGAGGAUAAACUAUGAAAAUUUUUAAUGGUUUGUUACAAAUAAUUGAAAAUUACGUGAAAUUAAAUUAAUCAAACAAUCAAUGUGAGAAAGCCUAACUUUAGUUAUCAAGGUCGUAGGUCACAAUCAAAAAACAUGAAGAGCUAAACUUGUGAACAAUUAAUAGUACAUCGUUUAUAUUUUGAACUAGUAUGAAAAAUCUACAUUAUAAAAUUAAUAUCAUGAUGCAGAUGUGUACUCGACUAUUUGUUUUUGACUUCAUUCUAAUACAUUUUUCAGUUGGUCACGGGCGAGAAUACAAUGAAAAUCUCUUUCGAUAUGUUUUGCAUGUGUUUUUGUUUAAAUAACGGGCAAACUUUUGUCCAAGAUCAAUCGAGAUUUUAAAUUAAGCAAUUAUGUCCUAAAACUCUAUCUAACUCAAGGUAACUUUAGCGUGAGAUUUAAUAACCUAAAGCCUUUUGUUUUUCAUCCUAGGGAUCUCGAGGCAACUUUGGCUCGAGUUUAAUAACCAAAAGCCUUAUGUUUCUCAUUUUGGAGGAUCUCAGGACAACUUUAGCUUGAGAUUUAAUAACUAAAGUCUUCUAUUUACUCAUCCCGAGGGAUCUCAUAGCAACUUGAGGGAUUUCAGGGCAACUUUGACCAGAGAUUUAAUAAUAAUAAGCCUUUUGUUUUUCAUCUUUAGAGAUCUUGAGACAACUUUGGCUUAAUAUUUAAUAACCUAGCCUUUUGAUUUUCAUCCUAGGGGAUCUUGAAGCAACUUUGGCCCAAGAUUUACUAACCUAACACCUUUGUUUUGGCUGACUUGUUUCUUUAUUCUAUGACUUGUUUCUUUAUUCGAUUCAUUGUGUUUGGUAUUAAUAUUAUAUAUAUCCAACUUUCUCGUUAGUUACAUUUGUUCAAUCUUCUUCUAAUCGACAUUUAAUAAACAAGCUUUUGUGAAUCUCCUUCUAAUUGAAUAAAUGUUUUUAGAUUACAAGAAGGCUCUAUUAGCUCAUAGUUAUACGGUUAAUUGUCUACGAAACAAGAGAAUGUAAUUUGGGAAUAGGGUUCAAAAGAAGAGCGGGUUACAUCAUAUUCGAAAUGUUUACAACAAUAAAUCCCAUAAUCACCUGAACCAUGUAGCUGAUGAAGUCCUCCAAAUCGUCUAUGGGACCUAAUUAUAUGGUUCACUCCAUGUGUUGCCUCCUCUCUCUCCCAUCAUCGCCAGUUCCAUGAAAUAAAUAGAGAUAUCUUUGUUUCAUCCUCGUCACUCUCAAACUAAAUAUUCAGAUAAUCUUUAUCCAACUUAGCACCGUUAAUAUUCAUCCUAUCGCCCAAAUAUAAUCGUCGCAGUCUAAGAGCUUUAUUCUUUUCAAAUUCAACCGCACAUCUUAGCCCAUACCUCAACCCCAUGAUAAUGUCAAAAUCUUUCCGCCCAAAGGAGACCUCACCUAAUAAUUUAAAGCUAAUAAUGUCCUCUCAUUCAUCCUUAACCUCUCUCAGCAAGAUGUAAAGGCACAUAGGUCCAUUGAAAACCAACUUAACGUCCAAUAAAUGUCCAAACAUGGUUUUUCUAAACAUAUACAUUGCUUAGGCAUUAACUUGUUUUCAAUAUUCGAGACUAUUUUCACUAAGUAUAAACAACAGAUUAAGUUUGCAAGAAAAAUGUAUGCAUUGACGAUUUUGGUGACAAGAGGCAUAUGCUAAACAUAAAACAUACAUAUCAAAAUAAAACUAGUAAUCUGUCAUAAAACUUAGGGCACUCUAGGGUCAAUUUCAACCGAGGAAUUUAACAAUGAAACUUGGGCAACAUUGCAUCAAGAUGCCACGAGAUUAUGGUUUUACUUACAUUUUGUGAUGUAUCUUGGGUUAAUCUCUACCGAAAUCUACACUGAUAACCUCACAUAAUGCAAAUGAAAUGCAACAAAUCUCAGGACUCAUUCAACAAAUCUUCGAACAAUUUCAUCAAUCUUGGCCGAGAUUCAUCAUCUAUACAUGCCUAAAUUGAUGAAAUUGUUGAAAUUAAUCGAAUAAAACCACCUGGAUUAACUUAAUACUAUAUAAAAGAAGAAAAAAAACUCCAAUAGCCAAAGUUAAUUACCUCUACAUAUUUAAGCUUGACAUAUACUUGAGGAUACACUUUGUAAGAUUUUGUCAAGUAAAAAUCAGUCAAACUUGAGAGCAAAAUAUUCAAACCCAACCAAAAUGAGAAGCUUAUUUGGGGAAAGUGAAUAUCAAACGUAAAAAAAAACGAGAGUAUUUUGAUAAUUAGAAUAAGACAUGAAAUCUUUGGGGCUAUCUCGACCAAGAUUGCUCGUAAAUACAAAAUGGAAAGUUUUUAAAAAUGUUGCUUUUAAAAUAUAAAACUUAAACGGUGUCAUUUUGUUAUUUUUGAUGAACCCUACUGUAUAUAAAGGUAGAAAACGGUCAAUUGUUACGUCCAAUUUCACUAAAAUAAAUUAAAAGUAAAUCAAAAUGAAACAGCCAAAGGAAGAAGACGACUGGAAGGUGAUUGUCAUCUGAACUUGAGGCCUAAAAAAUUUGUGUGUAAUUCUUGAAAAAGCCCGUUUGUCAAUUUGUAUAAUUCACCAUUGAUCCACCAGUUGAGGUCUCUCUCUCUCUCUCUCUUCAACUUCCUCAUUCAUUUCUGUCUUAAGAAACAAACCCACGUCUUUCACGUUUCUUUCUUAUCAAUCUCUGAUUAUAUUACACCAUCCUCAACGAUUUUUUAGAUUUUGAUUUUGCAUAGCACCUAAAAACUCUUCUUUCAAACUUCACUCCUUGUUUGUUUUCCUUAUAUCUGAAAACAACCCUUCAUUCAUUUUGUAGUCAUCUGGGUUUGAAUCAUUCUCUUCUUUUUGCUUUCUAGUGUGAAUUUCUCAUCAUCAAUUGAAGAAUAGGAAAUCCCAUUUGAGGAAUUGGGCAUUUGUUGUGGGAGUUGACCAGUCAGAGAUCUGAAGCUCUGUGGAUUUGGGAGCGAGAAAUGGGGAGCUUGGGGGCGAUUUUGAAACACCCAGAUGACUUUUAUCCACUUUUGAAACUGAAAAUAGCCGCUAGACAUGCGGAGAAGCAGAUCCCACCUGAGCCUCAUUGGGGAUUCUGCUAUACCAUGCUGCAUAAGGUCUCAAGAAGUUUUGCACUCGUUAUUCAGCAGCUUAAGCCCGAGCUUCGCAAUGCUGUAAGUUGAGCAUCAAGUGUUACACGUCUUUUUUUUUUUUUUUUUUUUUUUUCUUAUUAUUCUUAAUAUUGAUAAGUUGGUGUUUCUUUAGUUGAUUGAAUCAGGUUAAUUUUCUGGGUUUAUGGUGCUGACGAUGAAAUCUAUUUAUCAGCUCUGUUGGAUUUUUUCUUUUUCAGCAGUUUGGAGGAUUGAUCGUUUUUUGCAACGUUGUUAGUGAAGAAAAAUAUUGAUAGCCGUAGAAUCUGAUGCUUUUUACCUUUUUUACUGAAGAAUACACAAUUUAUAGCUCCAAUAUCACCAUCACAAUUCUGUUGGAAAGUAAAAUAAUGGAUUCGGGAUUAUCAAAAAUCAACUCGAUUUUGUAAAUGAUACCUUAUGAUUUUAAACACUGUUAUGGCUCGAAAUCUGCAAAUCAUAAUAUUAUAUCUCAAUUAAUUUUCAUGAAACUAGUACCUAUACAAUCGUAGAAGCUACCAAGGUUAAUUCCAUUGAAGUUACCACUACCACCUUUAAUGGGAUUGUAGUGUUUCUUGAUUUACUAAUUCACAGCAAUGUUUGAAUCUAUUCGGGAAGUAGGCAAACUAAAUGAAUUUCAUCUGUAGUUUCCUUAACCAUUUAUCCAUUGACUUUUAAAUGAUGCAGAAGAACACACACACAUAUAUAUUUGGACAAUUCAGCUUUUCUCACAAAAUUGCCAACUAUAUGAACUCAUAUUUGUACCAACCAGGUGGUUCCACUAUUUUUAUGAAUAGCAUCUACUGGGCAAUUUAUUCAUGUUUACAAAUCUUUCAUCACUUUGAAUUCUUUCCAGUUUCAUUUCCUCAUACCAUAACACACUUGCAAUUAUGCCAAUAUUUCUUUUCUUCAAAGCUAUGCUGGGUAUUAUUUGUUUAUUUUUGGACAUGUCAUUCACUGUCUUUACUGCAUUGGAUUGUAGUACAAGUAAUAGCUCUUACUACACAAUCUCAGUGUUUGUUUGUCCAGUUAUCAUUGAAGUGUAUGUAUUUGUUAGUCCAUCAUAAUAAUUGUUAGCUUAUAAUUUUUGUUUAUUUCAGGUGUGCAUAUUUUAUCUUGUUCUGCGAGCCCUCGACACUGUUGGUAUGAAUGACCUCUUUACUUCUUCUUGUAUGUGAGAUCCUGAUGUAUGCAUGUUAGCCUUGAGUUCAAGAAAUUUAAUGGUUUUUCUCCAAUAUUAAUUAACGUAGGUUGAAUAUAAUAACUAUGUUGCCAUUUUAGUGGCUUUAUACUGUGUUAUGAAGAACAUGUAGAAUUUCCUGUUUGUUUCAUUUUGAUGUGGAUUAGCCUAAUGGUCUUAUUAUCAUUGAUAUUUUUCGAUUGACAGCAUUUGCUUCUAUCCUUAGGCUUCAUGUUGUACCUUUCAUUUUACUCCUCUCGGGUUUCUGAAAGAAUUCCCCUCUGCCCUCCAGAUAGAUGUUUUGAAACUGAUCUAACAUUAAUAUUUUCUUUACAGAGGAUGAUACAAGCAUACAAACAGACAUUAAAGUGCCCAUUCUGAAAGCUUUUCACUGUCACAUAUAUAACCGUGAUUGGCACUUUUCAUGUAAGUUUUGUACUUAUAAUUCUGUCCUCUCUUUAGAAUAAAAAACAAAUUAAUAAAAUAAAGUUCUGUGCUUAUGAGUAGGAUGUUUUAAGAGUGAUUUUUAUUUAGGUUCUCCUCUUCUUCUACUGAAUGUGUGCUUGUUUCUAUAUUUAGGUGGCACAAAGGACUAUAAAGUUCUGAUGGAUGAGUUUCAUCACGUUUCAACUGCGUUUCUAGAACUUGGGAAAGGGUUGUUACUGGAACCUACUGAUUCCUAUCUGAUGCUUUUUGACAAAGACAGUAAUUAAUUGUUGAUCAAUGUCUAUACCAAUGUUUUCUCCCCCCACAUCUUUUCUGGCUUGGGGACUUUUUUAAAGAUCUAACUACAACUAAUGGUUCUGGGAUGGUGGUACAUAAAUGACGAUGCUUUUUCUGAAUUUAAUUCACUUCAUCACUGCAAUUAUUUCUGCUUUCUUAUUUUCUUUCUUAAAAGAAUACAUAAAAUUAUUCAUUUUGGUAUCAAAUAAAAGGUCUUCAACUUGUUGAAGUUCUUAAAAUGGAACAUCUCAUUAAAAAUUCUUGUGUUUAACUCACUAUGUUCAAUUGCUUCUGCAGGUACCAGGAAGCGAUUGAGGAUAUCACAAAAAGAAUGGGUGCAGGAAUGGCUAAAUUCAUUUGCAAAGAGGUACAAAAUGAGUCUGUCAUCCAUAUUUUAUAUUGGCCUUUAGAUUCACAUUCUAUUUACUUUUGACGCAAUAUAUUCCUUUCGUAUGUUGAUUCUUUAUUUGCAUUGCAUUUUGUGCCAUUUUUUUAGCACUAGUCUAUCGAUAAGACCUGCUUAGGGGCCGCUAAAAUUAAUGCUCUUAAACUAUUUCCUGUUAAUUUAUCGAAAUGUCAAUAAUACGCAUUUUCUUUUUCUUUCCUACCUAAUAAAGUAAUAAAUUAGUUAUAAGGAACAUAGCUGAAGUAAUGUAUUGACUCGUGAAGAGACUGAAAUAUUUCUUCUCUUCUUGUAGGUAGAGACGGUUGAUGAUUAUGAUGAAUAUUGCCACUACGUAGCGGGACUUGUCGGACUAGGUUUAUCUAAGCUGUUCCAUGCUGCGGAGUUGGAGGAUUUGGCACCUGAUUCUCUUUCAAAUUCUAUGGGAUUGUUUCUCCAGGUUAACUACUAUAACUUAAGUGAUCAUCGUUCUUUCAAAUAGUUCAUUAACUUGUUAAAGUUUGACUCUGACAUGUUCGUUUUUUAACUAUUUAAUGCAGAAAACCAACAUUAUCCGAGAUUACUUGGAGGACAUUAAUGAGAUUCCAAAGUCCCGGAUGUUUUGGCCUCGUGAGAUUUGGGGCAAAUAUGCUGAUAAAUUAGAGGUGUAUAAGUCUAUAUCCCUUUUGCCUUUUGCUUUGGACAAUCUAAAUCUUAUACUAUCUUUUAAUCUGAUUUGAUUGUUUCGUCUCUGUGCUGUACAGGAUUUUAAAUAUGAGGAGAAUUCAGUCAAGGCCGUGCAAUGCCUCAAUGAUUUGGUCACUAAUGCUUUGAACCAUGUGGAGGAUUGUCUGAAAUACAUGUCCAACUUAAGAGAUCUUUCCAUAUUUCGGUUUUGUGCUAUUCCUCAGGUAUGAAAAAAUUUCUCUCCAUGUAGGAUAAGUCAUACGCAAGUGUUUCCCCUUUGUGCUCAUGCAUUUGUACCGUCAGACUUGCAAACUUAUACGGACCUAAUGGCGUGGUUCGCCCCUUGACCUUCUUCUAAUAACUUUUGAAGCAAGAAUCAACUUUUCCAAGCAUGCUUAUAUGAAAUGAUGAUUUCAAUUCCGUUAAUAAUUGUAUAUACCAGAGAAAAGAAACCACCAACACUUUUUAAUUAUACAAGUUCAUUGUAUGUACAUAUUUCUUCCUGCUUCAUAUUGAAGCAAUGGUCCAUUAUUGCACAAUUAAGUACAAAAUUUGAACCAAAUAAAUGCUGCUGUACAUUUCUUUCAUGCCAAGAACAGUAUUUUAACAUUUAUAUAGCAGUAAUUAUCUAGUUUGGUAUCUUCUUGAUAGAUUAUGGCAAUUGGAACUCUAGCAUUAUGCUACAAUAACGUAGAAGUCUUCAGAGGGGUGGUUAAAAUGCGCCGGGGUAAGAUUUUCAUUUACGGUUCCCUUUUUAUUUUUUAACAAAUAAUCUGUAAAAAAAAUCCCCAAAAGGGUGCACCCAUUGGGAGAGAAGUUAAAGAGAAAUCUAUCCUUUUAGGAACUACUCCUAGUUUGAAUUUUUAUGGCUUUUGUUCUGCAGGUCUUACUGCAAAGGUCAUUGAUCGAACGAAAACAAUGGCUGACGUCUAUGGAGCUUUCUUUGAUUUUUCUGUUAUGCUGAAGGCUAAGGUAGAAAUGUUCCUGUCAGACUCGGCGAUUGCUCUGUUAUCGCAUGUUGCUUUUCUGCAUAAAUAUCAGAGGUUAUCACAUCAUCAUCUAAAGUUGUUUUAGAAAACUAACAUCCAUGGGUUCUACAGGUCAACAGCAAUGAUCCUAAUGCUUCUAAAACCCUGAGCAGAAUCGAGGCAAUACAGAAAACCUGCAAGCAGUCGGGAAUCUUGAACAGGAGGUUUGUAUUGUCCGUCCUCAUCACUUAAUAUUCCCCUAUCUUUCAACCUUGAAUUCCUCUGCGCCCGCCCUCUGAAAAUCUGUUGUCUGUGUUUAUUUGUUCGCCAGGAAAUUGUAUGUAGUCAGAAGUGAGCCAAUGUUCAAUCCAGCUGUGGUGAGUUUCUAUUACCCAAAUCGAUUCAAAACGAAAUCAUUACAACGUAAGAAUAUCUGAUGAUAUUUCUGUUGUUCCUGUCCAGAUUGUUAUACUUUUCAGCCUAUUAUGCAUCAUUCUUGCUUAUCUCUCUGCCAAGCGAUUACCAGCCAACCAAUCUGUAUGAGCGUCAAACUCUAGUAAGGUUAGGUUCGUACCGACGGGAUCAAAGGAAAACAAUCAAACACUGUCUAGUCAUUCAUGCUUCUAACUUUGUUCUCUUGGAAUGCAGUAUAUGAAUUCCAACAGAACACACCGCAAAUGUGCACGUUAUGGUUAAGUUUCUGGCUCCAUUAUCUUUCUUAGAGCUUUGUUUAAGUAUUACAAUGGGUGAUAGUUACUGUUUGUUUAGUACAGAGCAGGAAACAAGUGAAAUCCUGUAACCUUCUAAUGGUUGUAGUGAGAAAUACAUGAAAAUAAGCUUGUUAUAUUCAUCUUUUUUCAAUCUUAUAAUAAGGAAUUAAGUCUUUGAUUUAAAAUCUCUUCAUAACAGUAAGUUGCAAUUAACAUAUGUUAUUCAUCUACUUCUGAUCUGUUUCUUGCUGAUUGUUUAUUUGCUUCUUUUUUUUUUUCUUUUUGUUUUUUGUUGUUACUUUUGAUUUGGGGGUAAAGCUUUUUCUUUUAGAUUGUGAACUCCCUAAUACCAAUUUAGUGCACAUCAAAUUAUAUUUUUUUUUAUGCCAUUUGAAACCUUACCAAUACAAAGGAGAAUCUGUUGGAUCAACAGAAAUGUUGGAAUCUCAAAUAUAACAAAAUGAAUCAAAAUAUUUAUAAAUAUAGAAUAAUGUCGGUUUUUCGAUGGUAGACAUCGGUAGAAUUUUAUAAGAGAUCGUGGUUCUUUAUUGUUUAACAUUAAUAUAUUUUUAGCUAUUUUGUCAUAUAAAAUAAUUACCCCUACAAAAUUUGUUGGUUUGAAAUAGUGUAAAGAGAAUUAUUUUUAAUUAACGUAAAACAUUUUCCCGUUUUUUAGAUAAGUUGAUAUGUUUAUUAUUUACAUUUACAUUAAUAACAAACAUUUUGUUGCUUGUUUUUUAUGUUUUAUGGAUUUUUGUACCGUGCAACAAAAGAUGUUGGUUCAUACAUAUUCGAUAUCAAAAUCCAUAAAAAUGUGAAAAUAUCCCUGUGGUGAAAAUUUUAUUAAGUUUGAUUUAAAUUGUUAUCUACCUAAAAAGCAGUUUUAAAAAAUGAAAAGGUAAAAAAAAUCUAACUUUUGAUUAUAUGAGUGAACAUAGUUCAAAGAUAAUUGACAUGUACUCUUUUACGGAAAGUUCAAAUCAUUUUUUUCACUCGUUCUAAAAAGUUCAAAUCAUUUUUUUCACUUGUCCUAAAAGGAUGUUGAUAAAUAAACACAACUUAUUGAAUGUUCAAAUCUUCGAACCUUUUCCCACUUAUCCUAAAACGCUAAAUAAACACAAUUGAUCAAAUGGAGGUUUCCAUGAGUAUAAAUUUGCAUUAAAAAAGCAUCAAUUCAUUUUCUUAUGAUUAGAGGUGGCUAAUGUACUUGAAACAAAACAAUCAAAAGGAGAUACAAGAAAUAACAUAAUAAAUGCAAUUUUAGAUUGAGGAUGUAAUCGAACAUAUUUCAACGAACAUAGUGAUGGCAUAUUUUAAUUAAAGAAUUUGAUAAUAACUUAUGUUUGUUAAGAUUAAAAGUCUUCUAUAUCAUGCAAUAUAGAGUUGUCCAUCUUUGCUUAAACAAUUGCAUCAAUAACUACUCAACCUAAUGUUACAAUUUGACCUAUAAAAGUUCAAUUUUCAUGUAUAUAACCCCAACACAAUCACACCAACAUAAGUUGCUACUAUUCGAUUGUGUAUAUAUAUAUUAAGAAAAAGGUUUUUUUUUUCUUUUCAAUCAUGGACUAAUUCGAUAUAACAACCCACCUGACCCCACUCAUAUUCCAAGUUUGUGGCAUAGAAAUAUUGCUCCACAUGACAAUCUGAAUAGCUGGGCCCUUCGUGCUAUUCUCCACGAAACUAAUAAAGAAAGCCUAAAAAUCUUACUACAUUUAGAAUCAUCGAAUAAUCAAUACUUCAAAUACAGAAUAUAGCUUUUGAUGGGUGACAAACGGCAACAACAGUGGUAGAUGUGAAAAUUGAAAUUUUCAAUGUCUAAAUCACAAAAAGUUCUAUAAUUUACAAUAAUUCAUCAACAAUGCACAACUUUAAAUAAAUAAAAGUAAUGAGAUAGAAUUAAAAUCAACAAAGUUCUUCAUUGGCUAAACUGGAGAAUAAUACAACCGUGUCAAAACAGAACGCCAAAUAGAACCUUUCCUAAAAGGGGGGAGGAGAAAGAAAGAAAGGGAAUAAAAAGGGGGUAAAAAGCAAUAAAAAGAAAGUUUUAAACCCACCCCACAAAGAUCAAUUUUAGAUAUUGUUGAUGUCUAUGUUACAAAAUCUCAAAAAUUGGUAGAAUGUGCAUCCUAUGAGCAAGAACAUGAUGCAUCAUAUGAGUACACCUAAUGAAAGAAGAAAAAAGGAAAAAGAAGAAAAAAAUACACAUACAAUAUUCCGAGACGAAUAAAUUGAAGCAAAAGUGAUCAAAACACCUCAGCAACCUUACUUGCGAGUACGCGUUCUCUUCUUUCAAUAUAUCCAAACGGGAACCAACCUGCUUUACCUUUGCACUCUCCCUCGGCCCAACCAUUGUUCGACACCUGUUCAAAGAAAGAAAGAACCAAAUGAAAACACAAUCGGUAAGUAAGCAAGGUUCGUUCCAAAUCCGAAAGGAUAACUUUGAAAUGUUGCCAUUCAAAUAUUUAAGGGUGUAUGAAUUUAGUUUACAAUACAUAAACGCAUGUAACCUUUCUGACAACGACGUAGUCGCCAACUGAUAAAUUGAGCUCAACGUCUGACUCAGCUAGGUACGGAUGCAUAACCUACAAGAGAGAUGAUAAAACAAACAAGACAGUAAUUUACCCAAGAAAGGUAAGAAAGAACAAACAAAAAUUGCUCUUUGUUUCAAAACUACCCCUAUUCUUUCUAAAGUUGCGACAUUAUCCUUGACCUUACAUAAAUAUGUCAAAGCUACCUUUGGAGUAAAAAUUCGUUAGAACGUAAGAUCAAUUAUCAAAACUGGGAUUUGAAAGUGUGUCAGAGACCUGAUUGAAAUUGAAACUUGAAUACUACGACACUGUUGCAGCUCACCACUACAAUCGUUCCCAUUCAUGUCCAAAAUUCUAAUAGAUUUCUAUUGUGACUUUUGAAAGAAUAUAAUAUACGUAGUUCCCAAACAAAGAGCAAAGUUGGCUAGCAUUUUUAUAAAACAAAUAGACCAAAGAAAAAGGAAAUUGGCAAGCUACCUCUCCCAAAAAGUAACCCAUGGCAUCUGUUGAGCCAUUAUGUGCUUGAGAAGCAAAUACACCAUUGACUUCUUCAUAUGAUGGGGGAGGCGGCAUGCUAUUGUCGAUACUUGGACCAGGAGGAGGAGUCGGGGGAGCUUCAAUUCUCUGCCGCUCCAAUAUCAUCUACCAUCAAAAGAAUAUUACAUGCUUAAUAACUCUUCAACAUUAAGUGAAUAGCUUCAUAACCAAACUGGCACAUGAUUGCUACCUCGCCUUCAAGCUGAUCAAGUAUCUGAAGGACUCUCUGAUGAUAGGCACGUUCUGCUUCAACCUUCAAAAUACAGGAUGAUACAAUACCAUUAAUUUCGACCUUUGGACUCCUAAAAAUAAAAUACAUCUAAACAAAAUCAGAAAACCACCAAAAGUCCUGAUAACAUUAUACCCACCAUGGCAAUGAGUCGUUGGAGAGUUAGCCUCUGUUGUUGAGCUUCAACAGCAGCCAUGGCUGCUGCAGCUUCCUUUCCCAUUGUUGCCAUAUUUGACUUUAGAUCAUGCAAUUUCGCUUCGGCAGCUUCCAACUUCACAGUAAUCUCAGCAUUGCCCGGUGCUUCCCUAACUCUUGCCUGGCGCUUGAAAACCUCAAUAGCCUGUCUAGGUAGAACAUAAAGUGCUACUUAAUUAAACGUAGGAUGGAAUUGAAACCUUACCAAAGUACAUCACAUCCUGAGCCAAUAAAAAUAUAUAUUAACUUUUUUUUAAAAAAAAAGGCCUAUUUACAUAUCAAGAAUGAGAAAAGGUACGCAUGUAACCCUCAAUCCCAUUGUUGUAAUUUACAUCAAGUCAAGUCAUUUCCUACUAGUAAAUCCACAGUUUCUACUUAUUAUACUGUAGGACUCCAUCAAGAGAUAGGAAACUCCCACUCCCAUUUACUUAUUAAUGUAGAUCCACCAGUUUUUACCAUAGCAUUUUCCUUUCUCCGUAAUUUUAUUGUGGAUCCCAUACAACUGUAAAUUAGUUUCAUAUAGGUCAAAGUAGAUAACAUCGCUAGUAAUGAAUCUCAUUAUCAUUUGGAUUCCAUAAUUAUUUUAGUAAACCCAACAUAAAAUUUUCAGAUCCAUUUUUCACAUAUUUCAUAACAAUUUUUUUCCCUUUUCCUAUGCAUUCCGAUAAGCAUUUCAAUUAAUUUAAAUAAUGGAGGAUCUUAAAGUAUUGACGAAUUACCUGAGCUUCAGCUUCUUGUCGCAUUCUAUCAUAUCGUUGAGCAAGAUGUCGAGCAUCCUCCAAAGGAGCACCCAUAACCAUUGCUCUCAAUGGCUCUGCUACCUGUUAAUUGAAAUGUGUAAGUACACUUGAAUCACUGUCCUUAGUGAAUAAAGUAUCAUUUAAAGAGUUGCAACUCAGGAUGGAUGGGUUCCUCAUCAUUUCAACUCAGAAUGGGCAUAGUCCUUAAUUGCCUAUAUUCCUAACAAAGAGAUCUAACCAUGAAUUUUUAACCUGAAUGAGUUAUGCACGGCCCUUGUACUUUUCUAAAAAGACUAAAUCAUCUUUAAAAUUAAAUCAGCAAGAAUUUGACUAGCUAUAAUUCAAAUGACAUCUAAUCUAGCACAGAAAUCCAUAAUCUAACCUGAGUGCCAAGAGCCUUCAGCAUGUUUCCACGUUCUUUCUCCAUUUGAGCUCGGGCUCGCCCAUAAUUUAAUGCAGCUUUCGAUAACGUGCUGCCACUAGUACAUGUAUUUUCAGCACCAUAUUUCCUGCUAUCCUCUGACAACUUUGUUCCUAUCGAAUAAUGAGAACAAACAGAACAAUGACAAAAUGAUCUAAAUGUUACAAACAAAUAUUAUCUAAAUCUCAAUUCAAUUGUAAGACUUUAAACUCAAAGAUAAUUAUUUUUAAAUAACAACAAUGGUUAAAAAAAUAAAAGAACUUACCUAUUUCGACUUGUUUUGAACCGGUUACAAUAUAUCCCUCUACUCCUCGUACAAUAUCCCUUUGAAAGUGCUAAAAGAAGAAAAAAAUUCACAUAAAUAUAGAAACAACCAUUUGAAAAGAUAAAGAAGUGAAACCAUAAGGAUGAGUAGCAACCUUUCCAGCACGAGUUGAUAUAUACAACUUUUCUAGUUUUUGGUGUUGGUGAAGCUCCGCCUCAUCCGUAAUAAUGUUAUCCGAACCUCCAUAUCCUCCAGCACCAAACUGUUUGAGUACAGCCUACAAUACAAAAUGAGGUUGCAUUAUGUCAUUGACUUUUCUAGCAGUACCAAUAAUACACAAAUAAAAUCUAAGCUAACCACUCUUCCAUUAAAAUUACGAUAAGCAACCAUGAAUAAACAAAUGGAGAAGAGAUAUGAUCAGGAAAUGGAUCAGAAACACAUUCCUUCAACUUCUUUUCCAUUUCUAUCUACUUUCUGAAGAGCAUUUCUUCUGAAUAAGACACUCACCCACAACUCUUUAAAAAGCAUAAAGUUACAGUUACCUAUCACAUCAAUCCUGUUACAAUAAACAAAAAACUACCGGCUCCUAGCUGAUAAGAAAUGCCGCGGAAAACACAUUCAUCUCUAUCUUUAAAUUAUCCACCAGCAAAAGAUAAACGAAGAUUAGAUAAUCAAAGAUUUAACUUCCAGAUCCAUAAAUUCGUAAAAAAAAAAAGUCAUGAAUCAACAAAAGCAUUGACAUCCGAAUCAAAGUCACAUAACCAGGAGUAGCAUUAUCGAAUAUUCCGAAAUAAAGAGAAAAAAAAAACAAAAAAACAAAAAACAAAGAAGCUAAGGCAUGAAAGAAGAAGAAAAAUAUUUACAAAAAUGAAGAAGAAAGCUUGAAGAGAUUGAAGAAAACACAGAAAUGGAUCUAAGCAAGAGGAAAGAGUUUAGGGUUCGAUCGGAGGAGGGGGAAAAAAAACCUGUUGCUGGCGAGCGACCUGUUCACGGAGCUUAGUGGCUUGCUUUCGGAUGGCAUCCAUACGACGGGAGGAAUCUGGGCGGGCGGGAAUCGGAGGAGAAACGGCGGGGGGAUCGGAGAAGGAAGAAAAAAUAAGAUGAGAAGAGAGAGAGAGAGAGAGAGAGAUGAAAGGUUUUUGUUUUUAAAUAAUUUGAUUUAGUUUUUGAAAAUUGGGAAGAGAAUGAGAUGAGCACUUGAGGCUUUCGGAGGCUUCGUAUUUACAUUUGUCUCUCUUUCAUUUUCAUUACCUAAAAUCCUUUUUUUCAAAAAACAAAUGAAAGUUUCUUAAUUUCUUUAUGUACAAAGUUAUGAUUAUUUACUUUUAUCCUAAAUUAAUCCUAAGAUGGUUUUUUAGUUUUAAAUACUAAAAUUGUCAACAAAAAAAACGUUCGUGUAAAAGAUUACGUGAAAUUCACCGACUCCUUAAACCAAACUAGGAGUGAAUUAGUUUAUAUUUAUCGUAGUUUAUAAAAUUUUAUUAUAUUUGUAAAAACAUUGACUCGUUUAUGUAAAAGUAUCCAAAUGUUUUUUCCCUAAAGUUUAAUUCGAAAAUUGUCUCCAUCUAAUAUUUGACUUUUACUUUUUUAUUUUUAAAAAGAAUUCAAGAAAGGGCAUAGAUUCAAACCUUUCUAAUUUGACUUUGAGGUGGAUAGUUUGAUAAUCAAACUUCGAGAUAGAAAUAUAUUACGUUUGAAUUAGUUCGACAUUUUGGAAGUUUAAGUUCUAUUCAUGCUUUUAAAAAUUAAACAUAUUUUAUCAUCUAAUCUAAGAAUGAUUUGCAUUUUUCAUUAUAUGAAUACUUAACCAAAUUUAAAAAUAAAAAUAAUUUUUUGAAAGUUUCCUUUUUAAGUUUUAGUAAUCUAUAGACUUAAUUUUAAAAUAACAAAAUAGUUAUCAAGCAAAACUUAGUCUUUGAAGUUUCAAAACUAUGCUUUCUUUAAUUUAAAAAAGUGUUAAGAAGAACAAGUUUUUAAUUUUGUGUUUAAUAAGUUUCAAUUUUGUUCUAACGUUUAGUCCACUCAAUAACGAAAAAAACAUAAAAAAAAAGAUCGAAAAAUUAGAUAGUGAUAAACCAACAAACUUAUAGAUAAAAUUAUAACAAGGUAAGAAUCUCUCUUCCAAAUUGACAGUGUAGGUUAAAUUAUGAAAUUCAAAACAUGAUUGGAAUCUUUUAUCAUCUUUUUAAUUUGAAUUUUCUUAAAAGUUAGAAUUGGAAUAUAAUGAGAAAUAUUGGUUUAUAAUAAUUAUAAAUAAUGGUGCCAACCAAUGAAUUGAGAGCUUAGCAAUAUUGUGGCGUAUAAAAUAAUCUACCAUUUUUAUUGCUAUCAAUCAUUACUUCCAUACAAGGAAAAUAAUCAUAAAGUAUACAUUUCAUUAUACUAUAAAGUCCAAUUCCAUAUUAAGGUUUCAUCUUAAUAUAUACUUACUAUCUUUUUAUCUCUCAAAGUGCGUGAGCAUGCCUUAGCUUCACAUUUUUCAAUAAUAUCCUUUUUCUUAAAUUUUCAUCAUUUCUUCCUUUUCUUACAAGCAGACAUUUUCAACUUUUUAUAGAAUAAAGUUCGACAAAAUAAUAAAUAAAUCAAAAUUAAUAUCUAACAACAACUUUGCUUAAUCGACGUUAGAGGUUAAUUGUUUAAACUCAUUCACCUUCGAUUUGUACUAUUGAUACCUUAAUUAGUAAGAGUAUUCAACGAUUGUGAUUGGAUAUGUUUGGUUAUGAGUUUGAGAAUGUUUUUUAAUUUUGUUGAUACAAAAAUGUGUGUGAAAUGAAAUCGCAAAUCUCUUAAUCGUUAAUAUAUAGUUGAUAUCGAUUUAGGUAAGCUUGUUGUUUAUCAAUUAUUGUUAUGUAUUAUUUUUUUCUAGACUUGUGUGAAUGAAUAUUCAUCGGCCCUGAUAUUAGGUCAUGUUUACCGAUUCGUAAUGAAAUUUUGUAUGAUCGUAACGAAAUUUCAUUAAUAGAUUAAUUGUAAUAAACUCCAAUAUACAGUACUAGUUUUUUUUUUUUUUUUUUUUGUAUUUACCCAAAUUAGAACGGUAACAAUGCAAUGUAAUUUUCAAACGCAAUCAAAUUAAUCAACAAUUUGUCAAUUGAAUUAUAACAGUGUUGUUGAUUAGAGUAAUUUAACUUCAUUUGUGAUUUUCUUUUUUUACUUUAUUCGAUGUGUAUUUUGAAUUUAAUAUGGUUUAAAAUAAUUUUGUUUUAUUUUUUUACGUUGAUUUUGUUUUGGUUUUACUUUGUUUAAGUUUUGUAUACCAUAAUUGUUAUAUACUUAUAUUAUGUAUUAGUUGGUUGAUAUACUUAUUACAUAGUUUUCAUUUUUUUUUUUUCAAAUUUUAUGAAGUUCAUUAUAGUAUUAUUAUGUAUAUGAAUAAUAUAACGCAAUAUAUCAUUAUCAAGUAUAUCAACAACAUAUUGUUAAAGCAUAUCAGCAAAGUGAAUUGUUAUCAAGUACAUGAAUCAAGUUUACAAAUGUAUAUCAAGUGUAUAAGUAGGAUUUCAAGCAUAUCAAAUGUAUUUAAUCAAUCAAAUUAUAAGUGAACAAUACUAAUUAAGUGUAUUUGCAUAGUGCAUCGAGUGUAUCAAAUAUAUCAUGUACAUCAAACGUAUUAAAUUUGUUUAGUGUACCAAUGAAGCAUAACAAGUUUACUAGUGGUGUAUCAAGUGUAUCAAACUUAUAAGUGGAGCUUUUAAGUGUAUCAAACUAAUCAAGAGUAUCAAGGUCUAAGGGGUAUCAAGUGUAUCGAGAAAAAUCAAGUGUAACGAGGAGUAUCAUGCGUAUCAAGAUGUUUCAAGUGUAUAUCAAAAGGUAUCGAGUGUAUCAAAGAGUAUUAGAUGCAUCAAGUGUAUCAGCAAGAAAUAUCAAAUGUAUCAAGGGGUAUUAGGUGUAUCAGACACGUAUAAAGUGUAUCAAAUGUAUAUCAGUAACGAAGGACAUUUGUGACAUUUUAGUUUUUGUCACUUUUGCAAAUAAUAAAGUAUAUGUACUAUGAACUUAAUUAUUAUAACUUGUUUUGUUAUUUUUGUGAGUGCUAUAUAUAUAUAUAUUAGUAAACUUUAUAGUUUAGGUUAAAAAUACCUCUAAACUUUUAAAAAUUUAAAAAAUGUUUUUCAAACUUUUAAAAAGAGUUUAGAUGAAAACCGUUAAAUUUUUGUUUGCUUAAAAAAAACAAUGUAAAAUUUUCAUAAGUAUUCUUGAGUUUUUUUUUUUAAAAAAAACUAUCAUCCAACCAAAAUUUUAAGUUAAAAGAGAUUUCUUUUAUAAUUAUUUUAGUAUGUUUUAAGAGAAUAUUUUAAAAUUUUGAGAUUUGGUUGAAUUUUAUGUUAAAGUAUAAAUGAAUAAAUCAAACUCAUAAUUUUACUAAAAUUUUAAUUUUGAUAAAUAUUUAUGAAAAAAUUAUCAAGUUCAAAAUUUAAAUUUAAGUUAGUAAAUAAAUAUUUUUUCACUUUCAAAUAAAUAAAUAUAAACAUGUGUAUUAUAUUUAUAUAAGUACCAUUUUUAUAUUUAUCUAUUAUGAUUUAUGAAUUUGAUUCACCCCUUCAACCAAUAUAAAUAUCAACAUAUCAAUAUAAAUUUAAACAAUGAUGAAAUUAAAUUUAAGUUUCCAUUUUAAAUGAUAAAAAUUUAGUCUAAAAAUUAGAUUACUUAAUUGAAGUAUUCUUUUAACUUUUUUAAGUUAAGACAUUUACAAAACUUUUAAAUGGUCUAGUGACAUUUUUAAAACAAAACUUCAAGGGUUUUAUUUUAUCCAAACUCACGAUAGUAUUUAAUACUCCUCUCAAACGUCAUUUUUUUUACCCAAACCUAUAUACAUCUUUUUUUUUUAUAAUUUAGGCAUGUCUAUCAGCUGAGAAUUUGUUAUAUAUAUAUAUUUCGGAUAUUUUUUUUUGGUUGCCAACAAAUGUGCUAAUAUUUAAAUUGAAGAAUAUGUGUUCUAAUAUUGAAAUUUAAACAUUUAAACUAUAGUAGAGUUUUCUUAAGGAUACUCAAAAUUUCUUUUAAAUGGGAAUUUAUUGGAGAAUUUGCACCUAAAUCACCACAAAAUUAAAUGAAAGAUUUUGUGGGAACGAAUAUGAAAUAGAAAGGAAGGGAUGAUGACAAAGAUGUCAUUUCGACCUACCCUGCCAUGAACAAAAGUUGUAUAUGAGUUAGAGUUAAUUCUUUAUAGAAGAUAUGAAUUUAAAUGUAAUGUUCUAUUUAAAUAUGUAAUUGAGAAACAAUUAAACUACACAUUAAGAAACAAUUCAUUUCUUCUUCUGUGCCAUCUACAAGACAAAAAUAAUAAUAUCAAGAAACCAAACACGACCUCAGACAACACGACUUAAAAAGGGAAGAACCUCAGACGAACCCUAAACCAUCAAACCUAACCACACAACAAAUCACUAGGGGUGGAAGUUAGUAUUGUGGACAGAGAGGUUAUGCUCAUGAUAAAGAUGAAAAAUGAUAGCAUGACAGUUAAGCCACACGAGUCAAUAAAGUAAUAAACCUAGGAGUAUUUCAAGUGUCGAAUUCCUCAAAGACUAUAUCCAAUUUAGAUUCUCAGAGGCAAUGCAAACAAUGUAAUCAAUAGUAACUAAAUGUGAGAUUAGGUUGACUGUUGAUUAAAACAGUAAACAAGAAGUGGUAACGAGUGUCCUAAGAGACAACAUUGAUAACUCCCUCGUCACAAAGUUCCUUUGGAUAUUUGUUCACUUAUUGUUGCUAAUCAACAGUCAGCAACUUUCAUUCUUUAUAUCAACACUAAUUCUAGAGUCAAAGUUUUCCAUUUGGUUUUCAAAAUAGAAAUAUUUCUGAGGCAAAUCAAGAGGUUCUAUCAUUCCAACACCAAAUCCAAAACAAAGUAGCAAUUAAGUUAAAAAUCUUUCUCCAAGAAGAUGAGCAUAUAUAGAAACGAGAUUAAGAAUUAGUAUUUCAAAAUCCGUUGUAGGUUACCUAAAAUGGAGAAGAAAGAAAAAUUUAAGGACUACCAACUUGACCAUACAAAGUAAAAAGGGCAUAAUCAACCUAAAGAUAGAUCUGAACUCAAUUCCUGUAAGAUUCCAUUCACCAAGAAGAAGAUGAAGGUGAUGGUGGUUUUACUCUGUUGCUGGGCAGCUUUGGUGGCUGUUGAGGAAGACUGUCAAGUAUAAGGACCCUAUACAGCCACUUAACAUCCGGAUCAAGGACCUGAUGGAAUGAAUGACUCUAGCAGAUAAGGUUGGGCAGAUGGCACAGUUGGAUUCUUCGGCCACCACACCGGAAAUCAUAAGAGAUUACUCCAUUGGCAGUGUGCAACGGAGGCAGUACCCCAUCUCUACAGGCUACUGCACAGGAGUGGAUUGACAUGGUGAAUUCCUUCCAGCAGGCCACAUUAUCAAGUAGGCUUGGAAUUCCAAUAAUGUAUGGUAUUGAUGCCGUCCAUGGUCACAAUGGCGUCUACAAUGCUACCAUCUUCCUCAACAAUGUCGGUCUUGGUGCAACCAGGCGAAAAUAUAUGAGAGGAGGAUCUAAACUUUGUUUUCACAAACUCCCAAUGCCAUUUGGAGAUAUUGGUGGUUAAAUAGUUUUCUCAUGUGACAGGGAACCUGAACUUUUAAGAAGGAUUGGUGCUGCUACUGCUAAAGAAGUUAGAUGAACUGGGAUAGAUUAUGUCUUUGCUCCAUGCAUAGCAGUAUGUUUUCUUAAAUUCAUUUCCCUUUAUUUAUAUAAACUUGUCUAGUUCAAAUAGAACGAUGAGCAUUUUCAUUUCAGGUCUGUAGAGAUACGAGAUGGGGAAGGUGUUAUGAAAGCUACAGUGAAGAUCCUGACAUUGUCAAAGAAAUGACAGAUAUCAUAGCUGGGUUGCAAGGACAAACCCCAUCUAGUUCUUCAAAAGUUAUUCCUUAUGUUGUUGGAAGGCAAGUUUUCAACCACUAAAGAUUUGGACAGAUUUUCCAUUCUACAAAACCUACUCAAAAAACCUCUUGGCCUUGCAACAGAGAAAAGGUUGCAGCUUGUGCAAAGCAUUUCUAUUUUGUAGGCGAUGGCAGGACAACAUGCGGUAUCAAUUAGAACACAGUUAUCAGCAAGCAUGGAUUGUUACGCAUUCACACGCCAGGAUACUAUCACUCUACAAUCAAGGGUGUCUCUACAAUAAUGGUUUCCUACUGAAGUUGGAACUGUGAGAAUAUGCAUUCAAACCAUGAACUCGUCACUGAUUUGCUUAAGAACAGACUAAACUUCAGGGUAUGUAUUUGCACUAGAUCCUCAUGAAUAAUAAGCCUAUACAAUGACAAUCCCCUAAAUUUGAACACACGUAACUAUUGCAGGGUUUUGUAAUCUCCGAUCAAGAAGGUAUUGAUAAGAUCACAGACCCAGCUCAUUCAAAUUACACAUUCUCAAUUCUCUCUGGAGUUUAAGCUGGAAUAGACAUGGUAAGAUAAUCAACAUAAGCAAUCCAAUCAACAUAGCAUCUAUACAUCUUAUAAAACUAGUUUUAUUGUCGUGAUUAAGAUUAUGGUUCCUGCAAAUUACACUGAGUUCAUCGAUGGCCUACCUACCUUAUCGUUAAGAACGUUAUUCUGAUGUCCUGAAUCAACGACGACGCCGUGAGAAGGAUUUUGAGAGUCAAGUUUAUGAUGGGCCUGUUUGAGAAUCCAUUGGCGGGUGACAGAUUUGUAAAUGAGCUUGGAAGCCAGGUUAGUUGGUCUGAAAAGACAAGGAAAUGUACUUUAAAAUUGAAAUAUUAUACCAAUUCAAAUGAACACUGAACAGGGACACAGAUUUGGCAAGAGAAGCAGUGAGGAAAUCACUUGUUCUAUUGAAGAAUUGCGAAAAUGCUGAUGAAACAGUUCUUCCUCUGUCAAAGAAAGCACCAUAGAUCUUAGUAGCCGGAACUCACGCCAACAAUCUGCGGCGGCCGGACAAUCACCUGGCAAGGACUCAGCGGACAAAAAUCUAACAACCGGAACCACCAUUCUCGAGGCAGUGAAGAAAACCGUUGAUCCAAACACGGAGGUCAUCUACAACAUAAAUCCAACAACCGAUUACUUCAAGGCGAACAACUUCUCGCACGUCAUUGUGGCUGUAGGAGAAACGCCGCACGCCGAGCCCAAAGGCGACAACCUAAACCUAACUAUCCCCGAAGGAGGCUCGGACACGAUCCAGAAGGUGUGCAUCGUUGUCAUCGUCUCCGGCCGGCCUCUGACGAGGCAGCAAUACACGUCACAAUUGGACGCGCUGGAGGCGGCGUGGCUGCCGGGAACGGAAGGGGAAGGCGUGACGGACGUGCUGUUGGGAGAAUAUGGGUUCACCGAAAAGCUGGAGAGGACGAGGUUCAAGACUCAAGAAAAAGAUGGUUAGGAAUUUUGUUUAUAAAUAAUUAGGGUUUCUUUGGAAAUUAAAUAAAUAACUAUUUUUUUUUUUUUUUAUGGAAAGAUGAUAUAAUGUAUUGCAAAAUUGUAUGAAAUAAAAUUAAGUAUAAGAGGUAGAGUUCACCUACCAAACCAAACAACUAUAACCACAACUCGUUUUGUUUCAUUUCUGAUCGAGAAGAAACCAUUAAAAUCAAAAUCAAUUUUCUAUGAUAGUAUCUAUUUCAUUUGUUAAGAUCAUUGUCAUGUUUAAUGAUCAUUGUAAAGCCUUUGAGAUUGUCGUUUCUCCAAUUUAGAUUGAAAAAAUUGUGCGAAUAAAGGUUCAAGUUUUGGUUGAUUUGCUUCAUUUUGGUUAACAACAAAAGUAACUCAUCGUUUAUGGCUUAACUGUUUAUACAAAUUUGGAUAUUUGACAAUUUGCAUUGAAGACUACCUUUCAAGGGCGGAUUUUGCCAUUUUCCAUUUUUUACUUUGUCCUUCAGUUUUAUCUUUGUUGCAUUGAAAAAGUAAUAUUUUUGUAGACUUGUAAUAGAAUGAAUCUAACCAACGUUUGAAAUAGAUAGAUAAUAAAAUUUUAUGUUAAUUUCGAUAAACGUCGAACAUUUUACACUUUUUAAACAAGUUAACAUUUUUAUUGUUUUUUUAUAUUCAAUUUAGCAACAUUUUUUUUUUCACGUUUCAUUGAUUUUUUUUUCUGUAAUUAAAAUGUCGCUCUAUCUUGCCUCGUGAAAAUUUAGAAAAUGCCAAUGAAAAUAUCUACAUAUAAACAAAUACAUAUCACCACAAAUUUAACCAAAUGAUUUUUUCUUUCAUUUUUUUAUCAACCAUCCAUGCAAAACGUCUUUUUAAAUUUGUUCCCUCCGAAUUAAAACAAUCUAAGUUAAAAAACACUAUAUAGCUAAGAACAUCUUGCAUUAUAAGGUCGAUAUAAAAGUUUCACAACAAAAAGAAAAAAUACUUCUUUUCUGACCCAUUUCUAAAAACUUUCUCUUAGAUACGUAAAGGAGAGGAUAUGAACAAAAGUCAUUACUUUACGUUCAACUAGCACUAUAAAAACCUAUUUACCAAUAGAAGUGGUAGAAUGAUUCUGAACACUUUAGCUUGGACUACUAGCACGUUUUUUUUUUCUUAUCUUUUAUUCACUCGUGAUUUUGUUACAACAAGGAAGUUUGCCCCUUUGUUUGUGGGUCACGCCUUAUCACAAGCACUAAAAGUAGAAAUAUGAAAAAACAUAAAGAUAAGAUAAGAUUGAAAUGUUAUGUAUCAAAAGCAUCGACGAAAGGUGAAUAUUUAUACCAAAAGUUUUACAACACAAAACUAUGGUUAAAAUUUUCCUCUCUCCUAUACAUAAAUUACACGUUUUAACAUUAUAUUCUUUAAACUAUUAGGAAAAACUCAAAAUUUAAUAUUUUAAAAAAUUACUCACUUCUAAAAAAUAUUAAAUAUUAAAAUGCAAUAAGAAAUGGUUAGUUUAGUUUAGUUGAAAUUAUUUGUAGUACAACUUUUGUUUUCAAUUAACUUCAUCUAUUAAUUAGUAUUUAAAUCUAUUAGGUUGAUUUCCAUUAGUUAAUAUUUUGUGUGGUUUCUUGCUUGGAUUUUAAAAAUAAAUUAUUACAUAGAUUAAUUUUUUUUUCUUACAUUAAUUAUAUGUCAAAUUGCCAUAGUAUUAAUUGAAGAUGGAGUGGGAAAAGGUUAAUAAAGUCAACUUGACAUAUCCACCCUCUUUAUCAUAAUUUCUUUAAUAAAAUUCUAAUAUUUACUGAUAGAAACCAUUUGAUUGAAGAAAAGAAACUAAAUUAAAUAUUCUUAAAAACUAGUUUAAAAAUUAUUUUAGUCAAUUAAUUACCUUAAAAAACAAAUAAAAAAUACUUCGAUUUAUAAGUGUAAGAAUAACUCAACAAUCGAACUACUCAACUCAUAUUAUAAAAGUUAGGUUGAGCUGAGUUUAAAAUUUUGAUUUUUUUCAAAUUGGAUUGGGUAUCGGAUUGUAUAUAUAUUUAUAUUAUAUAAUUUUAAAUAUUAAUUUAAAAAAUGUUGGUUUAUACUUAAGAUGAUAAUCGAAAAACCCAACCGAUUAGAAACGGGAUGAAAAGGGGAUCUAAUGAAUUACCAAACACAUUGAGUGGGUAAAAUUGGUUGAAGAGUUGGUAUUUUGAAUUCCUUUGAUAAAACAAUACAUAGAUUGACAUCUUCCUUUUGACCCCUUUAAUGAGCAAUAAAUUAUUGCACUAUUUAUUCAUAAUUUAAAUCCCUACAUUCCAAUUAACUUUAUUUUAAAAAAAAACCCACUAGCUCUUGGAUUUUGCCUACCUUUCAUCAAUGGAAAUAGAUGAUAAGGGCAGAUUUGUGGAAAAACAAUGACACCAUUUUUGAAAGACAAACAACAUGUGAUAUGUGGAGUGGAGUGUACUUUAUGUAAAAAUAAAGCCUUUUGGAGAGAUGCUUUUCAUAUUUUCCUAUUUCAAAUAAACUAAUGUUUACUAUUCAAUUAGCAUUAAAUUAAUUAUAAAUCUCAACUUGUUUGAAGCUGUAGACAUGAAGGAUUUUGUUUUUUCAUGUGCAACAAUGAAGGUUAUGAGGCCAGCUGAAUUCAAUUUGUUCUUUAGAGAAAACUCAAUGUCCGACAAAUGUUUCUAUGUUAUUAAUAGAAGAUAUAGAUCGAUAGAGUUAAUUGGAAGUCAACUCGAGUGUUGAGUUCAUUCCUUGUAUAAUUCGGUGGAUGAAGUGAGGAUUUGUUGAUUGAGAUACUUUGAGAUCUUUUUAGAGCGUUGUUGGUCCAUAAAUUCUCUACAAACAUAAUAUCUAAAUACAUAAUUUACAAAAGGAAUUGGUCAACUGGGAGAUUUUGUUAGUGUCAACAUCACACUCUAAAAUUGAAUAUUCUAAUAAAAACAACUAAGUAUGCUGCUAGAGGAAUUUGAAAUUUCUAAAAAUUGGAAGGGUGGAAUUAUUAAAUAUAAAAGUUAGGGUUGAUUAAGAUAUUUGUAAAUAGGUGGUAAUAAUUCAAUAGACCAAAAGAAAAAGGAAGUUGUGCUGUAAAGAGAUAUGGAAGGUGAGAAGCAUGAUACUAUGUCAAAAGCAACAAAUUAAAAUAAUAGUUAUAAUAAUUAUAAAAAAAUUACUUUUCAUAAUUAUAUUUUGAAUCUAGAUUUUAAAUAUUUUAAAUGAAUAUCAGUACAUACAUUUCAUAAUGUGUUGAUUUGAUUCACUAAUUUUUUAUCGUUAUAUUUUAAUUUUGUAUAUUUUUAAUUAUUCAUUGUAUGUCUCUGAUAUUGAAAUGAGUGAUCUCUCAAUUUUUACUUUUGUAAAUUAGUUUUAAAAAAAAGUAAAUGUGAACAUUUCUUCAAAACAUAUAUAUAAAAAAACUAAGAUAACAAAAACAAAAAAGUGCGAAAAAUAACAUUAUUAAAUUCAAUAAUCAAAUAAAAGUUAAACUUAAAAUUCGAAAUUAAAAUGUAAGAAGUAAAUAAAAACUAAAUUACAAAACAAUAUAUAUAUAUAUAUAUAUAUAUAUAUAAUGAAAAGAAAUGUAAAGAAGACGAUAAGUUAGAGAGGAUAGUGGACAAUGAAAAGGCCUUUGCUUUCGUCAAAGAUGGCCGAACAUUGGUUUUCCCAAAUUAAAUUAAUUAAAUCAAAUCCAUUGCGCGUCACUCUUUUUUUCUAUUAAAUACAUUUUACAAAUCAUCAUUUUUUCUUUAAUAACAUCAGUAAAUAAUGGUUAUUAGUAAUUUCACAAAAAAUAAAAAAUACAAAAUUAUGCCUUUUCUUUUAACCCUUUCAAUUUUUUGUUAUCUUUUAAUGUUUUUUUUUUUAAAAAAAUAAGUUCAUUGUUUUAACCAACAAAGAAUUCAGUCAGUACCCAAACAAAUUGUUUUUAAAAAUUAAUUUUUUAAAAAGAAGAAGAAAACAAACAGAUUAGUGAACGAACUCUUGAUUUGUAGUGAGAAGUGAAGAGUUUGGUGAAUAGCUUGUUUUGAAUAAGAUUGAAGAAUGACAUGAAGAUGAUGGGUCAUACAAAAAUGUGUAACUUUACUUCAUUUUCAUUUUUAGAUUCAUGUUUCUUUCCUAUCCGACUCCAAAUUCAAGUAUAAUUCAAUAAAUAAAAGCAUAAAUUUAUUUAAUUUCAUCUCGUAUUAGAUUUUAAAAUAUAAAACAAAAUGUUUAAUCCUACAAAAGUAUAUCAAAUACACUAUUUAUUAUUGAUAAAAUUUAAAAUUUUACUAUAUUUUAUAAAUAUUUUAAUUUAUUGUUAUAAAUAGAAAAAUGAUUUAAAAUAUUCCUAAAUUAUAACAAAAUUUCAUAACUAUACUAAGGUAAAGUAUUUUAUAUUUUAUUAUAUUUUAAAAUAAUUGAGAUAUUUUAAAGUUGAACUGAUAAGUAUAAAAACAAAAGUAAUAUUAUAAGGAAAUAAAAAUACAAAACCUAAAAAGGAAAACUGACUUCGAACCCUAUGACAUAUUCAUUAAUAUGAUGUGAAGUAUAACUAAAUUUGUUAAUACAAUGUAUAUUUUUUUCAUAUAGUAUUUUUCGUUUUUUCAUUGAAGCAACAUUAUUAUUAUUAUUAUUAUUUGCUAGAGCAAAUGAGCUUUUUUAUAAUUGAUAUAAUUCUGUAAUUCGAUAAAGUGUGCCUUUAUAUAUCGAAAAAAUUUAAUACAUUAUGGAUCUAUUAGAUAUCAAAAUGAAAACUUUCAAACUUAUUAGUAAAAAAAAUGAAAAAAUAAAAUUAAAGACUAAAUAAUACUUUAUGAAAUUUGAAAGUGUGUUGCAAUAAGUGAAUUUUAUAAUUUAAUCAGUUAAGUGUGUUGUGGUAAGGCAGUAGAAAUAAACUUUAUAUUAAAAAAAUGAUGACAUUUUGUUUGUUAAAUAUGCAUGCACAUUCGAAUUUUGUCAUUCGAUAUUUUAGGUUUGUUUUUUACGUUUUUGAAUUUUUUCUUAUUCUUAUUUUUCUACAAUUUUUCUUUUAUAUAUUUUUUGAAAUCAUGAUUUUUGUUUUCAAUCAAUCAUCAAUUGUGUUUUUUUCAAGUGUUAUUUUGUUCAAGAUUGUGUAGCAGUGUUAUUAAAUAGUGUAUCGAAUAUUUGAUAGACAAUCUUAAACAAAAAAAAAAAAAUCAUUGAGAUAGUAAGACAAGAUAAGAUUAAAAUCGUGUACUAAAUAUUUGAUAUAUGAUCGUUUAAAUUUGGGUAUAUGAUCUUGUACGAUCUUAAACCAAAAUUAUUUAAAUUUGGUACGCGAUUAUAUAUCAUUUCUACAUGAUGACGUAUUAGAAUAAGAAUUAUCUACACGAUCAUGCACUAGAAUAAGAAUUAUCCACACAAUUAUGUAUUAGAAUAAGAAUUACACGUGUGUGACCAAAUUAAUGGCUAGUUGAUGAUGACAUUUUUUGCAUUUCUGUUAUCGGGUGGGCUUUUUUCAUUUGAAAUGGUUCACAUACAAAUUUUAUUUUCAUCUUUUCAAAUUUUAUUUUCGUUUAAAUUUUUCAUUACUAAGUGUGUCUUUCUUUUAUUUUUUUUCUAAAUGGUUGAAAAUAUUUUUGGACUUGUUUGUAUUUUUGAAAAAACUGAUUUUAAAAGAAGAAAAAAAAGUAUUUUGAAAGGAAAGGGGGGAGAUAAAAGGUCAAUAAUGGAAGGCGCUGAGGGUGGCUGCCAACGCGAGUUUCCAUAAUAUUCUGCCACCUAAUCAAUCACAAAUGAACACAACAUCACAAAACCAUUCUCCUUGUGCAUUGCACGCACCCACACACCAACUCUCCGAUUCAAAAAGCUACCCAUCGCACGGUGCACAACAAACACUCGCCCCUUUCUUUAGAGUGGGGGGAACAAAUCAGUCCCACAAACUCCGCCACAAACCCAUGCGUUUAAAACUAUAAAUUUAAACCCCCAAAAAGAAAAAAAGAAAAGGCAAUCUAGAAUGAAUCGUAAUUAACGCGGGGGCAAAAAUCCCGAAAAGGAACAAAAAGCCGAAAUUUCAAUUGCUGUAAAUAUUAGAAAUUUCAACGCUCAAUUUUGGAAAUUUUAAUUUAACGAUUGUGACCUUAUGGACACACCCACACACACACACACACCAAUUUAUCAAUUAUCCCCACAAGGCCUUUUCUUUCCUCGUUGCUUCCUCUUUCUAUCUCUUUUACUUUUACUUUUUUACUUUUCACUCCUUUCCUCUCAAUUUAUAUCUGCCUUCUAAUCUCCACCCUUCAUUUCCAUAUCCAUCUUAUCUGUGGCUCCCACCCUUCUUUUGGAUUCUCAAUUUUAACUAUCCAUGCAUUUGUAUUUUGUACUGAAUGUUAAUGGAAUUGAAUAUACCAUGUUCUAUCAUGUGAUUUUUAAUAUUAAUCUGUGAUAAAAUUUAGUUAGCAUUCAUACUAGACACGUCAACAUCCUCUUUUACCUUCCAUGAAAACAAAAUACUUUCUUAAGUCAUGGGUUUAGAUCAUACCUCCAAUUACCUCCACAAUAGUGAUGUCGUUGACUUCAAUAUAUAUUCUUAUGACUUUACUUUCGGCUUCUCCUAAAAUACUUUGUACUAGUGAACGUGGUUGUUGUCUCUUAAAUUAUCUUCUUAUUUAGUUGAUGGGGGACUUUGAUUGCAUUUCUAUCUAACAUUAGCUUUGCAAUUUUGAACUUGUGACGAUCUAGACUUGGUCGUGAAGAUAUUACUAACAUUAGUGAAUUUUCCAAUGUUUAAAAAGUAUAAAGAUUAGAUUGUUACAAAUUAAAAAAUAUAGUGACUAAAUGAUUAUAAAUUAAAAGUUCAAAGACUAAAUCAAUACUUGGGGGACCCAUGAGGAUUUUUUUACCAAAAGCAAAAGAAAAAGAACAUGUUAAAAAGUGAUUUAGAAUUGUAUUUGAAUAUCGUGAUUAAUAUUAUUGUUGGUGUUAUGAUAUAAGUUCAAUAGAAAUUCAACUUCUAACCUAUUUUGUGAAAUGAUAUUUGGGCAUUAGAUUGGGUGUAAACAAAUAUAUUGAAUUGCAAACUUUAUUUUCUUUCCAUUGUUUAAGUUCAACAAUAAAUGGAUGUUUAUUUUUUCUUUAAAAGAAGUUCAUUAGACCAAUGAACUAACCACGAUACUGAAGAAUAAAGGACGGCCAACCAAAAAAGUAAGGAUUUAACGAGCCUUAUACAAUAUCUCUCGAAACAUUAUACCACUUGAACGGUCGUUUUAAUAUACUAAGUUUAAAGUACUUUCGACUAGGAUAAUUUAAAAUCAAAAUCAUAGGCUCCUUUCACAGUGUUGGGAGUUCAUCAUUUUUUUUAUUUUUUUCACUUUGGACAACUAUAACUCUAAUAUUUUGAUAAUUGCAAAAAACAUUGGACUUUAAAGUUUAAACUUUAAACCAUAUCACAAAAAGCAUUGCAAAAUUGAAUUACCACGCUAAGCUUUAAGUGCUUUCGUUUGGGACAAUUUAAAGCCAAAGUCGUAUGUUCAUUUUAAAGUGCUUUUAGUCUAUCACUUCCUUAACUUUUAUAACGUGGGACUACAAUAACUGUAAUAUAUAUUAACUUUAAUGUUACGACUUAAACCUUCAAUUUCUCGUUAAAUAAACGUAGUACCGACGAACGCAUCCAAUUUGGGAAUCACUAACAAACACUUGCUCACUCUUGUAGUCCAAAUCGCCAUAAGAACGACCAUUUCAUAUCUAGGACCUACAACCAGGGGGGACCUUCAUAAAUCUCAAUUCAAAACGUUUUCUUUUUCUUUUGUAUUUAUUUACUUAGUUAAAAUGAGUGGAAUGGAUGUGGAAGUGAGUGCAAAUUAAAAAUAUAAAUUGAAAAUUUUAAGAAAAAUAAUAUGUGUAUAUAUAUAUAUAUAAAGAAAGAUAUAAAGAGUCAUAGUCAUGGUUGGGUGGAAGGAAGGAAGAAGAAGAAGCCGGCUAAGCCUGCUGUCCAUUAAGACUAAGAAAAGUCAGCCCCACCAAAUGAUAAAACCAAAUGUCCAAAAAUUAAUCAAAAUCAAUAUUUUUUUAAUUUUCUUUUUCAAUUCUGAUAUAAAUUUCAAAAGGGGUUAAUUUAUCCUUUCAAACUUUGGAAUCUGCAACUGCCCAUCUGACCCAUCUUUCCAUUUCUCUCCCUUUGCAAUUAUUUUUUGUUUUUCUUCCCCCUUUCUCAAACAGGUAAUAAUCAUUAAUUCAAACAUACAAAGUUUAGAAAUGAAUUUUGUGUGUGUUUUUUUUAAGGAAAAAUAAUUAUUUGUUUUUGUGUUUUGGUUGUAGAAGAAAUGGAGUUUUUGGAAGCUAAAGCUUUGAAAUCAAGUUUCCAUUGGGAAUUAGCCAUGAAAUCUGCUCAACAAGAUGCUUUGGUUGAGGAAGUUUGGUGUUUGAACGGUCCUAAUCUUGUUUCCGGUGAGGAUUUUGAGAUCGAAGAGUUUUUAAACUUCCCUAAUGGCGAUUUAGAACAUGGGUCUUCUUUGAGACUUCAAGAAGAUGACGAUUGUGAAGAGUUUGAGAAGAAUCGGUUCUCUGUUUCGUCUAAUUCGAACCAGUCCGAUGGGUCUCCGGUCGUCGGAGAGGAGGAUUCUAAGUCGCUUCUUGCUGUUGAACUUGCUUUUCCGGUAAAUUUAAUUUCUGGGCUUUUUUUUUUUUAAUGUUUUUGGUUCUAAUUGCUUGAAUCGAAAAUUCAAAAUCAAAAUCCCACUUUUCAGGGCGAUUCUCUGACGGACCUUGAAUGGGUUUCUCAAUUUGUCGAUGAUUCUUCCUCGGAAUUUUCCUGUGCCGCCGUGGCUUUCAACCGCUCCGAACCGGAGAAGAAACUCACCGGAACGGUUAUUUCGUGUUUGCCGACGUUUUUUCCGGUCAGACCGAGGACAAAAAGGUCUAGACAGUCUCGUCAAGCGAAAUCCGCAGGUUCUUCUCUCAAUCAAUCACCGUCGUCGUCCUCCUCCUCGACCUCCUCCGGUGUUUCCUCCGCCGCACCUCGGUUUAUAUUCUCCGACGCCGGCGAGAACGUGGACUUUUUGAACGUAACCGGUGAGCCACCGAAGAAGCAGAGGAAAAAGCCAUCGUCGCCGUCGCCAUCGUCAACGGGUCUUCUACCCACCGGUUCAACUGGUCAAAUUCCGCGGCGGUGCAGCCAUUGUCUGGUUCAAAAGACCCCACAGUGGCGGACCGGUCCAAACGGAGCCAAAACGCUUUGUAACGCUUGUGGUGUCCGGUAUAAAUCCGGUCGGCUCUUCCCGGAAUAUAGACCGGCGUUGAGUCCCACUUUUUGCAGCGGCGUUCACUCAAACAGUCAUCGAAAAGUACUUGAAAUGAGGAAGACGAAGGAAGUUCCACAACCGGCGACCGAGUUGGCCCCAAUGGUCCCGAGUUACUAAACACCAACUGAACCGGGUUCAGUUGAACCGGGCAGUAGAUGAUGAUGAUUAAGAAGGAAAUGACCAAAAGGGCAGAUUUUUGUUGUGACGCUAAAAAGGAAUCCAUUUGUAUUUGUAGGGUUAGGCGAGGAAUUAGAUUUAGGGCAUUUAAUUUUAGUGUAGUAUUUUUGUGAAAUUAAUUUCAUUAAUUUAGGUUUGAUUAGAUAUGCUUAGGUAGGCAAAAGAAGAAGAUUUUUGUAUUUUUGUAUUACUUUAGCUAGAUCACGAAUAUAAAAUACUCUAUUUCUUCUCACGAGAAUUAGUUGGAUCGAUAAAUGUCUAAUACUACAAUAGUUAGUAUAUAACUAUAUUUUAUUUGAUACGUCAUUCAAUGAUUUAUUGCAUGGACUUCACACACUUUCAAUAGUUGUUUAGAUGGCUAACAAUACUACUAUAGUACUAAAAAAUUUCUUUCACUUCAUUUAGUUGUUCUCGAUUUUUUUCUUUUGUUUUGUAAAAACAAUGAAAAAACAAAACAAUGAAAAAAGUGGAAGUGACAUUAUUGAAGCUUUUAAUUUGUUGUUGAGACAUUAUUGAAGGGAUUGUAGAGAGCAAUAAAGGUGAGUGUGGUAUGAGUGGUUGAAAUUAUCUUUACUUUAAGGAGGGACCAAAGUGGUGGUUGAUUCAACAAACAUUAAUGCUCACUUUCUUUGGUAUUGGUCAUUUUGGUAUUCUAACACUUUCAAUAUCUAACUUUGUCCAAUUAAAUUAUUAUCAUCUAAAAAACAUAUUUGUCCAACUCAUUUUACAUACAAAUGCUAAUAUCUUCCUAAUUAUUGCUCACUAUUAAAAAAAAAAAAACUUAUUCUAUAUCAAAUACAUUAUAGCCCAUGUACUUAGAAGUCGUAACAAUUUGAUCUAUAGCAUGUUCCGGAUAACUUAAUGAGCAUAUAGUAUGUCUUAUGAGUAAAGAAAUUUGUAGUUUAAAUCCUUAACCCUUAAUGAUACUCAUAAAAUUAUUUAUUAAUUAAUAACUUAGAUUUUGUAUUUAAAUAAGUGUACCAAUUGACACCCUCCUUCACGUUUCAUUUAGAAGAAUCUUAUGUGAAACUUAUAAAUGAAUAAUUAAACGAUUGAACAUUCAUAAAUAAUCAAUUUAGACUUAAUAUUUCUUUGAAAAUUAUUCAUGCACAUAUUCUAAUAAUCCAUCCAUUUUGGAUAACUGACAUUUGAAAAAGUUUAUACAUUUGAGACUUGAUGCAUAGGUAACUUUUAAAAGUGAUUGUAACCAAAGGUUACAUUGCUUUCUUGACUUAAAUUAUGAUUUUCAUACAAUAUUGGUCAAAUGAAUUUCAGAUAGUUAAGUCGAAGUUUAAAAGUAUAAAUCAAAAGUGUAGAUGACUAUAGAAAUGUAUUUGAAUUGAUGUUAUUAUAGCAUUAUGGCUUUCAACUUAAAUAGUUUCAAUUUGAACCGAUGAUUAUCUAUUAAUUACUUUUAUUUAAACCAUCACUUUCUGUCUUUCUCAAAUUUUAGAGAUUUCAAAAUUUUAAAUUUUCAAAAUUUCAAAAUCAAAGUAGAAUUUAAAAAAGAAUCUGUUUGAACUUGUUGGCAUUUCAUAUGCAUCCCCUCACAACCACAAGUAGUUGAUAUCUUAAUUUCAAUUUCUUUCCCUCGCAAAAUUUAAAAAGAGUUCAGGGACCAACAUGCAAUUUAAAAUUUUCUAUCACAAGGUUUUAUUAAUUGCAGUAAAUACCCCACAUAUUAUCAUAUUUAAUAUCAUAAAGUGAACUCAGAAACUAAUAAAAAUAUUCAUUUUCAAACUCAUCCUGAGAUUCAAAGGCCAAGCUUUGAGUCCUCCCAGCAAAAGCAAUGGCUUUCCAUCAAAACAUAAACAAAAUAUAAAACUUUAAAAUCAUUACUCUAUUCAUUACAGCCAAGUAACGAUGAUGACGACGUGCUCCCUUGAUGUCAUCUCUACACAGUUUAUAAGAAAGAUGAGAAGUUUAUCGAUAUUUCACAUGAUCGGGCCACGUCAGGAUUCUCAACCUACAUACUGUAAUGAUUGGUGUUUAUUCUACAAUCUGUGGAGGUACCACCUCAUUUCGGACGCCUUCGAUAAGGGUAUAAGAUAUCGUCCAAACUCUCUUUUACAUAGUUGCAAACUCUGUUCACAUUCCUUGCCACACCUGAUGCGACAAGAGCUGCAUUUCGUUUAAACCUGGACGUUGCACUCUUUGGGUAUUAGAAUUUUUUGUGACAUUGAUAUUGCUACUAAAUUUGAGGGUAUUUAGCAGUCUAAAGAUGAAAAGAGUUGAAAAGUUCUUGCCUGUUUAGAUACUCGUCUCCAGCCGGGUACGAUGGUUUAUAACUGCGUGGUUGUGGAAAAGCAGGGCUAUCUGCAGAAUACCAAGAUCAAAUUUGAAGAUUAAUAUCUCUGUGCAUGGGUUUAUUGAUGUUGAAAUCGAAGUUUAUAUAAAGAUAGAAGAAUAAAGAAAAAUAAAAAUGAGGAUUCAUGCUACCCAGAAAAAGGAAUUCGUUUUGAAAGCAGAGAGAGAUGAAAGAAUAUACAAUGAUAUAUACCAAAAAAACGUUCCAACAAAAAGGAGUCCGACCGUAACAACACGAAAAAGACCACCUAGAAGAACAAGUCCAAGCUCAUAAUUACAAAAAGGUCACAUCUCGUUACUGAUAUCCACAGUGAGGCACAUCAAACCUAGCUACCUCCCAAACCUCCUCACCCAAUAUCUCCAUUUCUCUACAAAGUCUGUUCUAGUACUCGAAAAUCACCUCCCCUUCGCCCAAUAUCUCCAUUUCUCUACAAAAUCUGUUUCAGUACUCCUCGAAAAUCACCUCCCCAGCCUCCCGCGAAAAAAAAAGUCACAACCAAAAGGAGUUCAACCAUAAAUGAAAAAGACUUUGAUCCAAAAGAACAAGACAAAGCUCAUAAUUACAAAAUGGUCACAUCUAGCUACGAGGCAAUAAACCUAGCCACCUCCCAAACCUCCUCACCUGAUAUCUCAGUUUCUCUACAAAUUCUAAAAUCUCUCCAUACAAAUAUCCCACAGAAAAGCGAAAAACUAUCUACCACAAAAUUUUGGGCUACACCCUAAUGGGGAGGAUAUUAGCACUGCUGGAAAACUGAGAGAUAUAGUAGUCAAACAAAAUUAUAUGGUAACUUGUAGUACCUUCAGUUUUAUUAUGAAUAUGAGCUUGAGAGUUUUCCGCUGGUCUUUUGUCCAACAAUACCUAACAAGCAUAUGUUUAUAGUCAAGAUAUAAAAUUAUAGAAGAAUAUUCUUUAGGUGACAGAAAUUUCAAUUCUCACAUUUGAAAUUUCAAUUCACAUUUAUAUGAUUAAGAACUCAGCUAAGACAGCACUUUAACGUUACCUACCUUAAAGGUUCCAGAAGCUAUAGUUUAAUUUACACAGACAUGCAUUAUACAUAACAAACCUCCAAUUCCAAUAAAAGAAAAUUUUUAGUUUAGUUAUAGAGAUUAAGCUGAGCAACACAAUCCUAUCCAGAUGAGAGCUUAACAUAAAUAUAUUUUAUGCUAAACAUGUCUACAUAAAGAAAUGAAACGUAUUAGAAGUUUAAUUAAGAGGUUAUUCUGUAGUUAGUCUGUUAGAAGCUGUUAUUAAAUUCUCUACUAUUUUAACUGUUGGUUCACUUUCUUCACUUGUGUGUAAAUACCAUUAGGCAAGACCAUUAAUAAGGUAAGAAAAUCUAAUUAUUACAUUUCUUCUAAUAUGGUAUCAGGUGUUUUACUUUCUCCCAACUAGUCUUCAACCUUCCCAUUCUUUCACAUUGACUGUUAUUUCCACCAUGGCUAAUGAAGAUCUCCCUCAAGAUCCAAAUCCUCCUCUAGCUUCAUUCCAAACGCAAAAGAAGCCCAAUCCCACUCCUCAUCGAGAUGCUUCUCCUCACCUAGUAGUUGAUCUUUCCAGGGUAUCUUAAUCCCUACUAUCUGCAUCACAACAACACCAGUCUAUGUUAGUCGAUGAGCCAUUGCCUGGAGAGAACUAUGUUUCUUGGAGUCGAGUGGUGAUUAUUGGACUAUCUGUCAAAAACAAACUCAGCUUUAUUGACGGAUCCCUCCCUCGUCCGACUGGCGGUCUUCUCUCUUCUUGGAUCCUGAAUGACAAUAUUGUUUUCUCUUGGAUCUUGAACUCAAGUCUCUAAGCCAAUAUCGGCAAGCAUUUUAUUUGUGGACUCUGCAAGGAGUACCUAGAUCGAACUCAAAGAGCGAUUUCAACAAAAGAAUGCUCCAAGGAUCUUCCAGGACAUGCUGCUGAUAGAUGCUACAAAAUCCAUGAAUAUCCACCAAGUUAAGUCUAAACAACAACGCUCUAGUAACAAAAAUCCAAAUACAUCCACCAAUAAUGUGAACUCUGUUACUACUCAGUCCAAUGAAAAUCAGUGUCCAUAUACAACUAUCGUUCCCGUGAUGAAUAGUACAACAAAUCCAGCAGAGGCUUUGUUGCAAUGUUAGAAUUUCCUUAAUCAACUCCAGUCUCGACUGCAUCCUCCUUUCAUAUAGCAAGUAAUUUCUUCAAAUUCUUAUUGGAUUGUUGAUUAUGCGUCUACACACAUAUGUUGUUCUAAAGUACAUUUUACUUCCAUUUCAUGAUUGUAAUGUUAAUGAAUAAUGAUCCUAAUAGUACUCAGCCUGAUGCAAUUGACAGUACUAAUCAACCUCAUAGAAGUGACAGAACUCAUAGUUCUCCUCCGAACAGUGAAAAAUUUACUCAUGAGACUGUACCCGAACUAUGUGAAUCAUCACAUAGUCAACAGCAAGAACCAAGUGAAAAAGUUAAUGAAGAGGUUCAAGCGUCCACUAUUUAGCCAAGUCCUGUUGAAAAUCUCCAAUUAAGGUCUACAAGACUCAACAAAUCGCCUUCACAUUUGCAAGCUCAUCAUUGCAAUCUACUGACUAUGGAUCCUUUUAACACAACACUCAAUAAGAUAUACUAUUGACAAAUAUGUUUCAUACCAGGAGUUGUCAUCAUCAUACAACACUUCACACUUCACACUUCAAGUCUCAGCUCAACAAGAACCUAAUUUCUAUCAUGAAGCUAUCAUCCAUGAACAUUGGCGACAAGCUAUGAGAGCUGAACUAAAAGCAAUGGAGUCAAAUCAAACUUGGAGUACAGUGCCAUUACCAAGUGGUGAGAACACGGUUGUCCAUGGAUUUACAAGAUCAAACAUAAAGCAGAUGGAUCCAUAGAGAGAUACAAGGCGCGUCUUGUUGCAAAAGGAUAAACACAACAGAACGGGCUUGACUACUUUGAAACUCUCUCCAGUUGCAAAAAUGGUCACAGUUAAAACUUUGUUAACUAUGGUUGUUUCAAAACAUUGGCCAUUAGUUCCAUUGGAUGUAAAAAAUGCCUUCUUACAUGGAGGUCCCUUUGAGAAAGUAUAUAUGGAUAUGCUUCCAGGCUACAAGCCAUGUGCUACAUUUCAGGGGAAGAAAAUGGUUUGUAAACUUUAUAAGUCCAUUCUAUGGCUUACAACAAGCCUUCAAACAAUGGUUUGCCAAAUCUCAAUGUUUGUUGUUUUGUUGGGAUUUCAACAAUCCAAAGUUGAUUAUUCUUUGUUUGUCAAAGGUAAAGGUGAUGAUUUCAUAGCUCUCCUUGUCUAUGUCGAUGACAUAAUAAUAACCGAAGCUAAUGACACUCACAUUCAAGAAUUAAAAAUAGCUCUUAAUGAAAGAUUUCACCUUAAAGAUUUGGGCUCUCUUAUAUUCUUCCUUGGUCUUGAACUUGCUGGAUCUUCCUCCAGUUUGUUUUAAUCACAGACAUUAUGCUAUGCACCUACUUGAAGAUGCUGGACUUUUAGGUGCAAAGCCAACAUCAAUUCCAAUGGAUCCUUCACUAAAGUUAGUUGCUUCAGACAAGGAUAUUCUCCAUGACCAAACAGCAUAUCGAAGAGAGUAAUUGGCGACCAGACAUCACCUUUACAGCCCACAAACUUAGUCAAUUCAAGGCAAAACCAACUAAAGCUCAUAUGACUCAAACUAUUUGCUGAGAUAUAUAAAAGGAUCUCCUAAAAAAGGGAUUUUUUUGUCCAAAACUCAAGAUUUCUCUAUGCGAGCCUCUUAAAUCACCAAUUCAACCCAAAAGCUUAAGCUGAUGGGUGAAGGAAAAAUUAAUAGAAUAUCUAACAUCCCCAUCACUUGUGGGCUAGAAAUAUAAAGAAAGACCCAAACAAGUAGAAAUCAAUAUUAAAUGGGGAGGAAACAACAAUGUAGGGACUUGAACACAGGACCUCUUGGACCACCUGCUUUUGAUACCAUCUCAAAUCACCAAUUCAACCCAAAAGCUAAAGUUGAUGGGUGAAGGCAAAUUUAGUAGAAUAUCUAACAUUGUUGAUGCCAACUGAGGAUCUUGUUUAGAUAUACCCACUGCUCUAUCACAGGAUUUUGUGUCUUCCUUGGAAAUUCAUUGAUAUCAUGAAAAUCCAAGAAACAACAUACUGUUUCUCGAUCAUGAGCAAAUGCGGAAUACUGUGCAUUAGCCACGGUGUCAUGUGAACAUUGUGAAGUGGUAUCAAGUAUGGCUUAAAAGUCUACUUCACGAACUUCAAAUUCAAGUACCAUCCCCAGCUCUUGUUUUUUGUGAUAAUCAAGCUGCAAUUUAUAUUGUUGAUAAUCCUACAUUUCAUGAAAGGACUAAACACAUCGAGCUUGAUUGUCAUUUUGUUUGAGACAGCAUUAUGGAUGGUUUGUUAAAGUUGUUGCCCAGUCGCUCCUCGAAUCAACUAGCAGACAUACUUACUAAACCUCUUCUAGCAACAUUUUUUCCCUCUAUUAAGCAAGAUGGGUGUUAAGGACAUAUUUUUCCCAUCUUGAGGAGGAGUAAUAGAAGUUUAAUUAAUUAAGAGGUUAUUUUUAGUUGGUCUGUUAGAAGUUGUUAUUAAAUUUGUUAUUAUUUUAACAGUUUAUUCACUUUCUUCACUUGUGUAUAAAUACCAUUAGGCAACACCAUUAAUAAAGUAAGAAAGUCUUAAUAUUACAUUUCUUCUAAUAAAAAACGAAAGGAUGUUUUUUUAUAUUUUUUUCAUCUCAUAGAAAAAUUGAGAUAUUUCAAACCUCUAAACCAACGCAGAAGGGGAGCUCAGCUUGUUUGUUCUGCACAUCAUUGGAUGAAUCUUUCUUUUCUAAGUAGACAGAGUAACCAACGCAAGCAUACUUGAAAUCUGUAAGACUGCGUCCCUCUUUUGAAGCUUCCAACUCAGUUUCUCCCACUAUGUAGUUUGGUACUGCUUAGAAAAAUUAAUGAUUACUGUAUAUCCCGUAAAACUUUAUUGUCAAUAUGCUUCACAUCAGAACAGGAGUGAUUUACAAAAGUAAAAGAACUAUAUAUAUUGAAGGGAAGCUAACAGUCUAGCACAAUUUUUCAAUAGUCGAUAUAAUGUCGGUAACUAGAUAGAUUCCAAAGCAAUUCCUCUACAAGAUCCUUUUCAACAUGUGGAUAAUCCUAGAUACAACUCAUCGCAAACUCAAAUGAAUGACGUGAGCGUGUCCGCUCAACACUGCUAGAGCAACUAGGGAGAUAUUUAUGACACCAAAUCAUCCAAAUUCUGAACUUUUUUGUUUUUAAUGAGAAACCUGGGAGUAUAUUCAGACAAAGAAAAGAAAACGACCUAGGGGCAGGAGAUGGGAUCCACACCCAAGGAGGCCAAAUACCAAAGCCUUUUGAAUUGUUAGUGAUCAACCACAUAAGAUAAUAAAAAAAAUCUUGUUGCUGUGAUAAAAAUAAAUAAAUAAAAUAAAAAGAUAAUUACAAAAUAAAUGUGCAAAUUGCUGUGACACCACCGAGGGCAAUGAGGUGUUCAUUGCUAAAAAAAAGACCCAAAAGUGGAGAUCUUAUUUUCAAACAAUCGCUGGUUUCUCUCUAACAAACUUUGCAUUUUUUUCUAAUCAGCAGUCCCACAACUUAGCCCUGACAACAAAUCCCCACAACACCUAGCAUGCGUUGUUAGCCGCCAGCCAUUUAGAACACUUUCAUUUGUUACCAAAUUGUAUUGAAAAUACAUCUUGACUUAAGGGCAAUAAAUCAGAUAACAUUUGGUACAGAAAUCUCAUUCGAUCAUACUGUUUUUUACCAAACAAUACGCACAUUGGCAGUGGUAAAACGCAAAGGUCCUUUUCUACCUCAAUAUUCCAUCCCUACAAUCAUUGAAUUCACAAAACUACCAUAUCCAGAUACGCUAUAGACACCACAAAUGUUCUGGGUUUUAUUUUGCUGUAACAUUUUUUAAGUUUAACUACUAGUGUCCAAACCAGUUUAAAUGCAUUGCGCAACUUUGACUAAUCCCACAUGAUAUAUUAAGAUCAUCUUAGGGAAAUAAUGAUAAAUAUUUAGACCAAGAGAUUUCUUGAUGUUUGUGUGGUUAAAUAUCACAUUUCUAUGGCAGCUACAGUAUAUCUCUGGAAGUGGCUUGAAUUCUGCUGAUUUCUUUUUCAUGAGUACUCCUAAUUUCUCUCAUACUUUCCAACUUCUAAGUGAACUAACAUAGCUCAUUCUACCCACUCUUUGUUCAGCUAAUAGGCUCUUCUUUUCUUGCGUGUUCAUAGUACCAACACCAACCAGCAACCAUGCUUAGCCCUUCUUCUGCAAGUGUAGUUCAUUCCUCACUUCAAUCCCAAAAGAUUCCUACUCCGUAGGAUAAUGUUCACAAAUUUUCUCAGGUGUCUGUUCAUUCAAAAUACACAGGUUGCUUCUUAAUAACUUGAUUCAUGACACAUUUGCCCUCCUCUUUCAUCUAUCUAACAUUUUCUCUACUGUCUGGAUUUUGAUAUUCAGAAAUGGGGCUUCUUUGAUCCAUUUGCUCUCCUCUUUAUGGCAGCGUGACCAAAACAACCUCAUUUCAGCGACCCCCCUCACCCAAAAUCUUGUCAAAAAGGAGAGGACAAAAGGCAUCUUCAACGGCAUUUGGAAGAGCAAAUACCCAAAAUAAAAUAUCAAGUUCUACUUUUAGGAACUUAAUCACUCGAGCAUAAACAUUGGCGUUCCCUGGGAUGGUGUUCCCUUUCCAAGAAAGAGUCAAAAUCAUUCCUCACUUGCAUGUAUACCAUCAAUCUUUAAACUUCCAUCCUCUCCACUUUCAAGUAGAAAAUUGGUGCUUGAAAUCCUCAUUGACAAUCCUUACUAUAAUCAUGAAAAGAAAAGAAACCCUUUAGCUUACACUUAAGAUCUUCCGAAUUGCCAUUCUCUUGUUUCAUAGAAUUAUGCACAACCACCAUAGUCAUAGAGAAAACACCAAACACAGGUGAGUCGAUGCAUGUGGGAAAAUAACACCAGGCUCCUUGAGUUUCAAGAAGCGACCAUUGCAGAACCCAAAAUAAGAGAUAAAAAACAACAAUAUACAAUAACACAUAACAAAAUAAAAAAGUAAUCAACACCCAGAUGAUAAAAAAUGAAAACGAAUACGAUUCUGAACCAUUUACCCACUAAUCAAAUUCAAUCUGAAGCGAAGCAUGAAAGAAGCAAAGAGAAAUGGGAGAGGUACCUUGGUCGAGAGUUUUGGACAAUCCAAUGCAAGUGGGUGUCUUAGAUUUGGAUUUUUGAAGUGAAGAGUAAUAGAGGCAGCCCUUACAAGACUUGCCUUUCGAAUCUUUAACCCCAUUAGAGGUAAGAUUAGGUGCUUGAUUUUGAACUCCAUCUGAUUCAUCCAUCUCGAGGUUCUUGAUGACUUUCUCUGGCUAUGAACAUCAAAUACAGAUACAAUAGAAUAAGAAUUACUGGCGCAAAGGGUUCGUCCCCAAAAUCUCUCUCCCUCUCUCAAAUACUAGGCUAUUAGACUUGGAUGAAUAACACUAUAAUGGAAGGUUUUGUUUUUUGUUUUUUCUUCUUUUUGUGACAGUGGAUUAGUAUUUAGUAUAAAAUUUUGGGGUAUUGCUUUUUCUUUCUUUCUUCUUCCUCUUUUUAACAAUAGAGGGGAUGAAUUUGAGGCUAAAAUGCUAUAUUCGUAUUGGUUUCAUUCUAUGUAUAGGUCCUUGAAAUUUAGUAUUGGUAUUUUCCCAUCGAUAUUAAAUUUAGUCUCUCUUUUUUUUAUUUGUUUAAACAAAAUAAUCGAUAUGUAAGAUUGAAAUUGAAAUAUAAGUUUGUUGAUUUUGAUAGAGUUGUGUAUCUUCGUUUGAAUUGUUUCAUCGAAUUCAUUAACUUGAUCAAACUAGAUAUUGAUGUUUGGGUCUAGUGCAAUUGAACUAAAAAAUAUACCAAACCCAAACACGUUUAGAACUAUGAUGUAAACUCUAUGAACAAGAACCUUGAGAUUGAAAGCCAUAGACUAAAACUUCCAAAAUUUAAAGGAUAUCAAAUUCUAAAGACUAAAACUUUCAAGUUUUGAAUAUUAUAAAUAUUUUCUAAGAUUCAAUUUGAAGGGCACCCCACUCCCUCAAACCAAGUCGAAAAUGAAAAUUGACUAAACAUCUCUAACACGGGAUAACAAAACUUGAACUUAAUAUUCAAACAAUAUGUUUAAAUUUAACAUGUCUAUCAUAAACUUUAGUAUGUGCCUACACAAAUAUAAAAUAUAAUAAUUUAUGAAGUAAAAAAUUUCUUUACAAACAAUAAAACCAAACAAGUUAAAAGAUAUUACAUCAUAACACAUUGGGUGAUUGGUGAACCAUUUGAGAAAUUGAGACUCACGUUUUUUUAGAGUUGCAUGCACUUCUUAGUGAACUAACACAAUGUGGUUACGACCAAUAUGAGAGAAUGAGACAAUUCUCAUUUCAUUGCCUAUAAUUUUUGCAUAAUCUAUAAACAACACUUUAGAAAUAUGAACGGUUGCGUAAUUCAAUAGUUCAACUAUCCUUGAAUAAUCAAAUUCAACUAGGAUAUUUGAUAGAUUGAGUGAUAGAAAUACUUUUAAGAACAAAUUCAAUCAUAUACUUUGUUAUGGAUAACAUAAACAAGUAAAAAAGAAUUAUCGUAGACAAAGAAAAAAAUUAUUUACAAAAUAUAGAAAAGAAAAGAUUUUAGGAAUUUAAUGGAUUUUGAUAAAUUUUGUAAAUAGUUUCAAUAUUCUCUUAUUCUUUAAAAUGAAAAGAAAAAAACUAUUUUGUAGAGAAAUUAAAAAAAAAAAAAAAAAGUAUAAAUUAGUCGUAAUAGUCUAAUAAAUCGUAUAAGUUGAAAAAUAAGAAAAUGAAAAAGAUGAGUUUAGGGGCAAAAUAAACCGUAUAAAAUGAAAGGGCGAAAAGCGAAAGAGGGUGCAUUAGUAAUUUCACAUGUUCUAGGGUUUCCACAAAUCUUCUACUUAAACUCCUUCCAAUCCCCUCUUCCCUUCAAAUCCCCAACCUCAGCGCUUCCCCACGCUCUCCAUCUAUUACAUCUUUCCACCAGUUUUCUUACUUUUAGGGUUAGGGUCAGGAUUACUGGCCUGCUUCAUACUUCUGAUUCUCAUGUUCUCCUCCGGCCGAUGAUUUAGAAAUUUUGUCCGUACCAUCUGAGAAGUAUUUCGAUGGAGUACACAAUCAAUCUUUAUGUUCUGAGGCCUUUUCCUUGUUUGUUUUUCCCUCAAUCUUAUUUCGUAAAUUUUCUUUGUUUUUUUUAAUCGUAAGGCAAUAAAUUAGAGUCUCUGAUGCGCUUCUAAUCUUUCCGUAGCGUUUUCAGCGCUGUACGUUGCCGACAUCGAUCUUUGAGAGAUGAGAUUCUGGCAUUUGCUUCCUUCAUGAAGUUUAUGCAUUCAGAUUUUCUCACAUUUUGAUUCUAUUUCUCUUUUCUCUUUUAUCCCAUUAUGAUUUUAUCAUUUCUUGAAGAUUAUAUUAUUCGUGAUGUUUAGUUCUCCAUAUUUGUUUGAUUAGGAUGAUAGAUUUGGUAAGGAGUCUAUGAUGAUAAACCUUAAGGCUUGUUUCUCAAAACAUUCGCAGUGGCCGCCUGAGAGCUUUCGCCUUCGCCAGGCUUGAGAGCUUCUGCUGUUUUAUCCUUCCUUGGAUGUCUGAGACUCUGAUUAACAUUUCUUCAAUGUUCUCCAUAAUCUUAAUAUUACUUUAUGAUCCAAUCUUAGUUUUCGAAUUCUCCCUUGGCACUAGUUUACGUUGAUAUUCAUUGUUCAAUUGUUGGAUCUGUUCUAAAUUUAUGUUAUAAUUUGAUUUCCGUUUACUGUUUGAGUACCAUAGGAUUUUUGGGUCUUCUGAUAUCCACUGCCAUUGGGAAAUCAUGGAACUGUUGGAUUUGUUCAUGGCUUAUCUUAAAUCUCCGUUUUCAUUGUGCUUGGAUUAUAAUUGUUGGGUUUGAAUUUCCAUAUCUUUUGUUUCGAUAACAAUGAUGAUAUCUUGAAGGCUUGUUUCUCAAAACAUUCGCAGUGGCCGCCUAAGAGCUUUCGCCUUCGCCAGGCUUGAGAGCUAAUGCUGUUUUAAUCCUUCCUUGGAUGUCUGAGUUUUCAUGAAAUCCUUUUUUAUUUUACUCAACCAAAUCGUUUUUUUAUUGUUGAUGAUGACACAUUUCUCUUUGGUUGCUUCUUCCGCAGCUCCUGUCUUAAAGUACUCGCCUUUUGUAGGCUUGAGAGCUUAAUGCUGCCUUCUUGUAAUGUCUGAAACCAAUUGUUUCCUAUUUUUUGAUCCUGUACAUAAUUGAAUUAUCAAUCUUUGAGGUUCGUUAUGAAUAGAAAGAGGAGUUUACUUGUUUAUAAGUUGUGAAUUUAUGAAAUUUUGUUUGGGGUUGAUGGAGACAUGACUUUCCCCAAGGAUUAAAUAUGCAUUUUGGUUGUGAAUGCAUGAUUUAAAACCCUCCUUGAGCUCACAUCCUCAGCCAAAAAAUCAAAAGUAAACGAACAAUCAAGUAUCAAAUAUAAAAACAGUCAUGAAAUUGUUGAUAAUAAAAGAGCUUUUGUUUUUGGCUUGGAUUACAAGAGCCGCUGAAGAUCAGAGUAUACGUACUAGCUCAAGCCAACAAGGAAAUCGAAUGUAAAACUAUAUUGAGACUCAAGGAAAGAAAAUGUUUGACGGACCCUAUAAUGUGGGGAAGAGAAUCAACAGAUAAGGCAGCUCUCUAUAAAAGACUGGAAAAGAAGAGGAUGUUGAUGGAGAUCAAGAAUAUUAAAUUUAUAUAUAAAAAAUAAUAAUGUGUGAUCCCAAAGAUAAUAUACAAAUAAGGGUAAGCAAAUCUGAAAUUAAUGAUAUAAAGUUAUUUUGAUACAAAACCUAAUAAUACUGUAAUACUCCAAAAAGGUAUUGUAAAGAUAUGGCAUUUGGCUAGUACACUCUUACAAAUUUGAGCAUUCAAGUUUUAAAAGUGUCGAAGAUGAUGAUUUGAAAUGAAAUUUGAAGAAUUUCUACAUCUUUCUCCAGAUCUUGUUUAUAACAAUUUCCAAACAUAACAGUUACCAUGGAUUGAAGGGUUAACCACUUUUUGUCAAGCUUGAAAAUAGAAUGGAUUCACAUAUACUUUUUAUCAAGCUUGAAACAUGGAGUGGAAGCUCACAUAUCAUAUCAAGAUUGUCAUGUUGACUGGUUUCAACAUAGACAACUUCUUCAAGUUCUUUAUUUGUAACUUUUGUUUGUUUUUAAACUAAGAUGAAAUAGUCUUAAUAAAAUUAAUUGUGAUGGAUGUUCAAGAUGUCUUGAGUGAUUUGCUUAGUUUUUGAUGAAUAUAAAUAUGUAAAAGAUAUAUAGUAUUAGAAAGAAAAAAAAUUACUAACUAAAUCGCAAUUUUUAAAGAUGAAUGAAAAAGAUUUAAUAAAAUAAUUGUAAUCACAUACCGUAAACCAUUUGCUAUAAUUUUGAAGAAUUUUACUCUUUUUUUUUUUUUUUUUUUUGGACACAUUUUCAAACCAAAACCCUAAAAUUUUGCUAUUUAUACCUAAUUUAUCUGUCUAUUGUUGAAGGCCCAAAAAGAGCUCAACUCUGAUUAUGAUUUUGGGCUUAGCCCAUUGACUUAAAUUAGGAAGGCCCAGACGGCCCGCACCAAUAGAAUCCGUUUGAAGUUUGGGCACUGACCGGCCCACUAACUGUCAUUUUCUUCCCUAAAAAAAAGAAAAGAAAAAGGAAAUAUUAUUAAACAUUUUUCUUUCACUAAAAUUAAAAUAAAGAUUUGUAUUGUUUGGUUAAUAUAGUACUCUAAUUUAAAACACAAAUAACAUAAUUAAACUAUCUAUAGCGUGUUUGGCAAUUUACUUUGUUAUUUAAAAUAAUUUUCUAACUUGAAAAUGUAUUUAAUUUUUUUGUUGAGAAAAUAAUAAAUCAUUUUUUAAUUUUGAAGUUGUAUUACAAAUAUCGAACUAAUAAAAAAAAUUAUCAAAAUAGUUUUUGUUCGUAUUCAAUGCGAAACUAUAUAUUCUAAAAUUUAACUUUCCUUAAAUGAUGAAGAUCAAAUUUACAAUUUAAGGAGAAAAAGAUAGUUUUGAUAGAUGAAAUAGUAGAAUAGGAAAAGCACACAUUUUUAGGCAGGAAACAAAAAAAAAAGAAAGAGAGAAUGAAUGAUGAAUAUAAUGUUUAUUUAUGAAAUGUUAUGGAGUGAAGCCCAUUUCCCUUUUCCAUUCAAUUCUCUAUCAAAUCAAAACUUCCAAUGACUUUAGGAUUUCCAUUGAAAUUGGUGCACCUAACCUAUCUUAUCUUUACCCUAUACAUACAUACCCUACAUUUUAUAUACAUGUACAUAUAUAAAUAUAUAAUAAAUUUAUUAUGAUUUAGAAGGUCUCCUUCAUUUUCUAACAUUCAAGUUGAAAUAUUUUGAACUUAACGCAUUUUGGGUUAAACUGUCGUAGUAUAUCUUAUAGUUAGUCUUAAUACUCGUUUUGGGUUUAAAGAGUAACAUGCAUGGAUGAACUACACGGUUAUAAAUAAAACUCAAAAAACUAAGUUGUUACGUCUAUAAGAAAAAGUCCGAAACCAAAAGUGUUUUUUUUCAAAUAAUUUAAUUAGUGGAUGAGUUUUGAUAAUUAGUGUUUACUAAUUUCAUUAAUUAUUAUCUACCCUAGUUUAUUAGUCUGACCUAGUGUGACUUGUGUUACAUAAUGUUAAAUAAUUGUUUUGUAGAAACUAAAUAAUCACAAUUAUCACUACGCAAAAGAUAGGUUUGAAUGAUAGUUUAAUAAUUAAAUUUAUGAUUUAAACUUUGAAUUGAACGUUUUAUUUUAUUAUUUUAAAUGAGACAAUAUUAAAUAAUUCUAUACUUAUCAAUAAAAAAAAUUUGUUCAUUAAACGAAUAUUAAACGACGUAAUGUUUUCAUGGCAAAACAACUCAAAUCGAACUAAACACACCUUCUAACUCAAAUACAAAAAGUUCAAUAAAUGUAAUAACAAAUAAAACAUUUAGUGUAGUGGAGAUGAUUAGUGAGUAUGGUGAAACGAUUUUAUUUAAUUGUAAAAUUUUUCAUAAAACUAUUAGAAGAAUCAAAUUGGUCGUUAUUUUUGUGCGCUCAUUGCCUCAAUUCAUAAUCAAAUCAAACCAAACCAAAUGAGUCUUUUUAGGGACAAUACAAAUUUGUAUCAUUGAAUUGAUGUACCAUAAUUCUUGAUGGAAUAGAAAACUCCCAUGUGGGCAUUGAUCGCUCAUCCGACCCACUUCUCUAGCACAUACGAUUUGUUAGUGCUAAUAUAUGUAAAAAUUUUGCGUAAGUGUAGAGCCAAGUUGAGUAUAAUUUGAUACCCAAGUUUGUACAUGGAGUACGUAUUUAUCUCAGUUAAGCACAUAAAGAAUUACUUACCUAUUUAAGUAGUCAGUACAAGCCAAUUUCUAAGGUGCUUAAGAUUGUAGAGUGCCAACGACAAGCUUGACUCAGUCAUUUCUCCUUUGAUAGACAUCUACAAGCUCGACUAGUCGACUCAAAACUCGAGGGUUUGACUUUUUAUCUAAAAAGAAUUAACGAAAUUGGUCGUUUCUUUGAUGCACCUAUUGCUUCCAUUCACAAUCAAAUCAAACCAAACAAAAAGGAGUGUUUUAAGGGUUAACACAACCUAGCAUGCAUUGAAUUGAUGGCAUCAUAUUCUAAAUCAUUUAAAUUAUACCUUUUGUCAAUAUUGUCUUCAUUUGUUCAUCUCCUCGACAACCUCCCAUUUAAUAGACAAUAUUUGUACUUCCUCAAACAACACCACACAUUGAUGUUUCAUAAUACUCAACACAACUUAUCAAAAUUAACAAUAAUUUUAUACAUUAAUUCAAAUACUUGGACUCUAUCCUAAACACACAUUAACCCAUCAUAUAAUUACAACUCAUAAACUUAAUUAUGUCAUUCAUAAUUGCAACCCAUUAAGCACAUUAACCACAUGUUAGAAGAUCAUUCAAGAAAGACAGUGAAAAGAAAAAUCAUAGAUUGAAUAAUGUAUAUUAUCCUCUUUAUCUUUUUUUAGAAAGAAUGAAUAAUAAUGAAUAAAGGGGGUAUAGAGAUGAAAUUAAAACGUAGUAGAAUAGAAUAAUAAAGAAAGUGUGUGUUAUAAGUGAAUAAAAGGAAAUUGGGAGUGUGUUAAGGAAGGAGGAGAUUUUUUUUUUUUAAAAAAAGAAUGGAAUUUAUAAAGAUAACUUGAGAAUAGAGGAAAAUAUAAUAUAAUGUGUACAAGUGAUUGCCCUAACUUUAUCUUCUCUAUUUCUAAACCAUUUCACACCUUUAAUAAAAAAAAGCUUCCAUUUCCUAUAUCUAAUUUCAAUUCAACCUAAUAAUCAUAUUUUCUAUUUUAUUUCAUGAAAUUAAAUUUACUAAAUUUAAGAUUUAUUGAAAAUAGAAAUAUUUUAAUAUAAUUAUUAUUAUGAUUACUAUUAUUUAUAUUGAAGCAUAGAAGGAAAUUAAAAAAGAAAAAAGUAAUGGGAUCAUGUAACCGCCCAACUGCCAUAACAGUCUGAAAUUACAUCAUCAUCUUAUCUCAAAGGGAAAAACGAAAAGACCAUUCAAUCUCUUACAACUUCACCUUUACUCUUAAUUCAUUCCCUUUUUUUAUUAUUAUUACUUUCUUAAUUUUUCACUCAAUUUUGUUUCUUACUUUCAAAGUUUUGUUUUAGAAUUUGAGUUCCUCUCAAUUUUAUGUACUUCGUAUAACAUUAUAUAUAAGAACGGUCAUCCAAACUCCUCUAAAUUUAGGUUCACAUCCAUUCAUUUUUGUUAAAUUUAUGAUAGCCAUUAUAAGUUUGUAGUUAUGCAUGUAGACCAUAUGGAAGAGUAUAAAUGUACUACUUUAUUAACUUUAUAGAUAAGCGUGUACAAGAGAUAAAAUUGUUUGUAAUUUAAGUCAUAUCCUUCUUUACUAUUAGCUUAAUCCUUGUUUUUUUUUUUGUAAUAAUCUCGUUCUAUAUACAUUUAUUUUAACAACAAAAGUGAAGUGAAGGUUUGAACCUCAUUCGUUCAUUGAGAAAACUUAGAAAUGUUGUAUUUUUCAUAUAACUUUUUUUUUAAAUUAUUAUUAUUAUAUACAUGUAUUGGCUUCAAUCCGAGAGAAAACAAUAUAUAUCUUUUAAAAAAUAAAUAAAAGUUUGUCACUUGAUAAAUUCUUAUAUAAUUGACUAGGUUGUAUAAAAAAGUUAGGUGCAACCCAACGAACAACAAAAUAUAUUAUUAUAUAUCAAGAAAAAGAUAAGUUUAAUUUUUAAGUCAUUUUUUAAAAAAAGAAAAGUAUUUGAAAAUUGAAAGGAAAAGAAAUAUGUAGAUAAAUGUCAAUUUAUUAUUUCCUUUUCUUAAAACUGUUUUGAAAACAAUAAAAAAAUGAUUUAGUUUUGAAAGGAAAACAUUUAUUUACUUAUAAAAAAUGAUGUUUUUUACCCCAUAAAAUGUUUAUAAAUAUAACAAAGUUUUAUAGGAAGAAUAUCGGAUGCAUCUAUGUAGAAAAUAAUUUUUAAACUUGUUUUAUUUUUAAAAUAUUUUAUGUGAAUAUCUUUACUUUUAUCAAUUUUAAUAUUUAUAAUAAAUUUCUUUAAAUAAUCAUAUCAAGAAAUGGGUAUUAUUUAGUGAUAAAAUAUAGAAAGAAAGGGAACACACAUAUCUAAAACAUUGAAUAAUAAAUAAAGAGCACACGAUGAACCAUGGUAGAAAUUUAAUUUUAAUGAAUAUUCCUCAAUUUAGAGAAUUCCAAACUUCAAUAAAUGACGUUUGAUUUUGAUUUUUUAUUUUUUUAUUCUUUUGGGAAAGCAAAAUUAAAAUUUUCAAUUACAAUGAAUCUAUUCCCAUUUAAAUACUCAAUAAAUAAAUAAAUACUAUCAAAUAAACAAAUAAACAAAUAAUAAUAACUAUUUAUCUCAAUAUAUUCCUUCAAACUUUUCUUCCUUAAAACUCCGACGAUAAUUCGCCCUUUUUUCUCUCUCUUUUUAAUUGCCCAUCAUGUGCUCAUUUCUUUAUUAUAAAUUUUAGAAGAUUCUUUUUUUCUUGUUGUUUUAAAUAAAAUAAAUAAUUUAUUUUGUUAUAUUUAAUUGGAACAUUUUAUUUUAUUUGCUAUAUUUAAAAGUAAUCCAAAAUGAGUUUUUUUAUAUAAAUAAAUAACGUGUUUCUGAAAAAAAAGCCAUUAUUAUUAUUAUUACUUUGUUUAUAUGGAUAAUUGUUAAUGGCUUGAAAAUAUUAGUGAGACUCACACUUCAUUAUUAAAUGCAAUAUAAAUAAAUAAUAUCAAUGUCUUUUUCUAAAUAAUGCAAAUCAAUUGUUAUUGUGAUUUAGUUUCUCUAAAGAAAUUAAAUAAGUAAAUUUAAAAAACAUGUGAUGUGUAAAACCAAUAAUAAUAAUAAUAAUAACAACAACCAUAUACAAUUCUUCAACCUAUUAAUUAUUUAUUAUAUGAAUAAAGAAAAAAAAUAUUAAUUUAUACCUCUUGUAUCAAUUUAAAAUAUAAAUUACUAAUUUAUGUCAAUUUAACCAACAAAGUUUUAUAUAAUUUAGGCGGUCAAUUAUUACAUUUCAUUUUAAAAUAUGAGAUUUUUUAUUUUAUCAAUUUAAUACUAAAGUUAAUUUUUCUUUCAGUUCAUGUAUUAAAGUAUUUUGUAAAAUUGAAUUUGAGUUGAGAUUCCAAUCUAGGAGUUGGAUUGAUACAAAUUAUAAAUUUUACGUUAUACUUAAUAAAACUAUUAAAAUUCACGAAAAAUAAAUUGAUAUUUUUCUUAUUAUUAGUUACUAAAAAUUUCAAUGAUUAGUCUAAAGAUAUCAAAGAAUGAUGUGAAUAUUCGAAUAAUUUAAUCUUUAAAAUAAAAUAUACCUUUUCAAGUUUAACAAUAUACACGUAAUAACAUAUUCGAACUUCUAACUUUAUGAUAAUUUUUUUUACCAUGGAUGUUUAAAAUAGCCGUAAAUGAUUUGAUGUAUAUUUGAAAAGUGAUAAAAAGAGAGAGGGAGAGGAGAAAAUAUAAUAGAAAAUGGCUUUUGUAGGAAGGUAAGAAUAUUGUGUUUGCUCCAUUUGCAAUAUGGGAAUCUCCACUUGCCUCUCAACCACUCUCUUUUUUUUUCUUCCUUUAUCAUUGAUUCCAUUGCACCUUUACCCUAUAAUAAAUUCUCCCAUUUUAUUUUCUUCCUUACAUUUUCUAUAUUAUAUAUUUUUCUUCCCUAAAUUAUAGAAAGUAUUCUUUAAUUUUGUCUUCUAUUUUUAAAAAAAUACACCUAAUGAUCUUUCCAACGUCAAAAGUUUCAAUAUUCUUGUAUACGUGUUUUCGUUGUAAAUGUUUCAAAAACUAUAUUUAGAGAAGAAAUUCUUUAGAAUUUAGUACUUGAAUAAUGAUCGCCAUGUUAUUAUUUUAAGUCAUCGUUACAUCUUUAGAGUAUUAUUUCUAUCGAGUCUUUUUGAAAUAAGAGACAAAGUUGUAUUUUUCGUAACUUUUUUUCAUUUUCUUUUUUGUUGAUUAAGAUUAUAGCAUGUUUGUGAAUUAUAUUAAAAUUGUUAAAAUUACCCCCUUUUAUGUUAAAAAAUGUCAAACACCUUCUUAAUCAUUCAAAUUUAUUUAGUAUUUAAUUGAAAUUGAGUUUCAACCAUUAAGAUUAUGAGGAGCGGUCAUAUUAUGAUUAUGUAAUAUGAAGCAAAAAAAUGAAGUACUAUAGAAAAAAAACACUCAUUUAAUUAUUUAGAUGAGUAAUUUUAACAAAUACACCGUAUGUUUAAAUAAAGAGAAAAUCCCAUAAAACGCAUGAAGAUAUAGAAGUCAUGUUUUUCGUUAUACAACGCUUGUUAUGCAAAAAGUUGUUUGGUUUAGAUAAGUAUUUUUAACAGAAAUAUGUUCGUUCAAAUCUCUUCCUUUCAAAAGAGAGUCUAGUAAUGUUCUUUCUCUAAGUAACUUGUUACGGAAUAGAUUUUCGUUCGUAAGACUGGGAAAAUGUGUGAAAAACCAAUUCAAUAAUUUGUGGCAAACAACAAUACACAGUUUCUUUUUACAGCAUUAGAGAAAGAAAGAAAUUGAAAGAAAAAAAAAGUUAGAAAGGAGUUUGGUAAUUUAUAUUAUAUUCCUUUUUUGUUUUUAUCUAGGCUUAUUUUGAAUGGGUGUGUAAAAAAAAAAAAACUAAUAGAAACUAAUGGUUUAAAAAAUGUAAUUAGAAUAAAAAUGUAUUGAAAAAAUUCAUAAUGGAUAAGUGACGAAAUUAACUAUUUUAGGAAUAAAUUUAUAUUUCUUCAUCUCUUUUUAUUUUAUUUUAUUUGUAGAUAUUGUCCUUACCAACAUAAUAUAAAUUAAAAUAGUUGUAAGAAAAAAAAUAUUUGAUGAAUAUUUGUCAAAUGCAGAAAUAUUAGAUUAAAUAGAAUUGUCUAUAUUAUUAAUGUUUGAUGGAGAUUUUGUUUGUGAUAUACUGAAAAUGUCAAUUCAGUGGAUGGAUACCAAAUCAAUAGAUUUUAAUACCAUAUAGAUACAAUAUGUAUUUUCUUAUAAAAAUAAGAAAUAUGAAUUUAGAUUUGAUAAUUUGGAAAAAAUAAAUUGGAAUUAUUUUGAGAGUAGAAAAAAAGAAGAUUAUAUUGAAUAAAAAAGUGGAAUGGUGUUAAUGAGGAGAUAGGAGUAUGGUCUAAGAUUUGGUAACAGUUACAAAUUCCGAAACAUAAUGUUUUAGAGAAUAAAACACAAACCCCUCUCUUCCACUCCAUUAUUAGUUAUUUUUUUUUAUUUCUUCUUCUUCUUCCCUCUUUAUCAACAACUCAGGGACCCACACUCCCAAUUCAAUUUAAAUUAACUUUUAAUUAAUAUUAAUAAAAAAAAUUAAAUUGGAAAUUGGCCUAAGAGAACACAUAAUUGAAGUGACGUAGUAGUUUUUUUUGAGAGUUAGAUGUUCUAAUUUGUAAUUGGAACUGAAAAUUAACGAGAUGGUGUUAUAAGUAACUAAUCCCUUUCUCAUACUUUACGUCACGUGACUUCCCUCCUCCUUCUUUCUUUCCCCCUCUGUCGGCGCUUAUUUACUCUUCCGCCACCAUCGCCACCACCACUCUCUUUCUCUCUCUUCCUCGUGACGACGCCGCCCUCAACUUCCCUACCUCUCUCUAUAAAUACCCACAAAAAGAAACAAAAGGAGAACUCCCAAAUUAAAAUCCCCCCAAUAUGAAGAACCCCAUUUUCUCUCACCGGACCAUUCUUUUCCUCAUUCUUUCAAUUCUCUUCUCCCUCCACUCUGCAUUUGCCGCUCAUGAUUACGCCGACGCCUUGUCUAAAUGUAUCUUGUUCUUCGAAGGCCAACGAUCGGGCUUCUUGCCUCAAGAUCAACGAAUGACGUGGCGUGCCAACUCCGGCCUCGGCGACGGUUGGACUUAUAAAACAGACCUCACCGGCGGCUACUACGACGCCGGAGACAAUGUUAAGUUUGGUUUUCCGAUGGCUUUCACCACCACGCUUUUGUCUUGGAGUGUCAUUGAGUUCGGCGACUUCAUGCCGCCGGCGGAGUUGAGGAAUUCGUUGGUUGCGAUUCGUUGGGCCACGGAUUAUCUCCUCAAAACGGUGUCGGAGCCUAAUCGGAUUUUUGUUCAGGUAAUGAAAAUUUCUUGCAGUAUCGGAGUCUUAGUGCGGUUAGUGGCAGUUUGGUAAAUUGGGAGAUAUUUAUGGGUAUUUCUGUUUUCGUUAUGGGAUUACUCAGCCGAAUGUGACCACGUGGAGUCUUUCCGUCUUUCUUAUUGGUCGGCGUUUUCUUUACUGGGCCCCGCUACGUCCCACCUAAAUUUUCCUUUUUCUUUCCUUUUCACUAUUUAUUGGGAAAACUUAAUCUAAUUACCAAUACUAAAAUAUAAUUUUUCUGUUUGCUACAAAUACCAUUUUGCCCUUUCUACUAUAUUUCCUCCUCUUAUUUUGUGCUUUACCUCUUGCCUUCAAUUUUCACACUCCUUUUUAGUAAGAUUUAAACGACAAUUUAUUUUCAUUUUUCUUCCCAUUUUAUAAUUUUCUCUUCACUUAAUUCAAUCGACAUGCAUAAACUAACCAUACCUUCUAAACAUCGAUUUUAAAAUAACUUACAUAUCUUAACUUUCAAAUCCAAUAUCUUUUUUCAUAAUAAUAACUUUUUUUGUUUGCAUUAAAAUCAAAUAUGUCUUUUUGUCCUAGAGGUAACGAUUGAUCUUCCAUUCUUACCACUGAGUAUAAAGUACUCCACACAUCUAGAUGUUUAAUUACACGAUGUCAGUGACAAUUUUUUUUUUCUUUAUGUAAUUUGAAUGUGAUGCAUGCAGAUGGGGUAUAAUAUGAAUGUACCGAAAUAUGUUAAUCUUAAAAAUAUAUGUUGAGAAGAACAAAAAAAUGAGUGGCCUGGAAGUAAAGUGAAAGGACCCCAGUUGAAUUCCGUGAAUGAUGAAGGAGUUAGGACCCAAAGAAAGAGACUGUCCUAACCGUACAUCAUGUUCCCUACUAUUUAAGGGCAUAUGACCCCCAACCAACCCAUCUCUCAUCAAUGCCUCUCUCUUCCGCAUUUUUUUAGUUUUACUUUUUACGUUCUAAUUACCACUAAUUUUGUGAUUUAACUUAAAGGUGGGUGAUCCGAGUGCGGACCAUUCUUGUUGGGAGAGACCCGAGGACAUGGACACGACCAGAACCGUGUAUGCCGUGGACGCACCAGGGACUGCUUCAGAUGUGGCGGGGGAGACUGCAGCAGCAUUAGCUGCUGCGUCGAUGGCGUUCCGGUCGUCGAACCCAGAGUAUGCAGAGACGUUGCUACGAAAUGGAAUUAAGGCAUUCGAGUUGGCUGAUACCUAUAGAGGAGCUUAUAGUGAUAAUGCUAAUAUUAGAGACGGUGUUUGUCCUUUCUACUGCGAUUUUGAUGGCUAUCAGGUUCGACAAUUUAAUUAUACUUUGAAAUGUAGAUUAAAUUUCUUUUUUUUUUCUUUUAUAAAAAAAGAAAUUUUCUUUUAAUAACAAAAUUAAAUAGAAUAAAAAAAUUAUUAUUUGUAUUUAGAUGCACCCGUGAUGGCAUAAUUUUGUCCUGUUCACCAGACAAUUUGACUUGUUUUUUCUUUUCUUUUCUUUUUCUUAUUUUGUCAUUUAUGGACUAAAUAGGAAAAAGUAGAAGAAAAAAUUAGCACUACUUUCUCACGUAUUUACAUAAUUAUUUUGUUGGAUGAGAAAACUUAAUAAAUCAAAAUUGUUUUGUUAUCACAAAAGAAAGAAAAGUUUAGUUGCCACCAUGCAUACACAAACACAUACAAAAGUAUUUGAAUUAUAUGGAUGUGGGACAGGAUGAGCUACUAUGGGGAGCAGCUUGGCUAAGAAGGGCGAGUCAAAAUGAGUCGUAUUUGAAUUAUAUUCAAGACAAUGGUAAAACUCUUGGUGCUGAAGAUAGCUACAAUGAGUUUGGAUGGGACAACAAGCAUGCUGGUCUUAACGUUCUCGUCUCUAAGGUAUUUUUUCUUUCUUUUAAUCUUAAUCUUUCUUAAAUGACAUUGUUUAUCCAAAAACGUCGUCCUUUUCUGUUCUCAGGAAGCACUUGAAGGAAACAUAUUCACACUCCAAUCAUACAGAGCCUCGGCAGAUAAUUUCAUGUGCACAUUAAUUCCGGAGUCUUCUUCUUCCCACAUCCAAUACACUCCCGGCGGCCUCAUCUACAAGCCCGGCGGCAGCAACCUCCAACACGCCACCUCCAUAACCUUCCUCCUCCUCGCCUACGCUAACUACCUCGAACGCACUUCCUCCACCGUCAACUGCGGCAACGUCGUCGUCGGUCCCGCCACCCUCCGCCGCCAAGCCAAACAACAAGUCGACUACAUCCUCGGCGAAAAUCCCAAGGGCAUCUCCUACAUGGUCGGCUAUGGCAACUACUUCCCUCAGCGGAUCCACCACCGCGGCUCCUCCCUUCCUUCUGUACACGACCAUCCGCAGCCGAUCGCUUGUAAGGAAGGGUCGGCGUACUUCAACUCGGCAGAUCCGAACCCUAAUGUGUUGGUUGGAGCCUUAGUUGGUGGUCCGGGGGAAGAUGAUGUGUAUGAGGAUGAUCGGGCGGAUUUUCGGAAAUCGGAGCCGACUACUUAUAUUAAUGCGCCUUUUGUUGGAGUUUUGGCGUAUUUUGCUGCGAACCCGGGAGGUUGAUUUGGAUUUUCCGGCGUCGGGGGUCGCCGGAAAAAGGAAGGAAGUUUUGUGGGGUUUCUUUUUUUUUUUUUUUUUUUUUUUUUAGUUUAAAAAAGGGAAAAGGAUGGUCUCUCAUCUUUGGUGGUUUUACGAAGAGAGUAGAGGCUUAAUUUGGUAAUUUUACUUCAAUUACCAUUGGAAUUUUAUAAUACUAAAUUUUACGUCUAAAAAAGAGUCCGCAUUCCACAAUGGAUGGGUCAAUAGCUAUGUUGUUGUGACUAUUUUUUUUCUCUUGUAUUUCCUUUACUUUUUUACUCGAGAGACUGAGUUAUAUGGAAUGUAUUAACAAAUGUUUGUGGUAGGAAUUACUAAAACAAUAAUACUAUAUGAAUCCGUGGAUUUCAACAAAAAUAAUAUUGUAGGGUUGUUUUGCAUUAAAAAUAUACAAAAUUUUAAUUUCAUCUAAUUUUAGUGGUAAUUGUAAUUAUGUUUAAAUAUUUGACUAUAUUUUUGUAUAACAUUCAAAUGGAUUAACUUAAACAAUAUUUUUCAAGUACCAAGUGGAAUUCAACAUAAAUAAGUAAAAUUCAAGCUCCCACUUUAACUCUAAAAUUAAAGAUUGUGUUUAAACAAAAAUUCCACCUCAACUAUUUUAAAAUAAAACAAGAGAGAUUAAUUUAAUGAUCUCAAGAUCCGUUGUAGUCUAGUUGGUUAGGAUACUCGGCUCUCACCCGAGAGACCCGGGUUCAAGUCCCGGCAACGGAAUCCUUUUUUGUUAUUAUUUUAUAACAAUUAGGGUUUUUGUUUUAAUUUAUAUAAGUAAGAUAUUUUUAUUUAUUUAUACCUUUUUCAGAAUAAAUGUGAAGCAUUGGAAAUUCUGCUUUGCUUUCCCUGACAAUGUUAAAGGAGGAAAAAAAAAAGUAUUAUUGAAGAUAUUAUUAAUUAUUAAAUACAGCUUUGGGAGUUGGAAAAUAUUAACUUAAAUUAGUUUUUUUUAAUAUAAUUCUUGAAUUAAUAUACACUUCAUUGGUAUGUGGCUUCAAAUUCUAUUUUUAUUUGUUUUCUCCACUCGUAACUUGUAAUAUCAUUUUAGUCAAUAUAUUUUAUUAUUCUUUUAUUUUUUUAAUGAAAAUUAUACAUUUGAAAUAUAUAAGCACUCUAAUCAAACUAAGCUAUAGUAAUUAAAAUAAUAUUUUAAUAUAUAUAUAUAUAUAUAUAUAUAUAUAUAUAUAUAUAUAUAUAUAUAAUAUCUAUAUAAUACGUCAUAUUCACGAUUUUCUUCUUUGUUGAAUAAAUCGACGAAAAUGUACCUUUAUAAAAAAGAGAAAUGUCUUAUUGAAAAAAACAAGAAGAAACGUGUACAAUAAAUAUAAUUAAGAGGUUUUUUAAGAAUAAUAUAAAAAUACAAAAAUUUAUACUUUAUAUUAGAAUAAACUCAUUAAAGUUGAUUUUGCCAUCAAAUGUAAAUAGUUUAUUGGUUGUUGUUUAACAAUUUUCCUCUAAUCAAAAUCAAAUAAAAAAUACAAUAUCGCUAUUUUGCUAUAUUUUGGAAACGGUUUUUUAAUUUUUUAUUUAAAAAUAUUUUCAAUUCAUUUUUAAUAAAAUUAAAUGGUAAAAUUUUAGAAACUUUAUUAAAAAAACGCAUUAAAGUUAAUUUUUAUUCUAAAAUUAAAAUAAAAUUUAGUAGUCUAAUGUUAUACCUCUAAAUCUUUCUAAAAUAUGUUUAGAAAGGGUUUGAUUAUUAGUAAAACAUUAAGCCCAUCCAAAGACAGCCCAUGGACCUCUACCUCAAACUCCCAUCGCUAAAAUAAAAACAAACUUGAAUGAAUUUUAAUAUAUAUAUAGAAUUGGUCUAAGUUUGAUCAAAUAGUUAGUUUAGUAAUGUAGAGAUAUUUUGAUAAUCACUUACAAUACGAAUAUUGAUCAUAUGAUGAGAGCCCUCCAUGACAUUCUUUACACAACACUUUUCCUAAUAUUGUGGAUGCAUAAAUAUUUUAAAUUCGUUUAUUUUGCUACUAAAUCUAAAGAACUACUAAUUAAAUUUAAGGAAAACAUACAAAUAAUAAUUACCCACAAGGGUAUAAUAGUCAUUUUGUUAAAAAUGAGGGACAAAAUGGGAAGUAAAGAUUUUCUCUAUUUUAUAUAUAUAGUAAGAUAAAUAAAUAAAUAAAAGGGUAAGUAAUAGCAAGAAAGAAAAAGCUAUGGAAGGUUGCCAUAAAACCACAUUAUAUGGAGAUGAAAAUUCAAUGCUUCUCUUAAAAGAUUCAUUAAUAGUAUCUUAAAAACAUAAAUGCCUUUAUUUAAGAUGAAAGCUGCAAGUUUAUGAUUAUUCUCAAGAAAGAACACCUACUUUGUUGGACUAAAAGAAUAGUUAAGAAAAUCAUAUUUCUUGACAAUGAAAUAUGAUAAUUAACUUACCAUUCUAUAUUUGAUUUAUUUAAUGGUAAAAGUAUGAUAAUUAAUUAAAUACUAUACAAUAAAAAAAACACAUUUAGAUACAUAUGUUAUGAAUGGUAGGACGUAUGGGGAUCAUUGAAAGCAACCAAAUGUAAAUGGAUCAAGGGUCAGAUCAUCUCAUAGUAAUCAACAUUAUCUAUGGAAAUUGUUCUCCAUCGAUAUUAUUGGGAGGAUGAUAUAAUUGUGUUAUAUAUAUAUAUAUAUAUAUAUAUAUAUAUAUAUAUAUAUAUAUAUAGUUGUAAAGACGAUUUAUCAUUUUUGAUUGAUGUUAAGCUCUACUCUUUUUUUGGUGUACAUUUCUCCAAUUAAAUAGUUUUUUUAUCAUUCUUAGCUGUCACGACAAUUAAUUUUGGACUUUUGUGUUACGUGAAAACAAAACUCAAAUAUUUAGGGGAUCUCCUGACCGAACUUUGUAAAUGUCGGAAGAUUCACCUAUUCCCAACGUCGUAAAGUAAAACGUUAGAAAAAGUGUCAUUCAUUCCUGACAUUUCACUUAUGGCGUCGGGAAAAAUUUAAAAUAAAAUAAUAAUAUCUCUUUCUCCGACGCCAUGAACAUUAAUGUUAGGGGUUAGUGGACCAUUUUCGACGUCUAAACGUAGACGUCAUAAAUGAAUAUCUUCGCCGACGCUUGCUUAACGGUGUCGGAAAUGGUGGGACAUUCCUGAUGUACGUUUCGCCGAUGUCCAUUUCGAUGUUGAGAAUGCCUAAUUUCUUGUAGUGUGAAAAUUUAUUGUUAAACUAUUGUGAAGUUUACUUAACAAUAAAUAUGCACUGUAACCAAAAUUAAGUUAAUUUAAAAUUUAAAAGUAUUACUGUGAAGGCAUGUGGCAACACACUAGUAUAUUAUAUAUGAAAAAAAAUUAAACCCACCUUUUAAAUUGUUUGAAUAUAUCAAAUUUUAACCUAAAUUUUUACUUUCAUCAAAUUGUACAACUAUUAUUAUCUUUUUACGAUGUGAAUGGAGUAGAGGAAUAAAACGUCAAACUUUGAGCUUGAUACUUACACUAUAUAUACCAAAUUUCUGUUUAUUUCUUGCCCCCGAGUAAAGUGUAUAAGAAAAAAUUGUGACAAUUAUUAAAGAAUUGUAACACUUAUCAAAAUUUCGAAAUUUAAGCAUAAAUUUGAUAUAAAAAUCAACAUUAUCAAGUACUUAAUGCAUAUAUUUCUUUUUGUACCAUUUUUUUUCCCUCAUCAUGUUUACAAGUGGUUAGGAAUUUGAUCGAUAAACCACACUGUACUUUUUUUUGCAAAAUCGUGCUAGCUAUCAUAUUGUUCUUUAAACGAACUUUAACACGAACCGAACAAUACCCAAAUAAUUUGUGAAGCAUUUGUGUAAAGAAACAAUGAAAUUUCGUAUGCACAAAGCAUACUCCCUCCCAUCCACACAGUACUAUUAACCACACAUAUUUGCAUCAAAACAAAUAAAACCAAAAAGGUCUAUUUGGAAAUGCAUCAGCAUAAUACAAAAAUAAAACAAAAAUCACCUCCAAAAUGAUGACGUGGCAAGAUAUCUACCGUUGUUCCAUUGUGAUCACAAAUCUCAUCAAAUCCUCUUACUGAACCAUAGCCAUUAAUCCCUUUUUUUCUUCCUCUCUUCUCAAAUCAACACAGAAUCAUAGCCUCAUAUUCUUUACAAAACCAUGAAUGUGAUAACCCUUUGUCCAAUUCCUUCUCUUUUGUUUUUUUUUUCAAUUUAAAAAAAAAUAAUUACAUAAUAAUAAGAGAAACAAAACAAAAAAAAGCUAAAAGUCCAACAAAAAAAAAUGUAGAAUUGGAAAACCAAAUCAAUCAACUAGUUUGGUUUGGCCAUAUUAGAAGAAAACCAGAACGUAUUGGUUCAUAUAGGUUUUUUCAUUAAAAAACCAACCAAUACCAAACCGAGAACCAAGUGAUAAUUAAAAAAAAGGAAAUGUAAAAAACCGAGAACCAAAGUGAUAAUAAACUAAGUCAAGUAAAACUAGUUUAGAUUCAUUUUUCAUAAAACCGGAUUGGUUUGGUUGGGUUUGGUUUUUAUGGAGUAAAAGCAUGAGGAAGAGUGAGGGGGUGCCAAGUCAGCAAAGUUAUCAUCCAGGUGGCAAAGAAAUAUUGGAAGAUGGACAAGGGCCUCAAAUUGGCAAUCUUUAAACAAACACAAAGCAACUAUAAAUACAAAGAGAAUGGCUUCACAUUUGUGGCCACGGAGGCAGCAACCAGAUCAGAGAGCGUUGGUGAAGAAACAAAAAAGAUAAGAUCUUUUUUUUGAACCUUACCUUCGUUUCUCAACACUCUGUUCAACCUCCUUCCUUCAUUUCAACUCAUCAAUGGCUUCUGCUUCUCUUCUCAAAUCCUCCCUUGUUCUCGAUAAGUUCGAGUGGGUUAAGGGCCAGUCCCUCCGCCAACCCUCCGUCUCCGUCGUCCGCUGCCACCCCACCGCCGCCCCAUCCACUCUCAUCGUCCGCGCUGGCUCUUACAAUGAUGAGUUGGUCAAAACCGCCGUAAGUAUAAUAAUAUUCUCUUUUACACUCCAUUCCUCUCUUCUUUCUCACUUCCAACUGAUGUUUUCAAAUAUCAAGACAAGUUUUGAAUACUUAAAAACACUACGGUUUUGAUAUUUUUUAUAUAAAUAAUUUGACUGCAUGAGAUUAUAAGAUAGGAAACGAUGCCUAACUUUAAAUAGAUGUUUUUCAAUAUUACUUCUAAACGUGAAAAUUAUGGUAUGAAAAUAUGGAUAGAAAAGCUAAAACAAGACCUUUCAACUUUCUAAAUUUUUGCUUGCUGAAACCCAGAGGUGAUGGAUUGUUGUAGGAAACUCUGUCAUCUCUAUGUAGCUCAAGCAGUUGUCCAGUAAACCUCUGUCAUCGAACAAUUUUAUUUUUUAAAGAAAAGAUAGAAUUCUUUGAAUCUUUUUGUGUGUCCAUUCUAUUUUGAACCCAUUUCAUUAAUGAGUUACUUUAUUGUAUUUUUCACUUUCUACUCAUGUUUCCAUAAACCAUACCAAGUUUUUAAAACUACUUUUACAUUUAUUUAUUUAUUUUGUUCUUAAAGAGACUUGAAAACUACAGGAACAAGAUGAGAAUAAAUAAAAAUAAAUUUAAAAAUCUUUACUAAAUGGAGUCUUAAUCUUUCAACUUGUGUUGUGUUGUUGCAGAAAACUGUGGCAUCUCCAGGACGUGGAAUUUUGGCCAUGGAUGAGUCAAAUGCAACUUGUGGAAAGCGUUUGGCUUCCAUUGGAUUAGAAAACACAGAGGCCAACCGUCAAGCUUACCGAACUCUUCUCGUAACUGCACCCGAACUCGGCAAGUACAUCUCCGGUGCUAUCCUCUUUGAAGAGACUCUCUACCAAUCCACUGUCGAUGGCGAGAAGAUAGUCGACGUUUUGGUCAAGCAAGGCAUUGUCCCUGGAAUCAAAGUUGACAAGGUAAGACCAUUGUCCCUAUAUAAUCCUAAUAGAAAUUCAAAAAGGCAUUGGAAAUUUUGAGAGUUUGAAUUCAACAAAAAGGCUUGGCUCCGGAAAAGAAAAAAAUUAACCUGUUUUCGUAGUGAACUAGCUUGUUUGUUUUUAUUAACAUAGAUUCCUCUGUUUUUCCAACGUCUGUAAAAAAAUAAACAGGGUUUGGUGCCACUUCCUGGUUCCAACAACGAAUCGUGGUGCCAAGGUCUCGACGGCCUUGCUUCUCGUGCUGCUGCUUACUACCAACAAGGCGCUCGUUUCGCCAAAUGGUACAAAUCAUCAUUCAUUUCAGCUUCAUUUAAUAAAAAAACCCGUCUUAUUUCAAAUUUUUUUUAUAAACUAAAUAGUUAUCAAGCGUUUUCGAAAUCCCAAAACUUGAAAACACUGACAAUGUUAGUUUCCAGGCGCACAGUGGUGAGCAUUCCCAACGGCCCAUCAGCCCUUGCCGUCAAGGAAGCCGCCUGGGGUCUUGCUCGCUACGCUGCAGUCUCACAGGUCUCAACAAAUCAAACUUUUAAUAAUACCCCAUUUUGAUUUAUUAUAACUUGAUUUUGAAUUUGCAAUUUGCAGGACAAUGGGUUGGUUCCGAUCGUCGAGCCGGAGAUCUUGCUUGACGGUGAGCACGGGAUCGACAGAACCUUUGAGGUAGCACAGAAAGUUUGGGCAGAGGUUUUCUUCUACCUUGCAGAGAACAAUGUUUUGUUUGAAGGAAUUCUUUUGAAACCAAGCAUGGUUACUCCUGGAGCUGAGAGCAAAGACAAAGCAAGCCCUCAGACAGUUGCUGAGUACACUCUUUCUCUUCUCAAAAGAAGAAUCCCUCCUGCUGUUCCUGGAAUCAUGGCAAGUCAUUACAACAUAUCUUAAACUUUGAACGCUUAUUACCCUUAGAUGAUAUAAAUUAAAUUUAUCUUCCUCUAUUAACUCAAACUUUUAGAAUAAUUGGUGAUUUAAGAUGGUAUAAAAGGAUGUCAUCUAGAAAGUCAUGCGUAUUAGUUAUUAGCUCAACGUUUUAGGUAUAACGGUGAUUUGAGAAUUAAGUUGAUGAAUUGAAUGUGGGUUGUUUUUCUGUGGUUGUUGUGGAACAGUUUUUAUCAGGUGGGCAAUCUGAGAUAGAGGCUACAUUGAACUUGAAUGCGAUGAACCAAGCACCAAACCCAUGGCAUGUGUCCUUCUCAUAUGCUAGAGCUCUCCAAAACACUUGCUUGAAGACAUGGGGUGGACUACCAGAAAAUGUGAAGAUCGCACAGGAUGCUCUGAUUCAACGAGCCAAGUCGAACUCCCUCGCCCAGCUUGGGAAGUACACCGGUGAGGGUGAGUCCGAAGAAGCCAACCAGGAUAUGUACGUCAAGGGCUACACAUACUAAGCUUUUCUAUAGAUCAAGAAGAUGAAAGAAGAAGAAGAAGAAGAUGAUGAUGGUUGAAGACUAAUUGCUAUGUUUAUUGUGUUUAUGAUGAUGAUGCUUUAUAGCAAUUUAAAAAGAACAAAAAAAAAAAAAACUAUUUUUGUGUAUUCUUAGCAGCUUAAUGAACAUUUUGGUGAUGAUUUUUAGUUUAGUUUGUCUUCUUCUCAAAUCCUAUGUAAGAUGCUUGAAUUCGCAUUAAUCAUGAGCAUAUAUAAUAAGGCUUUUCCUUCGGUCUCAAGAUUUCUUAAUUAUUUCAUAUCAAGAACAACUAACAUAUAUGGAUGGAAAAAAACUAAAAUCAUAAAAGAAAAUAAUAGAAAUUCACGGGCCAUAGAAUUUAAGUAUACUCUAUCCAUUUAGUGGGAGUAAAUUUGAUGAAGAAGCAUUCGUUUUGUAAGAGCCUCAAUUAAAACUAAAAGAACAUUUGGGUAGGAGCUAUUUAGUUGUAGGGCCAUGGACUCAUUGAACCAAACACCAAACUCAACUCUUUGAACCAAAUACCCUUGUAAGAAAUUCAAUAAAUUUUGUGAUCCAUGCAUUAAGAUAAGAAGAUUACAAACAUAUUUCUAUCAAAAGUGUAAUAUUUUAACGUGUAGAGUGAAAGAGACAAGUGCAUGGUAUGGAACCACCCACUUAGCUUGAGAAAUGGCCACUUUCAACAAGGUUAGAAAUUUUUUGGAUCCUACUUGAUUUGAUUUUGAUCAUUCCUGGCUCUGCUUUCUAUGCCAUAAUCUCACCAUGCAUCCCUUCAAAUGUUUUCUCCAAUUUGGUUUUUAAUCUAAACAAAUUUAAUCAAUUUUGUGACUUAUAAAACUAUUUGUUGAUCUAUGUAACAUUGAAAUCAUGGAGAUCGACUUAGUUGAGAGAAGAAAUAAGCAAAAACUUCAAACAAAAGAACAUGGUGUUGUUUGAGGAGAAAUUGAAAUUUAAGGUGAGAAGUUUAAAACAACAAAAUUUGCAACCACAAAUUUGUAGGAUUCUUUUCUCAUAAAUAACAUUAAAAUACUUUCAUCUUUCACAAUUAGUUCCCUCUUAAGAAAUUAGCUUAAAUAAUAAUCAUGAGCAUAUUUAUAAUUAUCUUAUUUUUCAAAUAGAUUUUACCAAUUAUCUAAAUGCAUCCCAAGGUGGCUGAAGUGCAGUUUUUAAAGUUGGAAAAGACUGGUAAGAUUUGAAAAAAAAUAUAUGAUCCCAUCCUAAACUCUGGUGGACAUUCCAUAGACAGUGCUAAAAGGAAAAUCAAUAGUUUAGAUGUAUAGUUACAAUUUUAUUUGAAUUUUCGGGGUUAGUUUCAUUGUGACAAAAUAUAAGAGCAUUAUAACUUAAUAUAUGACCAUGCAUCUACAAAUAAUUUCAAAUAACAAGCCAUGAAAUGAAAGAAUGCGAAUGUAUUUUACAUCAAACCAAAACCAGGCUCGCCCAUUGCACCACUAAAUGCCUAGAACACCAAGAGGUCAACCAUCUCUUUAUAGUUAGAAAUUACUCACUUUUGCAUGAAGGAAUGACAUAUGUCAAGACCAACCAUGUAGCACGUUAGGCAAACAUCCAUCUAGAAAAGUACUCCGAACACUUUCUAACUUCCUUCUCAAAAGAAAGAAGUGAAUCAAAUUAACAAAAUUCUAACUUUAGGAGACAAAAUAAGCACUUGAAGUGAAACUUGAAAACUCUGGAUAACAAAACGAAUAAGUUGAACUAGCCAACAAAGUUAGAUCCUUAGUGAACCAACUCUUCACUUGAAUAGUAACUUUUUCUAAUUCUAUCGUUUUCCCAAAAUAAGAAGUGAAGACAACUAAUAGGGAGUGAGGUUAAUGAGAAUCGGGAGAAUUGAAAACUCCUCAAUCUCACCCACAUUAUUAACUAAUGAGGAGUGAGGCCAACUAGAAUUACGAACACUAAAAUCUCCUUAAUCUCACCAACAUACAUGUUAGAAAAGAAAACAUUGAAUUGAUCUUCAUAUCAUUGACAACCGGAUCAAAUGACAUCUAAAACUCAAACAAUCUCAACAAAACUCAAAGAAUCGGAUCUAAACAUUAGAAAUUAACAAAUCAUCAACAAAACAUAAAAAUGAGUAAAAGAUGAUUACAUGUAAAGGAAGGUUUAAACUCUAUUAACCUUAUUUAUAGUCUUCAACAUGAAGAUAAUUUAGUUAAUAAAAAUCCAAUUUCGACUUUCUCAUUCCACUUUUCCUUAGAAAAAAAAUUAUAUAAAGGAUUAAAAUGUUUGAUAAUUGUACCUUUGCUAAUAACAAAAUUGAAAAUCAAUACAAAUUCAUCAAACAAAAUGAUUGAUUUAGCCAUUAAAAUUUUUAUUUGCCAUGAAAUUAAAUACUUAACCCAAAUAAAGUAUAAUUAAAUGGUGUCUCAAAACCAAAGAAAUUUUGAAAUGAUUACAAGUGAUUCAAAAUAAUGUUUUUUUUUAAAAAAAAAAUAGAACCAACAAAAUAAUAUAACACUACAAUUAAAAAAUAUAUAUUUUUUUGGAUAAAGUGCAUAAACUUAUAAAGUAUGGUAGUAGUUGUAAUUAGAAUUGCUCGACUAUCCACACACAUCCUCCUUCCUCCAUCAUUUUCUGGAGUAAGAAGAGUCGUUUUGAAAAUGGACUCAAACUUUUGGGCUCAUUCAAGUUUGUAAGUUUUUCUUUGAUUUUCUUGAAUUUCUCCUUGCACUUCUUAGCUAGGGAAUUGUAGAGUUGACUUCUUCUUCCUCGUGCUAGAGACUACCAAUUCAAACAUAUUAGUUUUUUUUUUCUUUAGUAAGUUUCAUCAUGUCGUUUAAAUCUCAUAUAGAAGCCUCAAUAGAAGCGUAUGGUAGAGGAUCUUGGAGAGAGGGCGACGAUCUUCUCCGCCUCUUGUUCUUGGUGAGCAUUCCCACCACGUAACUAGUUUCUCAUUUUCGCCAUCAAUCCAAAGAUUUUCUUGAAGUUUUAAUACCAAUUUGGUGUAAUACUAAUAUCUGAAUUUUUAUAAAAUGAUUUCUUCCACAAUUAAGGAGAGAUGAACUUUAUUUAUAGUGAGAAGUGAUUCCAAGAACGUUACAAAAAUAGUUACAAAAAUGAGACUCACCCACGAUACCAAUUGGGUCCCUAAACUUAAUUAUUAUAAUUUUAAAAAUUAAACAUUCAAAUGAUAAAAACCAAAUCCUCAAGCUCAUACACUUAUUACAACUUAUACAAUUAUGUGAAUUUGAAAGUUCACUUUAACAAUUGAAUAAAGUUUAGGGCUCAAUUUUUAAAUUUAAAAGUUUAAGAGUAUAAUUACAACUAUCAUCGUACUUUAUAUGCUAUUUGUCACAAUCACAAACUUUCAUACACAGGACGAAUGAUUGUGCAACACUUGUUAUGCUCAGUCAACAAAUAAGACAUGCAAAAUUCAAAAAUUGCAAACAAACUCACUAUAUGAUGUAAUCUCCUUUCAUAUUCUUGAGAAAAUUGUUUAAUAAAACAUGAGAGAGAGAGAAAACCAUUGAAAACACCAUUAAAGAAAACAUUGAAGACUCUUAAUUGCAAAGAAAGUUUUGCUUGCAAAGAGUAUGACAAAACUUGGUCAGAGAUUCAACUAGUGGGUUUCUCCUACAGUACAUUUUAAACUUUUUUUAGCUUUGACAAAGACGUCAUACCCAAAGUUGACAACAUAAAAAGGAAAAGCAAUAUACUAAACUAAGUACAAACAUAAAAAAAAAAAAGUGGUUUGAGGUAUUUAAACAUGUCCAUAGAUAAACAACACCCUAGACAACUCGUGACACUAUUUGUGGCAUUUUUUUUGGUGUAUUAAUUAUUGAAUUGUAUAUAAAAAUCAAAAUAUAAUAUUUAGCCAAAUUCUUUUACAUUAGUUUACAUUAUAAACUUGAUUCUAACUUGAACUUGAGUUUUAAAUUUACAUAUAUAUCUAAUCUCUAAAUUUUCAAAUUUUCUUAGAUUUACAAUCCCACGAUUAACUCUUAAAGUCUUUUUAGAAAAACGAAAAUUUAAAAUACUAAUUAAAUAAUUAGUAACAUUUUUGGACAAAAUAACACAAAAAUCAAACUUUAUAUAUAUAGAUGACUUUAGAGAAUUUUGAAACCCAUCAACGGUGACGGAAUAUAAACCGCCGGUUAUCUCUAAUUCACAUAAAAAAGAAAAAGAGUAAAAAACGGUGCGUUGAUGCAUGAAAAUCGUUUAGACGCCGUUAUCUCCAUUGUUGGUCCAAAUCAAAACAAAACCACAAUAAACAAUAAAUACAAAAGCCAUCUGAAGAAGAAGAAGAAGAAGAAGGAGAGAAAUGAGCUUUUUGUCGACGGCGGGAUAUUUGGCUCGGCGAGCCGCCCAGAAGGAGAGGGUUCGGAUCCUUUACCGGCGAGCUCUCAAAGACACUCUCAACUGGGCCGUUCAUCGCCAUCUCUUUUACAAAGAUGUAUUUGUUUUCUUCAUCCCCAUUUCCCACUUCAUUGUUUUGACAUUUCUUCGAUCUUGAACUGAUUUUGUCAUUGAUUCUUCUAAUCUCCCUUUGAUUCAGGCGUCGGACCUCCGGGAGAGAUUCGAAGCGCACAGACAUGUGGUUUGUUCUCUCUCUGUUCCUUUGAUCGAUUUUUUUUUUGUUAUUUUUCUAUGUUUUCGUUGAGUAGAAAUUUCAUGCAUUUCGACCUCUUGUGAGUUAAUUGAUAUAGGGGUGUGGAUAUGAAAUGAUGAAGGUUUUUUUUUUUUUUCUUUUUAGGGUGUGCGGCUAGAUUGAUUGUUUGAGCUGUACACUCUUCUUUUACUUGCAUGGAUUUUUCUUUCAAGCAUUUUUUGUGUAAAUUGUCUUGCGUUACUUGAUGGGAUAUUAAAAUGUGGUUUUUAUUGAUAGUUUUGGAUGAAUGAUCUAGUGGAGUGAUUUUGAAAUUGUUAAUUUCACUUUUGUUGUGUUUAAGAUCAUUUUGAAACACAUAUUUGAUUACUCAAAAUCGAAUCAAUGUUUAAUUUUACAUUUUGAGGGCUUUUUUCACUCUUAAAAUUUAUUCUGAUUGAUUAAAAGCAUUUUCAGAGUGAUUUUGAAAAUGAAAAAAAAAAGUGAUUCUAACUAUUUUAGAAUCACUCUUAAACAUGCGGUUAGUCUAUCUGUUCUCUGGGAUGAAUAUUAUUGGUUGAUCUUUGAAUAUCGUCUGCUUAGUGCUUACUGCAUCUGGAGAAGUGUGGAUUUUGCGGAGAAAUAUUCUGAUAUCCUGGUAAUCAAAUAUGACCAUUUCCAGAUUCAAAUUGUGUUAACUUGGAAAUUCAGUAGGAUACAUCAUCUUUAAGGUUUAUGUUGCCCUCAAUUUGUGUUUCAACUAAGCAUGCAUUCUCUUGUGGAAAUUAUUUUCCUAUAAAUUUAAGUUUAACCAUUGAGUUGCUUGUCUAACAUGUGUUUGUUGCUCUCUCUUGAACCAUGGAGUUAAAUAAGAAAAAAAAAGGUUUGAAGACUGAUGUUGGAUGGCAGUUAGAAAGUUAUGAGAAUUAACUUGGAAUUAUACUUGAAACUUCAGAGCUUUGAUAGGUCUUAUUAAUACCGAGUAGGACUUGGAGAUCUGUUCUAGGACAUUAGGUUAAAACUAAAAUAUUAGAUCAGGGAAUUCAAGCUGUGAAAGGUCUACAUGUAUAUAUCAACGUGAUUUUGUUCAGCAAGCUAUGAUUUCUAUGCUAUUGAUCUAUUGUUUAUGGAUCCUUUUUGGGGUGGAUUUGCAGGAAGAUCUUGACACGAUAGAUAGGCUGAUAGAGAAUGGGGAAGCUUCCUAUGAUAAGUGGCGCCAUCCUGAUCCCUAUAUCGGUAAGCACAAUGAUGAGUAAAUUUGGUCGUGUGGCAGUUAAUAAAAAGUAAGGUUGCCAAAUUAAAUGCUUUUACUGAUUAUGUAAUAUGGUAUUGUCAUGAUGAAAUUGACUUCUCUUAAGUUCCUGGUCUUAUACUUUAAUAUCUGUCCUGUAGAUAUCAGGUGUGUUUUCUGUUUAUUUGAAAUGCUGCUAAGUCGUUGAUUUUCUUUUUCUCCCUUUUGAAUAAUAUAAUAGAAACUGUAUUGUUGAACCAAUAUGAACAAGAUAUUUCUAGUUUAAUUUUAAAAAAAGACAAUACCCUAUGGGUUUCUCCAUUCUAAGAAUCAAUUUAGUGGAUUGGAAUUAUAGUAACUAGCCAUAAACUUUAGAUUUUCCUUUAGUUGUUGCUUCUUGAGUAUCCAAGAAUCUAAGAUGCUUGCAUGAAAUUUUUUAUAUUUAUUUAUUUAUAUUUGUUGGGAGGGAUUUUUGCUACCCAAAGCCUGUAGAUUGUUCCUUCUUUUGUUCUAAUACAAUAUCAUUUCAUAUAAGUAAAAAAAUUAUUUUUAAAUGAGAAACGAGUGAUGUAUAAACACAAAAUGAAGAACAACUGUAGGAUAGGGGGAAUGAGAAACCUACUUCUGAUAAGAAGCAACAUAUUAUAUCGAAGCCUUCUAAUUAUUUGUAAUAAUGAGUAGGCUAUAGUAAAAGUUCACAUGGUUUGAAGUUGAACACUGCCUCGUAGUAUGCUACUAUGCUUUAGAUAAAAAAUAAUCCACUGAAGACAACCUAUGUUGAAAAAUUCUCCUAUUUCUCUUCUUCCGUAUCAUGAUUCAAAUUUUCUUGGAAACCUUGGUCUCCUAGUUGCUUAGUGUCCUUAAUUUCUAUAAAUUUAACCCAGGCAUAUGUAUACCAUCCCCUUAACAUCCAUGAUUACAUCAAAGGAACUAGCACCAUAUUAGGUAUGAGGAUAUCUUUGUCACAAGAUCUUCAGUUUUACAUGCCUAUCAUCAUCCUUUGUGAAAACCUUUUCUGAAAUAUAGACUUUUUUUUUUUUAUGAAGUAUGACGGUCUUUGAUGAGUUUGGGAGAAGGAAUCCUCAAUUCUAGAGUAUAUUUUUAGUUGACUGUUAGUUAAGUUGCAGACGUGCGAAUGUAAAAACAAUUUCCCCCCACUCCCUGAUGGUUGCCAGCUCCUACCUAAAACUUUGAAGUAUCGUUUCAUUGUUUGUUUUUCUGUUCUGCUUUGAACAAGACUAUUUAUGCAGUCAUUAAUCCUAAUUUUUUUUUACCUUUACUCUGUAGUUCCAUGGGCUCCCGGUGGUUCUAAGUUUACGAGAAACCCAAUUCCACCUGCAGGGGUAAGUUCUCUUUUGAAGAUUGUUCACGUUUUUCUUUUCGUAAAAUGUUUUAGGUCUUAAUUCCUUCUCACCACUUCAAUCUUUUCUUAAAAAAGGAUUAUUUUUGUUUAUUUGCAUAUGUCUUGUUACUUGUUUUUACGCCUCACGGGACUUUAUAGCUACAUCAUCAAUAACCUUGUCAACUUCUAUUGAUCGUACAGUUUUUUCCCUAUGAAAAACCAUAUAGCAUCAUCAUUAACCACCUCGUCCUCAGUGCUUUUUAAGAGAGGUUACAAUGUAGAAACUACAUAAUAAUUAUAAUGAUCUGUGAUUGGUUUAUUGCUCAAAUGAAAUGUCUACUAAAAUCACAGUUUUGAAAUAUGUAUAGUUUUCAAGUGGCAUUUUUUUCCACAAAGGCCAAAGAUAAGCAUUUGUGUAAGCUAAACGUCCUUUGCCCUAAUCUUGGAGGAAGCACAUGAAAAUGGAAAAGUUGAAGUUCUUUUCCCAGGGGUUAGAGACUUAGAGCAUAGGAACUCAGCUUCACACUAUUUCUCUUUUUUCUUUUUUUGGCUGUUUUAAUCUGAUAUUUUGUUGCGGACUUGAGUUCUCUACACUGUCCUUUGAUAAAUUUGCAUGCAAUUGUUAAGAGUGUAAUCUCAUCAGUCAAUAUAACAUCAACAUCUAUGUGUAAUGAUACAGAUCGAGAUCAUAUAUGACUAUGGGCGGGAAGAUCACUGAAAUCUUCAUUAUCGUGGGAAUAAAUAAAGGUAAGCUUACAUUUGGCUGCUGAUAGCAACAAUGUUUAUUUUCCUCCAUCUGAGUGUAACUCAAGUUGGAUUGUAACUUAAUGAACUAUUAUAUUGUUCUUGUAUUUAAAUUUUAUUUCUUGCUUAUUCGCUUCCUUGCUGAGUUUGUAUCUUUUUUAGCACUAGUCUUGUUUCCAUUUCUUCUAUCAUAUUUUUUAUUUCUUAGAAAAAAAUGUGUUUUGUUCGUAAGGCUGGCUUUACCGAGUGAAAUUCACCCAUUUUGUCUGAUGUUGCUGAAAACAAAAUUUUAAAAAUUGCUCUACUUUUGCAAGUGUUCAAACUGCUUUCUAAAGCAACCAUUUACGUAAUAUUACAAUUAACUAUAAUUCUCGAUAUACAAUGACUCAAGUUUUGGUUACUUUUUGCUUGGAGGUCUAAUGUCGAACACAAUGUUUUGGUUUGACUAUUGCAGGUCGAAAUGGUUCGUGGCCUCAUGAGAGUUGAUGAUGAUAAAAGGAGUUCUUUGAUGUGUAAACUUGAAUGAACACAAUUAUAGUAUUUCCUUGUUGAUUUGCUUUCUAGUUUUUGUUCAGAUAUGCAAAUUUGACAUAGAAAAAAUCACCACUAGAAGAGUGUGUGACAUGCUUCAACUUUUGGUUAAUUUAAGUGUUCAUCCGUUGCAUAUACCUAUUUUUCUGUUAAUGUGACCAACUUUUCUUCUUUUCCUAAUUUGUCUGAUUGCUUGUAAUAAUGGCAUCAGAUGUUGAAAAUGUGAGCGAGGAAGUACAUGAAUUAAAAGACAAUAGGAAAUCCUUUUAGUAUUUGAAAAGCUUUUUGGAAAUUUAAUAAAAUUGUGUUUCUACUUGUUGAAAUAAAAUGCAUAGUUUGUGUUGCCGAUCUAUGACUUUCUGUGCGGCUCCUGUGAAGCCAAUGAAAGGAUGUCUAAAAUGGUUUGUAGCUACGUCCAUUUAUAUGCAUCUUUUGUUUCGAAGGAUUUUUUUUUAAAGAAUGUGUCACCUAAUAGUUAAUAUUAGGUAUACUUCAAAUGGAUUACAGAACGAUGGAAAGGAUCUUAAAAUCUGUCCCAAGUAUUUAUCAAGAGACUCUUUAGGAAGUCCUUUUAAGUAUGAUUAAAAUGUGUGUCCUUAAAACCAUUUCUCUGUGGUAAUUAAUGACCAAAUAGUUAAAAUUAACCCUAUCAUGUUUAACCCUUUUAAAUGUUUUUGAUUUAUCAAAAUCCAUUUUUAUUAAAUGAUGUUGGCAUUUUUAGCAAAUUAUUAAAACUAUUUAUAAAUCGCAGGAACAUUCAUUCUUUAGAAUUUAUUUAAACUUUUUUACUAUAUUUUAUAAUCAAUUUCAUUUUUUUUUCGAUAUCCAUAAUAAAAUAAUUCUCCAUAGUUAUAAGUACUAAAGGGGAAUAAAAUUUAGUUAAUAAAAAUGAAAAUUAGUUUUGAGGUAAAAGUGCAAACCAUUGAAAUAUAGAAUCAAAGAGAAAAAAUGUAACAUUUCUAAGACUGGGUAACUAUUUUGUUAGUUUUUGUUUUUACAAAAGUUAAGCCUAAGAACAGUAGUUUCCUUAUUUUCCUUAAUCUACUUUUCAUCAAUAGUUUUAAAACCAAACCAAAAUUUAUUUGAUAACUACUGACUAAGAAUUCAAGGAUUGUAUCUAAACAAACUAAAUGAAAGUGGAAAGUCGAGAUUAACUAAUAAGAAUCGAAAUAAGGAAGUUUCAUUUACACAUCCUGCUCAUUACAGCCACAACCACAUAAAUGCUUUCUCUCAAGAACUCUUAGUUCAAAUGUCUGUUGGUACAGACAGCCAACAAUGGGAAGAGCAAAUAAAAUCAGCAGUGACUCAUGAUUUUCCCAAUGUACAAUUUUUUAUAUGUAAAAGAAAUUUUUGUGCUAAAUUUUUCAUUUUUAAAACUGUUGCUAUCACAAAAGCAUAUAGAUAAACAAGAUAAAGUAUUGGUCAUCUAAUUUAAUUAAUUAACCUCUUAAUGAAUACUUCUUCCCACCAAAAGGUUGAAACUUGGCCUCUUCUUUCUCUUUAGUCUGCUCUUGCUUACCAUCCUUUUCACCUUCCUGCAAAAUAUCCAUUUAUUUAGUAAGUUAAUCAUUUCAAUUCAAGAUUGACACGGAAUAUUAGCCAUUACAAAUAUAGCGCAACUAUCAUAAACUUAUAGUAUCAAUCUCGAGGUAAGAAAUAUGCAUAUAUCGUAGAUAAUCCUGGUUUAUAAAUGAGUUCAAAGCACUUCCAGACAUUUUAAAAUGACACAGAGCAAGCAGCCAAACCUUUUUAGUUUCCUUGGGGGUUCGGCUUGCAUUUCCUCCAAAAACGAGCUUUCCUUCGGACUGCCUGGAAGCAUUCCGAGAGGUAGAUCCAGAUGAAGGCUGACCAGUGACAGUUCUUGUAUCCACUUGCUUGUCUUUGGAUAUUGAAGUCCAAGAUAGUGGUGCCUGUUGCAUAGAUGGUUUCCCAUCCAAACGCCUCCCAGCUCCAGUGAAGGGAUUGAAUUUGGGUUCAGCUUCUGCAGGUGGUUCCUCAUCUACAAGAAAAAAGAAUAUGCAAAUGCAUUUGGUCAUGUUUCAAAUAUGGAAAAAAGUACAAAUAAAUAAAUAAAAAGAGUUCCCAGCAAAUAAGAUUAGCAAUACUAUUUUGCUUUGUAAGUUCAUGAAGUCACUACACAAAAAUAGUCUGACCUUGGACUGGAGCCUUGCCUGUUGGGAGAGAUGGAACGGGCUUUUCAGGUUCCUUGUAAUCCAAAGGGGGUGCGAAGUCCACUUCACAAUCAGUCUCAAUUAUACUUAUUGCAUUUGAAGGCUUAGUUUCAAUUAUAUCAAUGUAAUAUUUCUUGUUGUUGUAUGCCACCAUGAUACUGUCUCCGGUUGUCAGGCAUGAAAAAUUUCUCAAAGUCGUCUCCAAGCUGUAUGACAUUGAUAGCUAUGUUUAAUUGGAAUAUUAUAAAGAUAUGUUAGUAAUUAAUUAAAGAGUAUGUUAAGCUUGUUGGUUAUAAAGAGAGUAGGGAAGGUGGAAGGUAGGGUGGAAUGAAUGGCUUCGGGGUCCAAGUAGCUCAAAUACUUGAUUUAUCUUAUAAUUCAUUACUGUUUAACUUCAAUAUAUUUGAGUUCCAUUAGAUAUGCAGAAGACUGACUUUCAGAAGCUUUACUCUACAUUAAGUGAACUCUUUUAGUUUAAAGCACAAAGAACUACGUUCAUCUUAUUUCAUGGAAAGAACUUGAGCUGCAUAUUAAUUGUGUUAUAGGGAUUAUAUUUACCAACCUGAGGAUCUAUGUCUACCAUAGAAGCAACAGAUAAUAUGGGAUUUAGCAUAACGACAUGUGAUUGAUACAUUAGACAGAGGUUAAAAGAGCUUGUUGAUAUUUGGAGGAAGAUUGAGAUUUUAGGAUAUGAAAUGUAUUUUAGUAAAAGAAAAGAGGAAAAACUACACACGACAUGAAACAUUUACAAGAGUGGAGGAGCAGGUAUUCAAAAUAUCCAAUCUAGAGAUAAUGUUAAUUCAAGAAAGCCCAUCAGUUAACAAUAACAAAAAUAGAUUGAACUCAAUACCCUAAAGUAUUUUCAAAAUCUUCACGUACAAAAUUACCACAAAACGAAAAAAGAUUUCAACCAUUUCAUAAAGGGAAAUGAUCCAAGUGGUACCUCUUCUCUAGAGGCUCAUAGUUAGGGCAAUGAAGAAAAUAUGAUUGUGUCUUAAUUAUUUUCUUAUUUCGCAUUUAUGAAAUAGUUUCUUAACCAAAAAAAGUAGGCAGAGAGUGUUGUCAGAUUCCUUCAGAAGAUCUACUUCAAACACUGAGAGUCCCCACCUAAAAAUCUUGAAAAUAGUGUUCCUAUUGACAAAGAGAACCUACAAUCUUAGACUCUUAAGAACAAGAAGGAAAAGGGUUUAUCUGUAAACAAUCCAUUUUAAAGCUGACCAUGCCCUGCCUUGCCAAUCUUGAAAGACUACAGUGCGAAUCAGCUAGGGUAUGGUUUCCAAGGGACGCUAGUAGUAGCUGCUUGACCAAGAUUGGCUCUCACCAUUUCUAACAAGAUGACGCACAAAGUGAGUUUCUAGGAGGAACUUCACGACCAAUUAACAAAAAAACUAAUCUGUCCCACACACAGCAAAUCAGAAUCUAUCAAACCUUUUCGAAGAGGGUUUUUGCCUUCUGUUCUUCUGGGAAUAUGGAGGGGUAAAAAUGAUUUGAUUAAAUCAGAAUCACAAAUGGAAAUACGACAAUACCUUAGUAGAAAAUUUUCAUAUAACUUUAACCUUCUUGUUCUUCUGGGAAUAUGGAGGGGUAAAAAUGGAGCAUAGUGUCUAAUUAGAAAGAAAAUCCUGCUUCCACCUAUUACGUCUUCAGACAAUCUUCUGAAUGGGAAGCAAUAGUAAAAUGGGAAAACUAUACCUUCAAACGUGAGACGAUAUUAAAACGAAAAAAGAAGAAGAAAACCUGAUCAAUAAUCUUAAACUCUUAACACCACCGUCAUUCUUGCUCUAGUGAACCCAUCGAAUCUGGGGACUUUACCCAACCCAAAGUCUCAAAUAAUUACUGUGGUCUUAUUCUACCUAAACUAGGCUUCUGCCCCAAAAAAAUUUCUCUGAGACUCAAGAGAGAAGAAAUUUUAAAUCUAAAAACUACGAAGGGUCUCUUCUCCAAGCAAGUGGAACCAAAUAUAUCGUGGUUUUAUUAGCAGAAAUACUACCCAUAAAUCAUGAUCAAGGGCCUCUCAAGUCAAAAAACUUAAAUGUCUCUACUCCAAGGGUCACAACUAUAGAUUGGGGGCAAUAAAAAAUUUAUAAUUAGCAACUCACAUGGCUUUUGGAUUGGAUAUAUCCAAGAAGUCCUUUGUGUGAGGUUGUAAUUUAACAUAAGUUCCCUUCGGCAGUGUAACAUUCUUCACUCUCACAACAUCUCCCUCCUGUAAAAGCAUAUUCUCCAUCAUCUGUGGAGGAAACUAACCAAUCAGUACAUGUUCCUGGAAAGAAAAUGAGAUGAAAAUACAAAUAAGUUUAAAAUGCACUCAGUGACUACCCAAUAAGGCAUAUAGAUCAUUCCCUCUUCAGCAAUGAACUCGAGAACACCACAGUGGGAAAGUCGUUCAGUAACAUCAUUCCGAAGCUCAAACAACAUUGGAUAAUCGAUAUGUAAAGAUGCUGCAGAUAUUAGCUUGAUUUUAAAUUACCAUUGCACAAUACAUGAAGAAUAAUAAAUGUAUUAUGUAUAAAAAUAUUAAGGUAAAAGGAACUAUGUCAUAGAAAACUAGAAAAUACCAAGGCGAUCAAGGGCUGAUGGUGGCAUUAUGACUGAAAUGAAGAGAUAGGCAUACGAAGAUAAGUUAGCACGAAUGGGAUAUUUGACCAUAGAAAGUAACAUAAAUCAUGAGAACUUACUUUUGUCACCAGUUUCAAGUUGUGGCUGCAAAAUAGAUUGAAUAAACAGAGUUUAGACUAGAAAAAAGAUGUUAAGAAUUUAAGAAGAUAUUCCAAAAUACAAAUCAUAUUUUAUCUCCAUGUCUAAAUUCAUCAAGCUAAACAACUCAAGAAGUAGCAACUCAAACUACACAGACACAUUCAUGACUCAAUGAGACCAACAUCCUUCCUGUUAUAAUUUCAUUUCAGAAAUCUUGUUGAUGUGCAUAAUAAGACGAGGAUGACUAAGAAAAUAGAAUGAUGUGGCUACCUUCACUAUCCAGAGACCGAAUAAUGAUGAUUGAAUUAAAACAGCUUUUUGCUGACCUUUUGAAAGAAAACUAUAGUAGCCUAAAGGUAAAUAAUUGAGUUAAAAAAUGAUGUUCAGCAACCUUUUCAAUAAAAGAUGCAGGAUAGCACCGAUAUGUCUGCUCAAAUGAAGUCCCAUGAUAUCCAUACCCGUCGAAGAACUGCACAAAAAUUACAUUAUGAUGUGAUGGUAAGCUUUAAACUUUAAAGAACAAAAAUUAGAAAGAACAAAUAUGUCACUAAGGAAAUAUUCAACAUAUUUAGAACUCAAAGACACGGUUGUACAACCUAUAGAAAAAAUCCUAUUCAUGUAAGGUCCUAAUGAAUAAGGAAAUAUUCUAUCAAAUAACAUUAAAGUAAUAGUCCAAGAGUGAACCAUAGACGAAUCCUCCCACAAUUAGGAAAAUUGUGCCCAUUUCAGUUCAACAUGAAAAGUUCUAUAUUCAAGAGUCUAAAAAUUAAAAAACAUACCUAAAAACAGCCCAUAGAUACCCAAAUAAAACACUAAAAACUAACUAGGCCAAAGGUCUGGUUACAAAAAUCCUGCCUUUCUUUAAGCUCAAACAAAUGUCACACGUUACCAUUUUCCUAAUUAGGGUUGGCUAAAAUAAGAGUAAAAUAACUUACCAUAGUGCAGAAACUUGCAGAGUAUCUCCCAAAACCCCGAACCUACCACAAUGGAAGUAAGGAAUGCCAGUUAAAAAAAAAUGCAGCUCAAGGUAAAAGACUCCCCAUUUAACAAAUACCCAGUAAACAUACAAAGAUGUAAAUCAUAGAAAACCCCAUGAGCAAAAGAAAAGGUUCUGAAACUCGUAGUUUAAUCAGAACAGGCAAAGUCCUACACUGAGAUCAAACAUCUCGUUUGACUCAGAUGUGGAUUGUUACAAGUUAUAUAAAAAUACAAGAAAUUCGAGGGUAUAAUUAGAAUUGAAACAGCUCUCAUCAAAAUUAUUCCUUUUUGCAAUCCAAAGAAACGACACAGGCUUCACUACAAUACAAGCUCAAUCUUCGCUUACUUUUAUCUUACUUGAAAAACAGGCAAUUACCCACAAGCAGAGGCAAAGGAAAGAAUAAAAAUCCGGAAGAAAGCAAAGAAAUUGGUGAGAAAAGUGGGAGGAAAACGAAAAUCUGAUUGAGCACAGAAUGGAAACAAAAAUGGGGAAAAGAAUUAGAAGAAAGAAGUUGGAUCGAAAAGUAAUGCAAGAGUAAGAAAGGAAGUGAUGGGAGAAGGGAAAUUGAAGAAACCUUUAAUGGCGUAAAUGAGAGAGAAGGUGAGACCGAGUUGUGGAAACUCCGACGAGAGAAAGCAAAGCCGAUAUAUCCAAUCCGUCAAAAUGGUUGAGAUUUGCUCUCUUAUUGUUAUUUAUUUGUUAGUUUCAUUUAUUUUCGCUAUCCCAAUUCCUUUUCCCUUUUCUAUAUUUAUUCUUUCUCAUUCACAUUUUAAAUUAAAUUUAAACUUAUAUGAUUAAAAAAAAAAUAACAUAUAUUAAAUUUAUAAAUAUAACCAAACAUCCAUUUAAAAAAAUCUCAUUUUUAAAUCUAGCUAUGGUAUGCUAAAUUUAAGCUAAACGGUUAUUAUAAAAGAAUAGACAAAUGUAAACCAUAAUAAAUCUUAAAAAAAUUAGUGGUAGUUCAAUCAUUUUAACUUGUAUUCUCGAAAGAUCUUAUUGUUUUAGUUCGAGAUAAAAUUAUGAUUUAAAAAUAAAUAAAUUGUAAUAUUUUAAAAGUAUUUUCUUGAACGAAAAUAUAUAUUAGUUAAAUUUAUUUUGCAAGAGUUCAAAUUUGAUUUGGUUUUCAUGAUUUGAUUAUUUAUAAAUUUUAAACUUAAUUUCAACCAAAAAAAUUAAUCAUGUUUUUUUCUUUUUAACUAUUAUUAUUGUUCCUUUUAUUUCUAAACUUUAAAUCAAAUCAAAAUAAUUAUCCUUUUAAAAUUUUGUGAUAAAAUGUGAAAAAAAGCUAUAUUUAAUUUGUAAAGUUAAUAAAGGAUGAAAGAGUUUAUAUGAUUUUCGGCUAAAAUACAGCUCAAGUUUUUUUUUAUAUAUAAAAGUAUUAUAUUAGAAACUCAUACAUCUAACUCAGGUAUAAACAUUGUACUAAUUGCUUACGUUAACAAUACAAUCCUAUUUCAAGACAUUAUAAGCUGAAGAACAUUUAAAUGUCAAAAUUAAUGAAUAUAAUUGCAGCAAGUUUUUUUUUUUUAUAUUAGUCAAUACUACCAACUUAUAGUUAAGUUGUCUAGAAAAAAAAAUAAUGUAUUAGCAUUAGUUAUGGCUAAUCAACUCGUGCAUUCUCUAUAGACAAAUCGUACAUUUUGACGACAACCAACAUAUUGGAAGAAUGAGUUAGCCAUCAUCCAUCCCUUAAAAGUACAUAAAAGCUCUUACAACAAUAACUCCACGGAAUCAUCACAACUUUUAAGAAUAUUAACGUUAUUUUCAUAUUUAAAUAUGAGAGGUGAAUCAACAUUUGCAUUAUUUCAUUAAAAAUCCAUAAAACAUAUAAAAUAAAAUAAAGUGUUGCUAAUGUGAAUACAAUAUCAAUAAAUAAGAAUUCAACAACAUCUAUAUUUGAUUGGCAUUUUCAUAUCAUUGAGAUUUCAACAUUUUUGUAAACACAUUUGAAACCUUUGUUGGCAAUGAAACGUACGUAAUACCCUUUUAAUGGAACAUAUGUUAUGCCUACUUACAAUUUUUUGCAUAUGAACUCACAAAUAUACAAGUUUCACUUUAAAGUGCAAAUUCAACCCAACCAAUUCAAAGUUGUAUAUUGAGAUAAACAUUCAAUCAAAAGUGCUUAAAACAUACAUACAAAAUUUGCAAAACUAGCAGCAAAAGUUCACUCUUUAUCACUAACAAAUGUGGUUGCUAGAAAUACAAAAUAUUUAGAAGUUGUUUGACCCAAGGAUUAUCACUAUGGGGUUAAGGUUAUUGUAAUGCUCGAGUUUAGAAGGGUGACAUGAAUGGACCGGUAUCACAUCGAGAUCAUGAGGACAUAGAAGUAAAGUUAAGAAGACUUAAAAGAAUUAAAAGUUACUACUUAUACCAAUAAGGUACACCUUCAUUUUAAGUGGCUCGUAAUGGUUUGUGGGAACGAUUUUCACUCUAAUAAGCUUUUAAGACAUGUAAGGAUGAUACCAUCAGGUCGUAGCGGAUUAAAGAACUUGUGUUGGUUUGUGGGGACGACUUUCACUCUCAAGCUGUUAUGACAUGUAAGGAUGAUGCAGGGGAAUGUCGGGAAUCUGAAUUUCGAAUCCUAACCUAAGGCGUUACAGUUAUGGUAACCCAACCAUUGUUUGGGGAAGAGUUCUCAUAACUCUUAUUUUAGACUUAUCAUAACCUCUUUUUUCUCUCUCUCUUCCUUCUCAAUUCCUUUCAACUCUCCUAACCAUAUCUCUUCAACCUCCCUGUAGUUGUAUUACUUCUUUUACUUUUAAAAUUUUACUUUUUUAUUUAUCAAAUGUCAUUUAUUUUUAACUAAUUUAGUAUUUCAAGUUCAAUGAAUUUCUAAAAAAAAAUGAAUUUUAGUAAAUUUAUAAAACAAUCAGACAAAAACAAAUAUCGUUUAAUAUUAAAUUAGAUAACUUUUGAAUCCUUAAAUAACCUUCAAACGUAUAACAAAUAUUAUAAAAAAUAUUUAAACUUCAAGGUAUGAGAUUUUUAUUUAAAAAUUCAAUUUAACUAUCUGAUUUGAUUUAAGAUUUGUUUGAAUUAAAUUUUAAAGCUAAAUUUUUUCUAAAUUUUUUAUCAAAUUAUGCUUUACCAAAGGUACUUUUUUUGGUGUGAUGUACCUUUUUUUCUCCUUCUUCUUUCUUCUUCCUUAUUUUUAUAUCUUUCAUUAAUUCAUUGUUCCAUGGAACAACAAUUCCACGAGGAAAGAAAUGUUUAAGUUAGAAAAGAAAAUUGAGAAUAUUUUAUGUUUAAAAAGAAAACAUUAAUUUAUUUAACAUUAGCGAUUAAUUAAAAAGAAAGUUGAAAAUCUCACGUUGUAUUUAAAAAAAUUAAGACAAAUUACUUUACUAAAAGUACAAUAAUUGGUAAUAAAUAUACAAAAAUUGUAUAUUAAAUUUAGAAUAUGAAUUUAAAACGAAAAUUAAUCGUUUAUUCGUCCAAAACAUCUUAUCAUAACCACCCCAUUAAACACAUUAUUAUCCUAACACUACCUAUAGUAAUCUUUGAUAUUACCAUAACACUAACCUUUUAAAUGGCCAAAUCUUCACUAUUUCACUUUGGCCCAUGGAGAGGCCUGAUCUGUGCUCAAUCAGGCCCAUACUCUUUUGCUCUUCAUUUUUAAAGCCCAAACUCAAGGGCCCAACCAAAAAUCAGCCCAAAAUAAUAAAAGAAAAACAAGAAACGAGUUUAGUUUUUGAAGAAGAUAACCGUUUUCUCUCUUUCAAAUAUUUCCUCAAACUUGGGAAAUAUUUGAAAUCUUUGGCCAAGAUUUUAAAAAAUCAAAAUUUUAUUUCGAUAACAACUAGAUUUUAUUAAGAAAAAUACAAUGAAACAAAUGAACUAUUAGGUUGUCAUCGGCAACUAAAAAUAAGAGCUACACAUGGUUAGGAAGUAUCAUCGCCUCUAAUUAUAUUUUCCCCAUGUUUCCUUCUUGUAAAGUGAAAUUAGACAAGGACUACAAUUUAACCCUCUAAUUCGCAAAAUAUUAUAAUGUUAAUGUUUUUCAGUGAUAUUUUCAAUGAAUUCAAUAGUUUGGUACAAAGAGACAUGUUCUCCUGUCCAUGGCUACCAUGUAGUUAUACUCUCCGACCCAAACACAAAAGGCACACUCAAAUGCAACCAAAACACGUUCUCCUACCCUAUAACACUAAAUCUACCGCUUCUUUCAAAUAGGACUAGAAUGACCCCCUCUCAAUAAUUAUGUCUUCCUAAUAUUGACAAGGUUGAUAGGAACAAGAGGAGGCAAAGAAUCCUUUAUAUUUCUUAUGAAAAACAUCAUGUCUUCCUAAUAGCAAACACUGGGAUGGUCAACAAAAGUGCCUAGCAUUUUUUUUAAUAGCCUAUGAUCUCUCCCAAAAUCUCUUGAUCACAUCAUCCAUGGCUCAAAUGUAGGGCAUCACUUCACUAAUAUUGUCUUCACUCUGCUUGUAUCACAAUUCACUAAUAUUGUCUUGACUCUGCUUGUAUCACAAUACAACAAUACAACCCUAGUGAGAUACAAAACAACAUUGAUAUACAUAGAGAUGAGAAUCCUUUUCGUAUGUACACUGAGAUCUUAUCUUUGGGAAACAUCUUUGUAAUCGCAGUCAAAUAACCACUCUCAAUCAUAGUCUUCCUAACUAGGAGUCAAAGUGAUUGAAAAUGAGCCAUUGAAACACAACCCAAAUGAGAUACCAAACAACCUAAAUAUCGGAAGGAACACUCUUGAAUUGAACUCUUUUUUAACACUAAGAUAACAUAGAGAUGAAAACCCUUUUCGUUUGUUUAGACCAAGAUCUUGUCUUUGCAAAAGGUAUUCAUAGUCACAACACAAAGAAUGCUCUUCCUAAUUAGGGGUCUAGAAUGAUUAAAAAGAGUCAUCAAAAUACAACCCAAGUGAAAUACCAAACGUCAAACCUAGAGAUGAGAAUCCUUUUUCGUUUGUUUAAGAGGUAGUCUAUGUGAGAGCUUUUCACAAUCACACUACAAAGAACCUCUCUCAAUAAUUGUCUUCCUAAAAUUAGGAGUCUAGGAUGAUUAAAAAAAAGAGCCAGAAUCUUUCUCAUUUCUCACCAAUAACAUAACACACACACUAAUAAUGUUUAAGAAAGAGUUGAGAAUCUUUUCAUGUUUUUCCUAGAGACACCAAGAUGAAUAAAAUUAUCAGAAAAGAGUUGAGAAUCUUGUAAAGAUAUUCAGAAUAAAAUCAUAUGAGAAAAGAACUCAAUAUAUAGUGACAACAAUCUGAACAACCAGUGUGGGAGUCAGUCAUAAAAUAUCCAUAGAGAAAAGGUGAUAUAAAAUUCAUGACAGUGAUGCCGUUUCACAUAUUACUCCAUACUCUCUAGAGUUUCACCUUUUUAGUUAUUUUAUAUUUCAAUACAUCAAAAAGAAAGAAGAAAAAAACAUUAUUCUUUUAGUUUCAAAAUUCUGAAACUUUCCCAACUUGUCUUUUGUUCUUUUUCUCUUCCUAUAUAUCAAAGAUCACUAUUAAUGUCAAAUUUCUAAAUUUCACUAAAUAUAAAGCUAAAAUAGAAAUAGAAAAAAGGGGUUAAAAUGAACGAAGGAAUCUACCUCACAGUAUUCUGUUGUUGACCACAGGACCAAUUUGAGGUUGAAAAAGAUUGAACGGAACAACACUUUGUGGACAGCAAACCGAUAGGACAUUGGCAUUAGCAGAUAAGCUCCAUCCCCAACCGCACCCUAUAGGAAUAACAAAUUCCAAAGCAAAAUUCCAGUCCAACAGACAUAUAUACAAAUACAAAAUAUGGAUAAUAAUAUUCGACCAUUCAUCACAAACAACACACCCCGCAGAGAAACUCAUCACCAUCAUCAUAACAUAGUAAUAAUACUUCACAAUAGUUCAUCAAAUUGAUUACUUUAGAAGGCUAAAAGAGAAACAAAUAAAUGGAGGACUUGUUUGUUUUAUCUCUUCUUUUAAAACAACAAACAGAGCAAAUUAAAUCCUUUCCAAUUUCUUAGAAGUUGUUUAAGAGAAGAAAAGGAAUCACAAUUCAAAAGGUAUACCAUAAAUUUGAGUUCUGAAAAGAAAAAUAGCCAUUGACAGCUUCUUUUUCUUCUUUUUUUCUGAUUAAAGGAAAAGGAAAACUCAAAUUCUACACAGUAACAUAACCAAGAGAGAACAAGAUCCCGAAUUUACAAAAGGGUGGAUUCGGUGUUCCCAUCCCCUCUCUCUGUACUAAAAAAGAGAAGUUAAAAAAAAAAAAAAAAGGAAGGCCAAAGGAAAAGGAGCUUUGCUACUGUCGCUGUGCUCUCACAACCCUUUGUAACACACCAAAGAAAAAAAAAAAAGUUCUCUUUUUUUUUUUUUCUUUUUGCAAAAUAUAGAAAAGGGAAAUUAAUGGAAAUACAUCGACGGACCCAUAAGGACAACAAAAACAGACCUACUAGAGAAGAAAUGCAAUAGCUAAUUAGGGAUGGCUGGAGGACGCCUAAAUCUUAACAAACUUUGUCAAGCAUAACAGUAAGUCCAUUGCUCGGCAUCGCCAGCACCAGAAUCCACAGCACCAUUGUAAUCAGUCUCACUGCAGCAGGAAGACGCACUCGCCAAAUAAGGCAUAUUGCGAAAGGACAUGGCCAAGCUAUUAGCUAUGCCCUCACCACCAUCGUCAUCCUCCUGUCCAAACUCUUCAGCUCGGUGCUUGAGGGUCUCAAACAUGAGUUCGGGCUCGUGCUGCAUCACUCGGAGGACAUCCCCACAUGAUGGCCCAGGCACAGUGCGAGUCACCGCAAAGCUAUGCGGUCCAUCACUCUGCAUCACCCGAAUCACACUCGGGCCACCAAACAGGUUGUGAACACCACCGAGAGCCUCCUCAUAAGCCCCGCCCAGAAACAUCCCAAGAUAGUAUCGCCCACCUCCUCCACCUGACAAACUGCCAUUGCCUUCCAGCUCAUGCAACGGCAAACUCGACUCACCACCAAUAAACUUAUCAAUCUUACCAUCACUGUCACAGGUAAGAUCAGACAGCACGCCUCUCACGGUUGGUCUCUGAUCAAGACGAUGAAUGGGGACAAUUGGAAACAGCUGGUCGAUACCCCAGAAAUCAGGAAUUGACGUGAAAAUAGAGAGGUUCACAUGGUAGGUUCUAACAGAGUCCAACUCUCCAACAGCCUUGGCAACAAGAGCACAAAGUCCAUCUACAGCAGCUAGUUGUUCCAUUCCCAAACACCCAUCCUUGAAUUUCUCAACGCAUCGUUGUUUCAGUUGAUCUGCAUACACCAAGCAUGUUUUAUACUCACCCAUAUAAGCUGCAGCCGAAAGGUUCUGAUAAUCUACACGAGCCUCAUCGGUUAGCCCAUCGACAAGAUACUGAAGUUCAAGUGAGCUCAUGGAUGGGACCUCAUAGCUGCUAGCAGAGACAGCCUCAAAUAUCAAAACGGAAUGAUGAGAGACGAUUGCUCGGCCACUUUCACUGCAAAUUAUUGGGUGCUUCACGGACCGACGGUCGCAUACACAGCGGACUGCAUCAACAACCGCAGCAGCAUACUCUUCGAGUCCAUAAGCAACAGAUAACUCAGAGUCCGAAGACUUCGACCCGUCAUAGUCAAUACCCAGACCACCUCCAAUGUCAAUAACACGCAUGUUGGCACCGAGACGGACCAAUUCGCAAUAGAUCUGAGCAGCCUCGCCAACGCCAUCAGCGAGCAAAGCAGUAGAAGGGAUCUGGGAUCCAAUGUGAAAAUGUAGCAAUUGAAGGCAAUCAAGCAUAUCAGCCUGUUCAAGCUUCCGAACCACCCGAAGGAUCUGGGUAGUCGUAAGACCAAACUUUCCUUUCUCGCCAGAGGUAGACCCAAAAUGUCCAGAAUGUUUGGUUCUCAGCUUCGCGCGCAUACCAACCACAGGACGAACAAACAGCCUCUUGCUCAAAUCAAUAACCAAAUCAAUUUCUUCCUCUUGUUCAAUAACAAUCACCGUGUUCAAAGCAAGCUUCCUGGCAAUAAGCGCCAAAGAAAUGUACUCCGCAUCCUUGAAACCAUUACACACCAAAAAGGCAUCUGAAUUCCCUUUACACAAACAGCUCAUUGCCAGAAGAAGCUCUGGUUUCGACCCAGCUUCAAGCCCAAAACGGAAAGAAGAUCCGAAUUUCACAAUAUCUUCAACAACAAACCUAUCCUGGUUACAUUUAACGGGAUAAACACCCUGGUAAUGAGAACCAUAUCCUUGAGAUUGAAUAGCAUAAUCAAAUGCAGACUGAAGAGACUCAAGACGAUUCUUAAGCACAUCGGGAAAUCUCACAAUAAGAGGAAGCUGCAAGCCAAGACCACCAGAACAAAUCGGAUCUGAAGCCUUCUUCACAAUUUUAAGCAAAUCAAUCUCCUGAUGGGGUAAAGUAGCUGUCCCAUAAGGACGAACAGCCAUAUUCCCAGAACCAUUAACAGAGAAAUAAGGAGCACCCCACCCAUCAAUCUUGUAAAGAGAGGACGAAAGAGGAGGAGACCAUGACAUGUUUUCAGAGGUGGGAGGAGAGUCAGGAGAGGAAAAGAUGGUAGUCUCCGGAGGUCCGCCGGAAAAUAAAACCGACGACGGAAGAGAGCUAUCCCCAGCAAAAACGUAGCCAGGAGGAGGAGCUACAGCAGCGUCUACGCAAUAAGCUAGGGCCGGCAUCUCUCCGACGACGGAUCAAGAAAUGAAUAAAAAGAAGAAAAUGGAAAAAUUAAAGAAAGAAGAGAGUCGUAGUUAGAGAAGUUGUUAAGAAAAAGUAAUGGAAGUUUCAGAGUUUUGUGCAAGUGGGGGCUUUAAAACCCGCCGAGGCCGAGGCCCCGGCUACCCCCCCAAAAGAAGCAGAAAGAGUAGCUAUUUCCACCGCCAAAUUUACCACGAUCACCUAUACACUUGCAAUAUCCCACCGCGAUCCGGUCAGAAGAAGAAUUUCACAAGAACGAAGAAACAAAAAAUGAAAUUAAAACAACACACCAAUCAAAGCCUUAAACACCGAAACUGUUCUUCACCAUGCAGAUCUGGAAACGAAUUCAAAGAACGGAAUUAAGAAUUUCGGUCCAAAAACAAAAAAAAAAAAGAAAAGAAAACAAAGAGGAAUCGGGAAUGAAUGGAAAGGAGAAUUAUCCGGGCAAAAGAGGCGGAGAAAAAGAAGAAGGAAGAAACGGAAACCUAACGGAGAAAACGCGGAGAGAAAUGUAGAGCCGUCGGAGACGACGGAAUGCGUUUAAACGAGGUUAGAAUGAGCGAGAUUUGCAUGCAUUACCAAGCGUCCUUUUAUAGGAGAAUAUGAAUCGGGUUCGGUUCGGAUCGUAAUAGCAGCCACCCAUUAACCCGGUAGUUUAUGACCCGAUAAUAUUUCUGGCGGUUUUUAUUAAUUUAAUUUUUAUAAAAAGAAAAAAAAAAAAGAGUGAGAUUCUAUUUUUCAAUUUUCUUUCUUCAAAAUAAAUGGACUAAUCAGCGUCGGGUUGCCGCGUGGCCUACUUUCAUGCGGGACCCCUCCAUUAGCAUAUACAUCUCCCGAGGCUUCUCCCCUUCUUGUUAUCCUUCCUUACGUGGCUUUUUAAUAUUAUUACUUUAAUUAUCAAAAUUAAUACUCCAAUUUCAUUGCUUCUUAAUUCUUUUCUUUUUGCAAACACAAACAAUUCCUUUUAUGAAAAUAAAAUUUUUAAACAUCACCCUACACUACUUAUUUACAAAUAUAGCAACAAACUAAUACCAACAAUCAAAUAAAAACACAGAAAACACUUAAAACCCAACAUAUUCAUAAUUUCAAACUAACCACUUCAAAAGUAACAUUAUUGACAUGCAUUAUGCUACCUACAAGGUAACCCUAUUGACAUGCAUUAUGCUCAAAGGUUUUAAAAUUUUGAGUUGUCCACAACUUUCCUUUCCAUUAAAUUUAUGAACCUAAAUAUAUUCUUCUAACCACAAACUAAAUUUCUUUCUUGUAAAGUCAAAGUUAAAAAUUAAAAUAUUUUAAAUUUGAAAUGUCAAAAAGUGGAGGGAUAUUUUUAUACUUUAUAAAAAAAAAUAAGAAUAGUAAGCAAUUAAUUUGAAAAAAUCGCGAUAUAAUGGAAAACGAUAAAAAAAAAAAAGAAAAAAGGAAGAAGGUAGGAGGAAGUUUCGUGGAGUGAGACUAAAUGACGUGACAAGAUCUUGACGGUCCACCUCAUCACCAUCAAUCUCAUUAUUAUUAUUUAAUUUCUUGGAACCAUUCUAAAUUAAAUUACUUUCUUUUUGCCAAAUUUGAAUGAGAUCCAUUUUACCUUCUUAAGUUUGAAUUUUUAUUGAUUACUCAACCCUUUUAAGUGCACAACCCUUUUUGUACCAAUAAACCUAAACACUACUUGUUUAAGAAUUUGCAUAGUCCUCAAAUUUGAUUUAACUUUUAAGUAAGUAUGAUGAAUUGAAAUAUUUUAAUUCUCGGACGAAAUAUUUGGACUUCUCGUUUUUUUUACUCAACAUGUCUAUAUUAGUUGAGAUAGGGUUAUGUUGUCGGAAAAAUGUUACCAAUAGCAAAGGGAGCAAAACUAAAUGGUAACUAAGGUUCAGAUUAUUAUACCUCGCUUGUUUUUGCACUAUUCAAAGAAAAAAAUGUGAAAUUCUCGUUAAAUUUCUUGGAACUUUAUCUCUAUAGUUUAUAAACAUGAUUUGUUUCUAAUUCUUUUAUCUAUGCUAAAAUAAAAGAUUCUAUUAAAUCUCAAUUACAUUUUUACUAUAGAUUUCAAAGUAAAACGUAAAUAAAUAAAAAAAGUGACAUGAUAAGAAUAUUAAAAGACUUAAAAAAAUGCAUCGAAUUCUUUGUAAAGUCAAAAUGACGUGUUGAUUCCUAUACAAACAUUUGAAAGUUGAACAUGAAUGUCAUUUGGAGUCUUGUCAAACAAACAAAUGGUUAGGGUGGGUGCUUUGGGACUAUUUGGGUUGUGUUCUAUCUUGCCAAUUUUUAAUUUUGCAUUCGGGUGACGUCAAGAUUCGUGAUGUAAGAGAUAUUUCUGAUGAUCUUUUGUAAUACAACAUUCCUAAAUGCUCAAUAUGCUGUCGAAUUUGGAUGUCUGGAGGUCAUUGACCUAUCGUGAGAUGUAUUUGUUUGGAAUCUAUUUUUUUCAUCGAUAAGAAUGUUUUAAUCUUAUAAAAGUUAUUUGAAAGAUUGACUUGUGAUGCUUUGUUCAUAUUUUACCUUUAAAAGUUAUUAAUUGUCAAAUUAUACGUAUAAAUCCGUGCAAAGUCCCAAAACAAAUAUGAUCAAUAUGGGUAUGACUUUAAUCAUAUUUAAUAAAAUGCCAAAAAUAUAUGUUUCUAUUUUUAGCUUUUAAAAAGAAAAGUAUCAAAUUAAAAAAGGUUAUUCUUGGAACAUGGUUGUAAAAAUUCAAAAACUAAAAAUAUACCUUAUGAAAAUUGAGUAAUCUAUUCUAUAAUUGUCAAUAGCACCUAACAUGAAUAGAACCAAUUGAGCUUUGUAAUUAAUUUUAUUUUUAAAAAACAUACCUUAUAACUUUCGUUUUUAUUAUUGUACCCAAUACCCAUAUAUGUUUAUUUGGGUUUUGGUUAUUUCGAGUUAUAGAUCGAAUGAACUUUUUAUGUUCUUUGCAGUAGGUUCAAUUUAAAGUUGGAAACAAAAUACAACACAUGAGUUUUUGAUAUUUUAAAGAUUUGAAAUUUUUAUAUCAAUGGAAAAUUUUCCUGAAGAUGAUAGAGUCUCAUCACCAUUCUUUUACAAUUUUCGAUUUAAUUAGUGUUACAUAUCAAGAACAUUCGGGUAAGUUUGAUCACUUUGUUUGUGAAACGUUUUUUUAACAUGGAGUGAGAAACUAGUUCUCAUUAUCUCUUGAUUUUCGAUCAAAGGAUAAUCCAAAUUUAAUCCAUUCUCUCAUAUUGAUUAUUAGGAUUUUAAAAUUGAUAUGUUCUUAAGUUGGAAUCUUAAUUUUCAAAUCUUAUGAUUUUCAUAUCAAGAUUACUGAAGUUCGUGGAGUCGUGAAGGUUCGAAUUGUUUGAUUUCUUAAACACUCCUACGUGGACGGAUAUGUCAAUUUAUAAAAUUUAUGAAUUUGUUUUACCGAUUUUGUAAAUUAAAAUAGUACUAAUAAUAUUUUCAUGCUUUGAAGAAGAAUUAUUAUCAAAAUAGCAAAAUAAUCAAACUAUUUUUAAAAAAUAGAUAUAAUCAUGAAUUGAAUUUAGUAUUAUGUAAUAUAUAAUUUAAUUAAUUGUUUAACUAAGAAUUGCACUCAACAAACUUCUUUUUUAUUUCCUUAAUGUGCAAAAAGAUGGUGGUGCACCAAAUAUUGAUAAAUUAACUUUUACAUUAAACACUAAUUUAAUAUAUGGUUUAUAAUUUAGUUACUAAAAAUAAUUAAAUACAAUGAUUUCUUUUUAUUUAAUAGUUAAAGAUGAUAUAAAAUAUUGAUUAUAAAUGUGUUAUUUACUCAUUCAUUCUUACAAAUAAAGGUUUUACUUGUUUACAUAAAUUUUAGCUAACAAUAUUUUAAAUAUGUUAAUUAGGUAACUACGACUAAUUAAAAUAUAGUAAAAAAUUUGUUCUAUUGGUUGUAUUAAUAUCAAACGAUUUCUUUAUAUUGUUUUCCAUUUAAUUCAAAGUAACUGAUUUCAUUUAAAUUAAAUUUAUAAUUAGUAUUAUUGAACUCAAAUUAAUAAAAAAUAAAUAGUUGGUUGUAAUAUAAAUGAAUAAUCAUGUACUUAUUUAUUUUUUAACAGAGGUAUAAUUAUAUCAAUUAAUGUAUUUAAUUGUACAUUUUUACAUUUCCCUUUAAUUUGUCAACUAUUAUUCAGUUAAAAUAAUUCUUUUAUAAUUAUUAACUAAUUAGUUAUUUUAUUAAUUAAUCUACUAAAAUUAUAUAAAGUUGUAAUGAUUUAGUUUUGUAAAUUACAUACAAACAUGAUUUAGUUUCCUUUCAAUCAUGAUAUCACUUCAUAUAAAAUCACACAUUGUUCCAAACAAUUUUUAAUCCAAACCAUUUUAAAAUGUGAUAUUUUGAUUACUAUAUUAAAUUGUGAUAUUUUGAUUUAAUUUUUUAUAUUUAAAAAUAGUCUUAAUAUUAAAAGAAAAUAACAUUUUAAAAAUAUUAAUAACUAAAUACAUCAUUUUAAAAUUCUAUAAAAAAAUAUAUACCUCUUGAAUUAGUCAAAAUGAUAAAUUUAGCUUAAAUGUAAUUAACAUUUUUUUUGUUUGCAAUGCUGUACUGAAAAAUCAGCUAAAUUAAAUUGAAGCUGGCAUGCACAUUUCUGUUUUUUUUUUUUUUUCUAACUAUAGAUAUCUAAAAAUAUUUAAUGAAGAUUAUAUUUAUAAAAAAUAAUUUUCAUAUAUAUAUAUAUACAAUUUAUAAAUGACAAGUAAUAUUUUAAAAAAUAAUUAUAUUUGAUUUGUUAUUCCAUGCAUGUGUGAAAAGAAAAUAAGACUUUAAGAGAUGUAAUCAUAAUAAUUAUAAAUUUAUUUGUUUGCUUCAAGAAAUGUGGCAAUGUCUCUUCCUUAUCACUAGCUACCAUCUUACAUUUGUUCUUUUUUUAAGAGACACCAUAUAAUAAAGAUUUUAAAAAAUGAAGUGAAAAAGAAAGAAAUCCCAUCACUUAAAUGAAAAGAGAAAAGAAAAAAGAAUCCAAAAAAUAAUGAAAAUUAUUUAGGAAAAAAAAAAAAAGCAAAGGAGAAAGUUAGAUGUUUACGUGGCGUCAUAAGAAAAAGCCACGUGUCACGUUGAGUCAGUCAUAAAAGUGGAAAAUUCAAAAAGGAAAAAUAUUAAGAAAAAGAAUAAUCUAAUCAUCAUUUACAUUUUAAACAAAAUAUAGUGUCAUUUUUUAGUAGAGAAUAAACCCAAUGGUUUGAGUAUCAUACCUGGACUUUGUUUCUUUAAUAAUUUUUAAAAACCAAUUAAAGAACGACCAUCAAAUUUUCUCUCAAAAUAGUCAUCUAUUCCGUCGUAAUUUAUGACUAGACAUUUGAUGGUUCGACCAACAUUUAGUAAGUCAUGUGCAUAACCAUGAUACCACUCUUUGGAGACAACAAUCUCCCUACCACCACGUCUUUUUACAACGAUAUGUUUGAUAUUAUUAAGCAAAACUAUGGUGAUUUUUUGUCUUUUGUUUCACCUAAAAAGACCAUAUUAAGAAAUAGUUAUCAACUUCUUCCUACUGAUCAACCUAUAAUCUUGUUCUUGCUCCAACAGUAAUCAUAAUUUAGCGGGGUGAUUGAGUAGAUAUUUUAGAACAUACACCAAAAACUGAUAUUUGAGUGCGGUAAAGAUGAUUUGUAUUAUACAUGUCAUUGUAGUCUUGUUAAAGACAAUAAUUUAUAUUUAUUUAAAGGAAUGGAAAUAAUAUUUGGAAGAAAAGAGACAAAUCUUAUCUGCAGAGUCUCAAGCAAAGGACGACGGCCAAACGGUUGGCAACUUUGAAUGGUCUCGUUCUCAAUUACUCCCACUACAUUACGUUUUGUUUUCCUGUCUUCUUUUCACUUAUUCAUUUUCUUUUAAAUUAAUUAUAGGUGCAAAUCACACAAUAUCUGAAGGGUUGGAAAUACUGUUUUAGUAACUUCUAAUAUUAGUUUAUUUAUAUCAUAAAUAUUUUUAGAUUGAUGGUAACUAAAGUUGGAAUGAUAAUCAUAUAUUUAAUUUAUUUAAUGGUGAAGAGAUAAUAAAAGAAAAGAAGAGGCAGUUGAAUAAAAAAAAAAAAGGCCUAGGAAUCAACGGAAAGCAUCUCUCAUGAUUUGGGGUUGCUUUGCUUCCAUACAAAUUAAUUUAAAAUAUAAUUUUACAAAAAGAAAAAAAAAACCGCUUCCCAAAAAAUCAUAAAUUAAUUAAUUAAUUUGUUUGAAAGAAAAACGCAAAGUGAUAUUGCCAAGUGGGACCAUUAAGUGGUCAGGGCCCCACAUGUUGACGGCUCGUCAAACUACUUUUUAACGGGCGGAGAGUAAUGAGUCAAUGACGUGUCUUUCUCUUUUUGUUUUCCCCCGUCAUUUGACGUCCGUUCCCGUCAUCUUCCGUUACUACGGCUUUUCAACCCUUCACAUGUGGGCCCGCCAUGCAAUUCUUUUUUCUUUUUAUUUCUUUUUUAAAAAUAAAAAGGGACUUUUUCAUUUAAUAAGUGAAGAAAAAGUGAAUCUUUUUUUUUUCUUUAAAUAAAUAAUAAUAAAAAAAAUAUAUUUUUCCCAAACUUUUUUCAUCCUUCUGAUAAAGACAAUUCUAUCUUUUUUUUCUUCUUCUUUCUUUACCAAACAAGAUGAAAAGUUGAAGAAGGCACUUAAUUUUACUCUUUUUUAUACAAAUAAAAAAAAAACAAUU
rnacentral:lncRNA from 1 species